AGGUGCGACCUCGUGUGUACCACGUGGGAGAUAUGGUAUUGAAAAGGAUCCUUCCUCCUCAGAACGAUCGUCGGGGCAAGUGGAGACCCAAUUAUGAAGGUCCAUUCGUGGUCAAGAAGGUUUUCUCUGGCGAAGCCUUGUUGUUGACGACCAUGGAUGGCGAGGAUUUUCCAUCCCCGGUGAAUGCGGACGCAGUUAAAAAAUACUUCGUAUAAGAGAACCGCUGGACGAAAAGAAUAAAAUAGUCCAGGAAAAAAUGGGCAUCCCGGCGAACCAAAAAAAAAUGAAAAGGUUCGGGCAAAAAUUAGGGAUAAAAAAGAAAAAAAACUGUACACCCGGCAAGUCGAAAACCCCACAGGGCGGCUUGGGCAAAAAAGGGUAUCCCGGUGGGCUGAAAACCCGAAAGGGCGGUCCAGGAAAAAGAGGGAUUGAAACGAACAACUGUGUCUAGCAUGAUCAUUUGUACUGUGGAUAUGACACAUGGAUAAUCCCCAGCAGGGAUCAGUCGGAAGCGUCUUGUUCAGAAGGCAGAAAGCACGGAGAGUCUUGAGGACAUAUGGGGUGUAACCGAGUUGGAACUCGAUGAGAUCACGGGUUCACAUUGCCAUUAGGAUAGAUUUUUCCUUUUUGUGCGCCAUUACCUCUUUUCAGGGAUUGCUUCCUGUGUAUUGCUCAGUUUUGAGCCACCUUUUUCAAUCAAUAAAAUGCAUAUUCAGUCAAAUAAUUUUGUUUUUGUUUUCAUUACCGCUUUGAUUGCAAAAACAUCCGGUUUAUUUUGAUAAAGAAUAUUUGCAUUUUAAAACAUACGGGUCCCUUCCAAUGCAUGUUUAUAAGAUUGAGAGCCUGAAAUCUUAUUCGGAAGGUUGAGUGACCCAGGUGUUGAAAUUUUGGCGCCUGGGGCACGUUUUAUCUAACGAUCUCUUUUGCAGGUGCUGUUAGAUAUUUUCACUCACUUGCAGGUUGUGAUGUGAAGCUUUUUGACAAAAGAUCCCCGUGGAGUCCAAUCAGGGACGAGGAAUGGAGGAACGGUGAGAAGACGACGGAAGAACGUGCGACGAUCCUGGAGGAUUAAUCCAGAAGACUCUUCAAAGUCUGAAGAAUUGGAAAGUUGAUACCAAUUUGAGGGGUUCAAUCUCCGUAGAGUACGGAGAAGUCAAGAAUACAAGGAGAUGAAUCAGAAAAGUCCAGACGAGUCUGGGAGCUCUCAAAAGUGGAAAGCUGGCACUAUGGUUGGAUGGUGAACACCAGUGUUUGACGAAUCGACGGGCGUUCCAUGUCAAAUAGGCCGUAUCUCCCUAGUGGGUUCGAGGUUGUUAUCUCCCCAGCGGAUUCGAGAUUGGUGUCUCCUCGGCAUCCAAGUCUGAAGUUUGUCUUAUCCCCAGCCAAGUCUGAAGUUUGUCUUAUCCCCAGCCAAGUCUAAAGUUUGUCUUAUCCCCAGCAAGUCUGAAGGUUGCUGUCCUCCCCAGCAAGUCUGAAGGUUGCUGUCCUCCCCAGCAGGGUUGAGAGUGUUAUUUCCCCAGUAAGUCUGAAGGUUGCUGUUUCCCCAGCGGAGGUGGGUGUGGUUUGUUUUCCCCAGCGAAGUCCCCGAGCGGAUCGAGUUCAGCGGAGGUCGUCCCCAGUGAAGAUUAUCCGUUCCCCAACAGCAGUGCUAUUCCCCAGCAGGGUGGAGACUGGAGUGAUAUUGAGUUCCUCAGCAGAGUUUCUCGAGCUCCCCAGUAGAGUCCCCGGAGGGGGAUAUAUUUUUUAUGCAUUCAUCAUUUAGAAAAGCAUAGCAUAUUGCAUCAUUAAUUGCGUAGCAUUUCCAUGGUUAUGGAGCAUUACGCUGAAAAAAAACUCAUGCAUAAGCAUUGCAAGCAUAAGCUAGUCUCAAGCCGUGGUUACCGUUUGAGAAUCAGUUUAUUUGGUUGGAAGAUCAGCCUCAGCAUUGCAAGCAUCAGCUAGCCUCAAGCCGUGGUUACCGUUUGAGAGUUGGUUUCACCGGAUGGUGAAGAUGUUACUCCGAGGAGUUUAGUAUCAUGACGUUGGAUAAGUUAGACUCAAGCCGUGGUUACUGUUUGAGAUUUGGUUUCGCCGGAGGAUGAAGAUGUUACUCCGAGGAGUUUAGCAUCGUGACGUUGGGUCAAUGGUAUUCCCCAGUAGUGCGAUAUUGGAGGAAGAAUUUCUGUCGUGCGAGAUGGAAGUGGGAAGGUGUUACUCUGAUGAGUUUAGCAUCGUGAUUUUGGAUCAACAACAUUCCCCAGUUAGUCCCCGGCAAGCGUCUGCCUUGUUUUGACAUAUGUAGAUGUCAUCCCUGCGAUACCGGUAAGUGUCGUGUCGAUCCCCGUAAUGUCUGUUUUCUUUGGUGUCAGUAAACAUCAUUGUUCGAUGUCAAUAAACGUCGAGCUCCUUCCCAGUCAUUGGUAAAUGUCUGGUCGAGUAUCCUUUCUUUGGUGUCGGUAAACAUCAUUGUUCGAUGUCAGUAAACGUCGAGUUCCUUCCCAGUCAUUGGUAAAUGUCUGGUCGAAUAUCCUCUAAUAUGUCGCCAUCAGAGUGGUGGUUGGUGUUAUUUCCGGCCUUGCCAACGGAAUUAACAUGGGAAAAUGAAGAACGAGGUUCAUUGUUUGGCAGCAAGAUUGACAUGAAGUUAUCGGGGUCCAAAUGCGGCGAUCAGGGAUCAUCCGCGCGAAAAAAAAUAAAUCAGAAAAUUUUGGGGUUCAAGAAAAGCAAAAAUGAUAAUAAUCCCCAGCGGAGCGCAAAUUGUUCGUCUGUUCUUGGUAUUCAACCACUCUUCACCCUGAUCAUCUGAAAGCCGAGGCUGUUCAUAUCUCAGGUUCACAGUGGAUUGAAUAGGGGCAGCUGUAACACCUCAAAAUUUGCCCUCCUCUUCUUUGGACUAGCUUAGCAUAUUGCAUUUCAUGUUUUAGGACAUUAGGCAUUUGCAUAUUGCAUAUCAUAUGGAAAUCAGAAGUCAUCCUCCAUUGUCUUUUUCAAAAGAGGGAGGUGGUAUAUGGUUCAAGCCUGAGGGUUUCUAUGGACUGAUGAUCAACCAUCUGAGGGUAUGGGCUUCAGUUAGGGUUUUCUGAUCCUUCAAAGGCCUUGAGUAGUGUCUUGGUUGCAAGGAUAUAUUACCAUCAUCAUAGUUUUAUCUUCAUCCAGGGUUUCAUUGUUCACUCUCAGGUUCUUCUGGAUUAGGGUUUUGACCUCUGGUCAACCCUAAUCACUUCCUUCCUUCCAGCCAAGGUUUCUUAAGGAAAUGAGGUAUUUGUUGAUGAUGAAAAUCACAUGGUUAUGUGGAGAAGCUUAUGUGAGCUAGGGUUUCAUUUCUGAGCCAAUUCCUCAAGUGGUUGAGGCUCAAGCUGAUCAGAGCAUGUCAAGGUCAUCUAAGGACCUAUACAAUUAACUGUGUAAGAGCUGAGGGCUAGGAGGGGGAGAAAUGGUUUGAGACACUUCAUUCAUGUCCCAAAGAGGUUCAUUUGUCCUUAUAAACAUCUAUAUUGAAGGUUUUGAAGCCAGAUCAAAAGUUUCCCAAAAUGGAAAGUGACCUGUAAUUGAAAGUUUCCAAAAAUGGAAAGUUUUCAGUCCACCUUCAACUUGACUUUCCAACAUCAAAGAAGAUUCAAAUGAAAUUUUGUCCAACAUGAAAGUUGAAUAUCUUUCUCUCCCAUUUCAAAAAAGUCCAAGAUCAUGAGCAUCUGAUGAAUGGUUGAAGAAUUAUGAUCAAAUGAUUGCCAAGGGUGCAUAGAAGUUCAACAUGCCAUAACUUUUGAUCCAAAACUCCAAAAUGAGUCACUCUUUUUGCAUAAUGCUUCUCAUGACCUAUAAUUUCCAAAUCCAUCAUUACAUUGCAUGAAAUUAUCUCAUAUAAUCAUUUGCCCAUGCAUGUUUGUGAAAGAAUUCUUUAACUUGAAUUAACUUUUAAUGAUAGCAAAUUGUGUGAACAUCAUCCAAAUUGGUUGUGCAUUGCAUUACAUGAUAUAUUUGUGUUUUUACUUUGUGAUUCAUCCCAUUCUAUUGUUGCAUAACCCCACAUAUAACUGUACAUUGAAAAAUUCCUUAAAAUAACUAUUAAAAUGCAUUUUGUAACAGUAUGUAUCAAUACAUGAAUCUGUGCAUCGAUACAUGUAGCUUUGAUUAAUCACAAAACAACUUCUGUUCAGUAUGCAUCGAUGCACACGAGCCAUGCAUCAAUACAUGAAAGGGCAAAAACUCUGUGCAUCGAUACACACGACUUCUGCAUCGAUACAUGACCACUUGAGACAGCCUGUGCAUCAAUACAUGAGCAUUAAGCAUCGAUACAGAUUAGUGUAAAAAUCACAUGCAUCGAUACACACGACUCCUGCAUCGAUACAUGAUUAAUUAAUUUGACCAAAUAUUCAUACAACUUACAGUAUGCAUCGAUGCACACUCCUGUGUAUCAAUACAUAAGGUUGUUUUAAGUCAUAACAGUAACUGUUUUUGCAGCACAUAUAUACAGGUUUCAACAGCAGAUGAAAACACGAAUUCAUUGAGCAAAAAGACAAUUGAACACAAGAUCAAAGUAGUGUUGGAGCAAUUGUCAGUGAGCACAUAGAAACCUGAAAGAGACUUCAUCUUCUUCAUCUUCUCAAUCACUCUUCUUUCAAGAACAUUUACACAUAACAAUUCUUGUUCGUUGGAUCAAAGAAGCAUUGAGAUAACGUUCAGUGGUGUGAUCAAGGAUCUAGCUGUGGGUUGCAGUGGAACGAUCGAGGAUCUAGCUGAGUCGAAGAUUGAAGGGGGUUUCUAGGAAAAACCUACUGGUUUGUCCUUCAAGAACUGGUGUGUUCUUGAGGGUUUGGGAGUCACAUUUGCAGAACAGAUUCAGCCGCAGCGUUGCGUUUGGAGAUCGGGGGAUUUCGCAAGCAGGUCGUGGAACCGGUGAAUUGUUUGCAACUUUGUGCAGGAAAAUCUUGAUCAAGCUCAGAUCAAGUGAAGGUUUAUACAAGAAGAGGUUCUUGGAGUUUAGAAAUUCUGUCUUUGUAUCAAAACCUUGUAUCAACGGAUUCGGCAAUAAUUGAUAAUCAAAGUUCUCAAUUUCAUUUGAAAUUGAGAGGGAGACGUACCCACACGCGAGGACGACGUGGGGAACUUCCUUAACAAAUCUCUGCGUAUCUUACUCUUACCUUAAUCUUCUUUACGUUUCAAAACUGUUUUGCAAUUUCUGUUAGUGUGUGGUGAUUGAUCAUAUUUCUGGACAGCAGUGAUAAUAAAACCUUUAGUCAUACACCAUUGCUGUUUAUCAUCAAACACUCACACACCAACUGUUUGACAAAACGGUUAACUUGAUUGUGUUCAUUGGAAAUAGUAUUUGAGGAUAAGCGCAUUCAAUCUGUUAAAAUUCUGUGUGUAUUAUUUCUGUCAUUCUCAUUAAAAUCCAGCAACUGCACUUGCGUGUCCGGCUUUCUAGUAGCGGUUCAGAAUAGACGGAAGUCGAUUCGGGACUGCUUUUUCCGCUGUUUUUUGAAAACUCUGAUUAAACGUUAAAUCCGUUAAAUUUUAAAGAGGUGAUCUAUUCACCCCCCCUCUCGAUCACUAGCCACACCGUCUAACAAGUGGUAUCAGAGCGCCGGUUCGCUGGUGCUCUGUGGCUGCCUGUAACAGUAUGGAUUCUGAACCAAAGGGGGCGUAUAAUAGAGCGCCUAUUUUCAACGGUGAAAAUUACGGCUACUGGAAAGACUGCAUGCGAGUUCAUAUAAAUUCUGUGGAUAGGUUAGUAUGGGCUGCCAUUGAAAAUGGUCCGUUUCAAAUUACUAUGACAAAUGCGGCUGGCGCCAUAGUACCUAAACCAGAAGAUGAUUGGAAUGAGAAAGAUGAGAAAAAGUGGUCGUGUGAUUGGAGAGCUCGAAACAUGUUAAUUUCAGCACUUGGUGUUGAUGAGUAUUAUCGAGUAUCCCAUUGCACGACAGCUAAAGAAAUGUGGGACGCUUUAGAAGUUGCCCAUGAGGGUACUACUGAAGUAAAACAGUCCCGCAUUAACACACUCAAUCAAGAGUUUGAGCUCUUUCGCAUGAAACAAGGAGAAUCCAUCUCCGACAUGCAAAAGAGAUUCACUCAUCUAACUAACCGAUUGAAUGCUCUUGGAAAACCUAUUUCCAAUGAAAUUGCUACUAAUAAAAUUCUCAGGUGUCUUAGCAGGGAGUGGCAACCUAAAGUUACAGCAAUCAAGGAAGCCAACGAUCUUACAAGACUUACGAUUACAACUCUGUUUGGAAAGCUGGAAGAACAUCAGCAAGCUUUGGAAAGUCUUGAAAAAUAUGAGAAUAAAAGUAAGAAGGAAAAGGAGAAGAAAAGAGACAAAGAGGGAGAGAAGAAGCCAAUAGCUCUUGUGGCUUCUAGCUCUAAGUCCUCACGAAAAGAGCAAAGCGACAAUGAUUCAAGUAGUGACAAAGACUCGGAUGAUGAGGAAAUGGGACUGUUUGUAAGGAGAUACAAUAGAUUCAUUCGAAAGAAUGGAGUCAAGCAUUCCGACAAAAAUCUCAUGAAGUUUCGAAAACAAUCUACAAAUUCGAAACAAGAAGAGAACAAGAAGAGUAGAGGAAGAGGAUCCUGUUUUAAUUGUGGUAAAUCUGGACAUUAUAAAACGGAUUGCCCUAUAAAGUAUAAGGAUCAAAGAAAGGAUUCACCAAAAGGGUACAGCAAACAAAGAAGAGCGUACAUUGCAUGGGAAAGUGAUAGCGAUUCAUCAAGCACACAAAGCUCAAGUGAUGAUGAUGAAGCAGCAAAUCUGUGCCUUAUGGCUCACACAAAAAAUCUGUCCUACCACAAGAAGAAAAACAAUGACAAAAAGGUAAAACAAGCCUAUUACAAUAAUUUCUCCUCUAUGUCUUUUUCGGAACUAAAAAUAGCUUUUGAAAAACUGCAUAACGAAGCUGUAGAUGCUUUUAAAAGACUAGCUUCCGACAAACAUAUCUUCUCUUUUUUGGAAGGUAAAGUAAACAAAGCUGAAAUUGAUUUAGAAGCAUUGAAAACUAGUAUUGCAGAAAAUUCAAAAACUAUUGACAUUGACGGAUGUAGUAGAGUUAGGUAUUGUGACGCUUGUUAUAUUUGGCAAAAAGAGGUAAACACUCUUAAGGUCAAAUUAGAGAAAGCGCUACAACCUAAAGUUACUUAUGCCGUUGACCCCAAGUUGUUUAAGAAGUCAUUGAAUCCUCCAUAUGCAAAAUACUCUUUUAUUCUAAAGGAUUCAAUGAACAAGAAACAACAAACACAUCAUCAUGGUUUAUGUCAUUAUUGUUGCCAUGCUGGCCAUACCAUUGAGAAAUGCAAAUUUAGGAGAUUUCUUGUCCCUAAAGGUAUUUAUCAAUGGAAGCCAAAAGGCAACCAUGUUAGCACUUACCCACUUGGACCCAAUGAAAAUUGGGUACCAACUUCUCUCUUUUGAUGUUGUAGGAUGAGUGCCUUGCCUCCGCAGAUAGAAGGUGGUUUCUUGACAGCGGCUGCUCGAGGCACAUGACCGGUGACAUAUCGCUCUUUAUAGACUUCAAGGCAAAGAAGAAGGGAUAUGUCACUUAUGGAGACAACAACAAAGGAGCUAUACUCGGCAAAGGUAGUGUAGGUAAUCCCUCCACCACUACUAUUUCAAAUGUCCAUUUAGUUGAGGGACUUAAACACAAUUUGUUAAGCAUAAGUCAACUAUGCGACAUGGGCUAUAAAGUGUCGUUUACAAAAACUUGCUGCAUAAUUGAACAUGUUGAACAAAACAUUGUGUUUAAGGGUGUAAGAGUAAACAAUAUCUAUAUGCUUGACUUGUUUGAUGUACCUUUAACAAAUACUAAAUGUCUAGUCACCUUGAAUGAUGAUUCUUGGCUUUGGCAUAGACGUUUAGCGCAUGUUAAUUUCGAUUUGCUAAAUAAGGUUGUAUCUAAGGAUCUAGUAGUCGGUCUACCAAAAAUAAAAUUUUCAAAAGACCACCUAUGUGACGCGUGCCAAAUGGGAAAGCAAACAAGGGUGUCUUUUAAAUCUAAAAAUGUAAUUUCAACUUCACGACCCCUUGAGCUUCUCCAUAUGGACCUCUUUGGACCUUCUAGGACAAAGAGCCUAGGUGGAAAUUACUAUGGCUUUGUAAUAGUUGAUGACUACUCUAGAUUCACUUGGACUAUAUUCCUUCAUAGCAAAGAUGAAACUUUUUCUGCUUUUAAAAAUUUUGCAAAUCUGUCCCAAAACAAAAUGAAUUCCAAAAUAGUUACAAUUCGUAGCGAUCAUGGUGGUGAGUUUCAAAAUUAUCACUUUGAGAAGUUUUGUGACAAGUAUGGCAUUGAGCAUAACUUUUCAGCCCCUCGCACUCCACAACAAAAUGGCGUUGUGGAGCGUAAAAAUCGUGUUUUAGAGGAGUUGGCAAGAACAAUGCUUAAUGAGGGUGGAUUACCAAAAUACUUUUGGGCUGAUGCUGUUAGCACAGCCUGUUAUGUUCUAAACAGAAUCUUAAUUCGCCCUAUUUUAAACAAAACUCCUUAUGAACUUUUGAAAGGAAGAAAACCAAACUUGUCACAUCUUCACGUAUUCGGUUGUAAAUGUUUUGUUUUGAAUAACGGUAAGGAAAACAUUGGGAAGUUUGAUGCAAAAGCGGAUGAAGGUAUUUUUCUUGGUUACUCAAUGUCAAGUAAAGCAUAUAGAGUGUAUAAUAAGCGUUUACUUACUGUUGAAGAGUCGGUUCAUGUUUCUUUUGAUGAGUCUUAUCCGAAAAAUGUCGGAAAAGGUAUUUCUUUUGAUGACGCAGGUGUAUCUACAGAAGACAUACUCAAGGAAGCUGUUGAGGAAACUGAUCAGUCCAAAACAGCUGCCCAUGAGAAGGAGGAAGAUACUAGUCAUGAAGAAAUUGAGGAAGAAAAGACAGCUGAAGUGAAUGAUCUUCCAACAGCUUGGAGAUCCUCAAAAGACCAUCCCAUUGACAACAUCUUGGGAGACAUUUCAAAGGGAGUAAUGACCCGGUCUAAGAUAAGUAACUUUUGUUCUCACUUCGCGUUUGUUUCACAAGUAGAACCUAAAAAUGCCAAAGAGGCCUUGAUUGAUGAAUUUUGGCUAAUGGCCAUGCAAGAAGAGCUUAAUCAAUUUAAAAGAAAUGACGUUUGGGAACUUGUCCCUCGUCCGCGAGAUCAUCAUAUCAUAGGCACUAAGUGGGUUUUUAGAAACAAGCUUGAUGAAAACGGAGUGAUUACUAGGAACAAGGCACGCUUAGUAGCACAAGGGUAUAACCAAGAGGAGGGCAUAGACUAUGAGGAAACUUAUGCUCCAGUUGCUCGCCUUGAAGCUAUACGUCUUUUGCUUGCCUAUGCGUGUUCUAAGGAUUUUAAGCUUUACCAAAUGGACGUAAAGAGUGCCUUUCUUAAUGGUGUCAUAAAUGAAGAAGUAUAUGUUUCACAACCUCCCGGUUUUGAAAAUGCUGAAAAUCCAGAUCAUGUUUACAAAUUAAAACGAGCUUUGUAUGGUCUUAAACAAGCCCCUCGGGUUUGGUAUGAAAGGCUUAGCAAAUUCCUAAUUGAUCAUGGAUAUUCAAGAGGUAAAGUGGACAAUACUCUCUUUAUUAAACACAAAGGGAAGCACAUUCUUUUAGUUCAAGUUUAUGUCGACGAUAUCAUAUUUGGUUCAACUAACAUACACUUGGUCGAAGAAUUUUCUAAGGUUAUGCAGGGUGAAUUUGAGAUGAGUCUAAUGGGGGAGCUGAACUACUUCCUAGGACUGCAAAUAAAGCAACUUGAUGAGGGUACAGCAGUAUGUCAAACAAAAUACUGCAGAGAACUACUCAAGCGCUUUGGAAUGAAUGACUCAAAAUCGAUUGACACCCCAAUGCCUACCAACGGAAAUCUAGACAAGGAUGAGCAUGGUAAGUGUGUAGAUGUCAAAAGGUUCAGAGGUAUGAUUGGAUCUCUCUUGUAUCUUUCUGCUUCUAGACCUGACAUCAUGUUUAGUGUUUGUAUGUGUGCACGCUAUCAAUCAAAUCCUAAGGAAUCGCACCUUAAAGCGGUAAAGCGCAUAUUUAGAUAUCUUCACGGAACACCUAAAUAUGGGCUUUGGUAUUCCAAAGGAAGUGAUUGUAGCUUAGUAGGGUACUCCGAUUCUGAUUUUGCUGGCUGCAAAUCAGAUAGGAAAAGCACAAGUGGUACAUGUCACCUGUUUUCAAACUCCUUGGUCAGUUGGCAUAGCAAAAAGCAAGUUUCUGUGGCUUUGUCAACUGCAGAGGCAGAAUACGUUGCAGCCGGUAGUUGUUGCGCUCAGAUUUUAUGGCUGAAGCAGCAACUACAAGACUUCAACAUUCAACUCAAACGUAUUCCUAUCAAAUGUGACAACACUAGUGCCAUAAACCUUACUAAAAACCCUGUUUUACACUCACGCACUAAACACAUAGAGAUUAGACAUCAUUUCCUUCGUGAUCAUGUUGAAAAAGAAGACGUUGUCUUUGAGCACGUUGAUUCCAAAAAUCAGCUUGCUGAUAUUUUCACUAAACCAUUGGCAACGGAACCUUUCUUCAACAUACGUCGUGAAUUAGGAAUCUUAGAUCUAUCUCAUUUGAUGUCAUAAGCAUGUUACAUCUUAAUUAUAUUAUGCCUCACCGGGUGUGACAAGCACUGUUUUGGAUGUCAAUUAUCCUUCACAAAAUCUCUCCAACAGAGGUAAUAUCAAUCCUUUCUACAAUUUUCUUAUUGAUUAGUGAUUGUGUGUUAGAACAAAUAUGCUUACUCCAGUUGAUGUAAAGUUUGCUUGAAUAUACUUCCUGUCUAUAAUGUGUGCUCAUUAACAAUCUGAUUCCUGAGCAAAAGUAUCAUGACACAGUGCUGCUGCAUAAUCAUACUGCAUUAAAACUCAUUAAAAACCAGUUCAGCAUCAGUAGGUAUCGACACAUACGAAGCCUGCAUCGAUACGUAUGCUCUGAAAUCAAAUUUUUUGAAAAACUGCUUCAGUAUGCAUCGAUGCAUCUAUCGCCUGUAUCGAUACACAAGGCAAUUGUAAACACUAGGCAUCGACGCAUCCAUCGCAUGUAUCGAUACAUAUGACAAUUUUGAAAUACUUGGCAUCGACGCAUAACUCUCUGCAUCGAUACUUACUGCUGUCAUCUGAAUUAAAUGCAUUUUUUUCUCUCUCAUGCAUCGACACAUCAACCAAUCAUAUCAUCUCUUAUCUCAUUACUUCAUCUCAUCUGCCCUCAAAAACCCCAAAACCAGUGGCUAACCCUAAUCCUUCUCAUCUUCACUCUCUCACAAACUUGGUAAAACCCUAAAUCUCACAUCACCAUGCCUCCACGCACUAUUCCAGCCAGAGCCAAAGGAAAAGGAAAGGGAAAGGAAGCAGCCGGUACGUCUCAGCAACCACCAGAUGUUCCUUCAAAUGCCUUAGACAUUCUUCAUCCUGCCAUUGCUGCUGAAUUUGAGGAAUCCUUCAAGGCCAGGUUGGUAAUGAAACCUCAUAUCUUUGAUAAAACAGAUGCUGUUCACCUGCACCUAAAUGAAGUAGUUGAACUGUUACAUGCACAAAAACUUGGGUCCUUUCUAUCUACAAAAGAUGACUAUCAUGAGGAUUUCAUCCGGGCCUUUUAUGCUGGUUUACACACUGGUCCAGGCUAUAUGUUCCGGUGUUCUAUCGGAGUCAGAACAUAUACCUUUGAAGCCNNNNNNNNNNNNNNNNNNNNNNNNNNNNNNNNNNNNNNNNNNNNNNNNNNNNNNNNNNNNNNNNNNNNNNNNNNNNNNNNNNNNNNNNNNNNNNNNNNNNNNNNNNNNNNNNNNNNNNNNNNNNNNNNNNNNNNNNNNNNNNNNNNNNNNNNNNNNNNNNNNNNNNNNNNNNNNNNNNNNNNNNNNNNNNNNNNNNNNNNNNNNNNNNNNNNNNNNNNNNNNNNNNNNNNNNNNNNNNNNNNNNNNNNNNNNNNNNNNNNNNNNNNNNNNNNNNNNNNNNNNNNNNNNNNNNNNNNNNNNNNNNNNNNNNNNNNNNNNNNNNNNNNNNNNNNNNNNNNNNNNNNNNNNNNNNNNNNNNNNNNNNNNNNNNNNNNNNNNNNNNNNNNNNNNNNNNNNNNNNNNNNNNNNNNNNNNNNNNNNNNNNNNNNNNNNNNNNNNNNNNNNNNNNNNNNNNNNNNNNNNNNNNNNNNNNNNNNNNNNNNNNNNNNNNNNNNNNNNNNNNNNNNNNNNNNNNNNNNNNNNNNNNNNNNNNNNNNNNNNNNNNNNNNNNNNNNNNNNNNNNNNNNNNNNNNNNNNNNNNNNNNNNNNNNNNNNNNNNNNNNNNNNNNNNNNNNNNNNNNNNNNNNNNNNNNNNNNNNNNNNNNNNNNNNNNNNNNNNNNNNNNNNNNNNNNNNNNNNNNNNNNNNNNNNNNNNNNNNNNNNNNNNNNNNNNNNNNNNNNNNNNNNNNNNNNNNNNNNNNNNNNNNNNNNNNNNNNNNNNNNNNNNNNNNNNNNNNNNNNNNNNNNNNNNNNNNNNNNNNNNNNNNNNNNNNNNNNNNNNNNNNNNNNNNNNNNNNNNNNNNNNNNNNNNNNNNNNNNNNNNNNNNNNNNNNNNNNNNNNNNNNNNNNNNNNNNNNNNNNNNNNNNNNNNNNNNNNNNNNNNNNNNNNNNNNNNNNNNNNNNNNNNNNNNNNNNNNNNNNNNNNNNNNNNNNNNNNNNNNNNNNNNNNNNNNNNNNNNNNNNNNNNNNNNNNNNNNNNNNNNNNNNNNNNNNNNNNNNNNNNNNNNNNNNNNNNNNNNNNNNNNNNNNNNNNNNNNNNNNNNNNNNNNNNNNNNNNNNNNNNNNNNNNNNNNNNNNNNNNNNNNNNNNNNNNNNNNNNNNNNNNNNNNNNNNNNNNNNNNNNNNNNNNNNNNNNNNNNNNNNNNNNNNNNNNNNNNNNNNNNNNNNNNNNNNNNNNNNNNNNNNNNNNNNNNNNNNNNNNNNNNNNNNNNNNNNNNNNNNNNNNNNNNNNNNNNNNNNNNNNNNNNNNNNNNNNNNNNNNNNNNNNNNNNNNNNNNNNNNNNNNNNNNNNNNNNNNNNNNNNNNNNNNNNNNNNNNNNNNNNNNNNNNNNNNNNNNNNNNNNNNNNNNNNNNNNNNNNNNNNNNNNNNNNNNNNNNNNNNNNNNNNNNNNNNNNNNNNNNNNNNNNNNNNNNNNNNNNNNNNNNNNNNNNNNNNNNNNNNNNNNNNNNNNNNNNNNNNNNNNNNNNNNNNNNNNNNNNNNNNNNNNNNNNNNNNNNNNNNNNNNNNNNNNNNNNNNNNNNNNNNNNNNNNNNNNNNNNNNNNNNNNNNNNNNNNNNNNNNNNNNNNNNNNNNNNNNNNNNNNNNNNNNNNNNNNNNNNNNNNNNNNNNNNNNNNNNNNNNNNNNNNNNNNNNNNNNNNNNNNNNNNNNNNNNNNNNNNNNNNNNNNNNNNNNNNNNNNNNNNNNNNNNNNNNNNNNNNNNNNNNNNNNNNNNNNNNNNNNNNNNNNNNNNNNNNNNNNNNNNNNNNNNNNNNNNNNNNNNNNNNNNNNNNNNNNNNNNNNNNNNNNNNNNNNNNNNNNNNNNNNNNNNNNNNNNNNNNNNNNNNNNNNNNNNNNNNNNNNNNNNNNNNNNNNNNNNNNNNNNNNNNNNNNNNNNNNNNNNNNNNNNNNNNNNNNNNNNNNNNNNNNNNNNNNNNNNNNNNNNNNNNNNNNNNNNNNNNNNNNNNNNNNNNNNNNNNNNNNNNNNNNNNNNNNNNNNNNNNNNNNNNNNNNNNNNNNNNNNNNNNNNNNNNNNNNNNNNNNNNNNNNNNNNNNNNNNNNNNNNNNNNNNNNNNNNNNNNNNNNNNNNNNNNNNNNNNNNNNNNNNNNNNNNNNNNNNNNNNNNNNNNNNNNNNNNNNNNNNNNNNNNNNNNNNNNNNNNNNNNNNNNNNNNNNNNNNNNNNNNNNNNNNNNNNNNNNNNNNNNNNNNNNNNNNNNNNNNNNNNNNNNNNNNNNNNNNNNNNNNNNNNNNNNNNNNNNNNNNNNNNNNNNNNNNNNNNNNNNNNNNNNNNNNNNNNNNNNNNNNNNNNNNNNNNNNNNNNNNNNNNNNNNNNNNNNNNNNNNNNNNNNNNNNNNNNNNNNNNNNNNNNNNNNNNNNNNNNNNNNNNNNNNNNNNNNNNNNNNNNNNNNNNNNNNNNNNNNNNNNNNNNNNNNNNNNNNNNNNNNNNNNNNNNNNNNNNNNNNNNNNNNNNNNNNNNNNNNNNNNNNNNNNNNNNNNNNNNNNNNNNNNNNNNNNNNNNNNNNNNNNNNNNNNNNNNNNNNNNNNNNNNNNNNNNNNNNNNNNNNNNNNNNNNNNNNNNNNNNNNNNNNNNNNNNNNNNNNNNNNNNNNNNNNNNNNNNNNNNNNACCAGUGUUUGUUUCUUGUCGAAUUCAUGUGAGCAUAUGAAAGACUAAUCUGAUAUCUGGUUUGGCUCAAGAAUGCGCAAGAGCUAUUACGUUGGAGCACUUUGAAGUGUACAGUGGGAAGUCACAUCAUGAAAACAUGAUAAGUAGACGCUUCAUGCUUCUUCUGUAUUCUGGUCUCCAAUCACUCUUCUUUCAUAGAACAUUGUAGGUCAUCAUAUACGAAUUCUUGUUUCGUGUUGGGGGUAUUCAUAGAGAAGAUUGAGAUAGGGGACGUUCAGUGGUGUGAUCAAAGGAUCUAGCUGUGGGUUGCAGUGGAACGAUCGAGGAUCUAGCUGAGUCGAAGAUGAAGGGGUUGUUGGAAAAACCUACCGGUUUGUCCUUCAAUGAACUGGUGGUGUUCUUGAGUGGUUUCGGACGUCACAUUUUUGCAGAUAUCAGAUUUCAGGGUCUCUCUGCCGCAGCGUUGCGUUUGGUAGUAAUGCGGUUGCCAUUCUCCGCAAUGCAGCGUUCCGUUGCUGGGUAAGGCCGUUGUAAUUGUGUGGUUGGCAAUCUGUUAGUGCGAGGGAGAAAGGCUUUGAUUCGAUUGUCUGUUUUUCAGACUCUAAGUUGAAGUUUUAUACAGCAGUUCUUAAGUUUAGCGUCUUGGAGUUUAGAUAAUUCUUGGUUUGUUGUCUAAAACCUGCGUGUCAGAUCGGCUUCGGUUGCAAUAUUGAUAAUCAAGGUAUCUCAAUUUCUAUUAGAAAUUGAGAUGGGCGGACAGUACCCUACGGGACGCAGGGACGGACGGGCGUAAUCUUUCCCUUAACAAAUCUCUUGCGUAAUCGUCACUCUUUACCUAAUUCUCUUUACGUUUCAAAACUGUCUUGGCAAUUUUCUGCUUAGUGCUGUGGUGAUUGAUCAUAAUCUGGCACAGCAUUGAAUAAUAAAACCUUAAUCAUACACAUUGCUGUUUAUCAUCAAACACUCAGCACCACCAACUGUUUGACAAACGGUUAACUAAAUUGUGAUUCAUUGGCAAAAUGAUAUUGUAGGAUAGCGCAAUUCAAUCUGUUUAAUAUUCUGUGUGUAUUAUUUGUCAUUCUCAUAAAAUCCAGCAACUGCCACUUUGCGUAGUCCGGUGCUUUCUAGCUAGCCAGUUUCAGAAAGACGGAAGUCGAUUCGGGACUGCUUUUUCCGCUGUUUUCUGAAAACUCUGAUUAAACGUUAAAUCCGUUAAAUUUUAAAGAGGUGAUCUAUUCACCCCCCCUCUCGAUCACUAGCCACACCGUCUAACAAUGUUCAUUUUGGAGGGAAAUUGAAGAAUUUGAAUUUGGUUAAUCACAUGAGCUAAAUACCAUUGCCAUUGUGUUCAUGAAUUGAUUUUGAGUGAGUAUACACCUCCACAUGCUACUGUUCACGUCCAAAAUUUGCCAUGCACCUCACACUUUCCACUUUUGGUCAUACACCUUAUUUUUCUUAAUCUCAAUUAACCAAUGCAAAUGUGGAUUAACAAUAUGAUUAGGACAGAGUAUAAAUGCCAAAUCAUAACAGAAUUCUGGAGUUUUUUUCACUCAUUAUAGAUCUAGAUCCAAAUUCCCUCCAAAAAUUCUCUCAAUCCAAAUUUGAAAAUUCUUCACAUAACACUUGAAUUUUAUUGCAUAUUCGAGUUCAUUUAUCAUCACUGAGUGUAAAUCAAGUUGUGGAUUAAAGGUUUUGGUGAAGAAUCAAGCAAAUCGUGCAUGAACACAUGAACAUGGAGCUUUGAGUUUCAGCAAGAUCCAAGCCAAUUGAAGCAUCAAAUCAUGUACCAGACUUCAUAGCAAGGUUGAGGAAGAAUCUGGAGCUGAGAGCACUUGCCAAUCCUCAUUAAAUCAGUUCAUUGCUUCUUCAGGUUCGGUUAAAAAUAUCGAAUCUCCUUAAUUCUUCAACAUGUUUAGGUAGAUCUCAUCAUGCUGAGAAUUCUGAUGGUUAUAGAUUUAAAUUUGGUUGAGAUUUGGUUGAGAUAUGUUAGUUUUAAGUUUUGAACAUGAAAGAUGUUUUCAUUCGAUUCAUGAAAUGUGUGAUGAUUUAGACUUAGUUGAUGAUAGAUCCAUGUUCUACGCCUCAUGAGCUUUCGAUUGGUAUUUUUAUUGCGCGAUUCUGGAUUUUUUUUUUGUUGAAGCUACUGUAGCCUCGCCGGUCUCAACGAGGAAGACGGUGGAAACCACCGUCAACCUUCGCGUGUGAUUAGUGGCAGACGCUUCUGGUUGAGCGUUAGGGCUUGUCCCUGUCAUCGCCACGCAUGCGUCCUGCUAGUGAAACCAUAGGCCAGGAUUCCUUUGACUUGUCUACAUGUGCUUGGACUUUGCUGACUGGAACGCCACUUCAAUUAAUGAAGUGUUGCAUUUUGGAACCUUGCGCCAUACCUCCAUUCGAUUCCCAAUGGCAGCGCUUUUGUGAUUUAUUUCUUCAGCGCCUUCUAUUUUUUCAUGUACCUGGUUCGAUUCCAGCUGAUAGCAUAUUUUCAAAUUAAUCAAUCCAAUUUCAUUUCCCUCCAAUUAUCAUGUGCUUUCUUCAUUUUUAUUUCAAUAUUUCCAUCCAACUUCAAAAAAUCAUAACAAAUAGAAUAUUGAUCCAAAUUGAAUGCAAUUUUUUCCUACAUGUUCAUCUUGAUGUCUAGUAUUUUAUAAUGUCCAUUUCCCGAUUUUAUCAUUUCUGGAUUUUGAAUGGUGAACUGUUAUUUGAACAUGAUGCAAAAUGUGACAUGUUGUACCAAUUCUCUUGUGAAAUGCUCAUUAAUUGGCCAAUUGCUUUGAAAUUUGAUAUGCUGAUUCCUAACAUGUUACAUGAUAUUUGAGCUUUUAUUUGGCAUUUUUAGCAUAUUCCAUCUCUGUUUGGGACACAUGGAUGUAUGGUGUGACAAUGUGUGUCACACAUUUUGAUGUUGCUCUUGUUCAUUUUCAUAUACAUGUCAAUUGAGCUUUUCUGAUUCUAAUUUUUUGCAUGAUGCUUGUGUUUAACAUGUUGUGUGCACAUAAAAAUUUCCAUGGUUAUUUGAUUCAUUUCUGUUUUAAUAUGGAAUUUCUACUCUUAAUGUCCAAUUGUGUGCUUUGUAAUUGCAGCUUGUGUUUAACAUGUUGUGUGCACAUAAAAAUUUCCAUGGUUAUUUGAUUCAUUUCUGUUUUAAUAUGGAAUUUCUACUCUUAAUGUCCAAUUGUGUGCUUUGUAAUUGCCUUUGCCUUAUUUUGCGCUUUAGAUGGCUUUGCUUAUUGAUUUGGAUUUGAUCCUUUUUAGGACAUGUUCUCACUUGAUUAAAUGUGUUUCAUGUUGAAUAUAACCUUCUGUUUUGACUUUUUGCUUUGCCUUUGACCCUAGUCUUGGACCAGUGGUUUGUACUCACCUUUUGAGCUUUGUAUUUCAGGUUCAAGCAAUUAACUCUAAGUGUUGAUGUGAUCUUAAUUCAUGAGAUGCAAAUUACUUUGUACACUAACCUUGGUUGUGUUGUAGGGUCAUUGGUGAUGAACUCAUUUGAGUUGUUGACUUGUAUUGUGUACAUAUUGAGGAACCACUGUUGUUGACUGUUUGGUGUGUCUGAAUGUGAAUACUGACUGUUUGACUCUUUUACAGGUACUUUAGUCGCUUUUAGCUCAUUCCUUGAGCUUUGCUUUGCUUGUGGUUGGCAUACCACCUAGGUAAUCAUUCUCUAACUCCAUGUAGUCUGGAAGCCCUGUCGUUUCUUUUGGCAAGCAUUUGGCUGAAGUCCUCCUUAAGAGGCAAUGACUAUGGUUGUUUAUAUUUGUGCCAUGUACUUCAAGUCCUCCUAAGUGAAGAGGCAAUUGGCAGAUUGAAGGGAUUAACAAUCAAUCCCCUGCUAAUCAUUUGAUUCGUUCGUUAAGCUCGCACUACGUGCUGAUGCUCUUAAACCUAACCCAAGAUCUUUGUAUAUAGAGUCAGUCAGGUGGAGUAGGGUCCCACAUUCUGGAUCCCCACGCCUUCUUUGUCUUGAGCUCACCCAGGCCCGGGUUAAGAGCUAUGUCCAGAAUAGGAGUAAUGGAAAGUAGACGAGUGGGACUGCCAGUUAUUCAGUGGUUAAGAGCCUCAGACACCCCUUCCAGUGUUGGCUUGUUUGUCGAGGUUGAUAUGACCCCUUGACUAAAGCCCAGCCUUGUAUGAGCCGCUUGUUUGCAUAUAGUGUGUGAUACUUAUUCACCUGUGAUGUUUACUUGCUAUUUAUUUGCUGUUUCAACUUGCUUGCGUUGCGAGUUAGGAUCUGUUUAGAUACCUCAACCUAGGACUAUUGUGGAUUGCAUGACAACUUCUAGGCUCGAGUCAUAGUCUCCCUUUUAGUUGUUAUCUCCCUAGUCUCUGGUUAGGACAGUUUUUCCCUGUUAAGGGGAACUACGUCGCUCUGAUCCUCAUACCAGAUGAGGUACGUAGGCAGGAGAUCGUGCGAGAUCUCUCCGGGCACCCUUUUCUUUUUUGGCGUGUGUUUUGCUUGACAGCUAUUAAGUCCGAGUUCCCGACUCCCUUUUAGUCUGUGUGUUCAACCUCUUUGUUUCUUUUGACGUCUCAACGUCUUCUUGGUGUUUGCUUGACAGCUUUUAGGUUCGAGUACCAGACUCCCUGUUAGCUUGUCAAUUUGAUAACCUUUGUGUGUGUGUUUGGAGUCUGAUGUAAGCCCAGCGAUUGGCAUUCGGUUUCCCGUUUGUGUUUGUUUGUUUGGAGUCUGAUGUAAGUCCAGAUAUUGGCCUUCGGUUUCCUGUUUCGUUUGUGUGUUCGGAGUCAGAUGUAAGACCAUUGAUUGGCUAUCUGUUUCCUGUUUCUUUGUUUGGAGUCGGAUGUAAGCCCAGCUAUUGGCAUUCCGUUUCCUUGUUGAGUUUCUUUUGACGUCUCAGCGUCUUUGUUUUGUGUUUUGUUUCGACGUGCGUUAGCCGAACUACGGUAGCUCUGAUUCUCAUUCCAGAUGAGAUACGUAGGCAUAGGAUGCGAUAUCCUAGCGAGCCCGUUCCCCAUUUCCCCAAACUACGUUGACUCUGAUGUUUGUUUCUGUAGGCCCAAGAUGCGACAUCCUGCCGAGUCCCCUUCCUCCGUCUUCUUUCACCUAUUUGCUUAUUCCAGUGCGUGUGCAUUCUUUGAGCAGUUUCUCAGCAACCUAUUCUAUUCUUUUGAGCGUGGAUCCCGUCGAGUACGACGGACGUGAGGGGUGCUAAUACCUUCCCCUUGCGUAACCGACUCCCGUACCUUGCAAUCUCUGGUCGUAAGACCAUUCCUUUCCCUUUUUCAGGUUUACUUAGAGCGUUUCCUUUCCCUCCUUUGGGAUAAAUAACGCACGGUGGCGGCUCUGUGUCUUUUUCCCGCCGGUUGUUUUUCGCGUUGCGACACAUGUUUCUUUCCUUCUAUAAUGUUUCCUUGUUGGAUGCAUUAUGCAUGUCUCGCUAGGCGAGCAAACCAGUGGCUUGCAGUAGAAUAUGUUUUGCUAUGUUUGCUAGGACUCGGUAGGUCUCGCUAAGCGAGACUGUUGAUCUUAAGGAAAUGUAACAUUUUUACUUGUCUCGCCUGAGUCUCACUGUGAGCUCGCUAGACGAGAGCUUGCUAUACGAGAGCUCGCUUAAAGGCCUCGCCGGGUCUCACUAAGUGAGACAAGGAACAGUCCAAAGGUCUGAAAUUUAUGCCUCACAUCACUUGAAGCUCACCCCGAGCUCGCUAAGCAGGGGCUCUGAUACUUGGAAAAAUGUUAAGUGUUCCUAUUUCCACUAUAAAACGGGGAUCAUAACUUUGAUUGACGUGAUAUAGAAUGCCUUGAAGAGAUAAUGCAAUAUUAUAUCUAUUGAGAUAUGAAUCAUGCAUGUAUCUCAUAAUGUUUUAUGUAUUAUUAUAUUUAUGUUGUGAAUUAUAUUAUGAAUUGUUGGUUGAAUUGAAUGCAUAAUAACUGAAUUAACUUAUGAUGUUGAGUGAGGUGAAUCUAGGUUAAUAACUAGGUGAAUGAACUAGUAAUAACAACUUAGGUUAUGAAGAUGACUUAAGUGUGAUGCUUGGACGCGAAGGUACCUCGGUGUGUAUCACAAAUGAGUAGCUGCUAGAAUUAUGAAUUAAUAGGCUUUGUAUGGAACAUGUUAUGAUGAUAUGAGAAUUGGUGAAUGUGAUCACCUAGUGAUUGAUGAGUGAAAUCAUGUUCAUGUGAACCUAAUCAUGUAUUCAGAAAUAACCCUUGAUCAUGAACAUCCCAAUUGAGAUGCUUAUGUGAAGUAGGAUUGGUAUGUAGGAACCAUUGGUUCGUGCCUCACAAAUGGUUUUGAGUCUCAUUAAUGGGUUUGAGUCCCAUAAAGGAUUAGUUGACCUUCAAGUGGGUUAGAGUCCCAUACGAGGAAAGAUACACUACUACAGAUAAUACAUUUCAUGACAAUGAUUCCACCUUCAUAGGGACCUUUAGGAGGUCGAGUACCUUCCCAUAUCUGAGUACAAACCUUCUUUGAAUAGAGCCAUGCAUUUAAUCUCGGAGAACCUUCGAACUUUAUAUGUUAGGUACUUGUGCGUUAAUUUGAAUGUUCUUUCUCUUAUCUGAGUCCAUCUCUAAAAGGUACCUACAACAAACUUUAAAAUUCCCCACAAAGUAAUGAUUAUAUGAGAAAAAAGGCCCAUUUUAAUGCAAAUGAUAUGAUAUGUCAUGCAAAUUUUGAUGUAGGACAUAUAUGUGAAUAGAACAACCUGACGGAGGGCUUCUAUAAAAGGUCCUAGGUUUUUCUACCCAACCCCUUCACAAGGCAUGUUCUAGGAUUUCAUUUGGUUGUGUGAGAAUACACCUACAGUUACAUACCAUACAUGGAAUUUCAUCAUGAUAGGGCGUAACCCUUCCAUGAUAAAAUUUCAACAUGCGCAAGGUUAUGGACCACAUGUGGAAUUUCAUCAUGAUAUGGCAUAACCCUUCCAUGAUAAAAUUUCAAUAGGGUUCCCCUUAGAGAGCCUUCAUAUAAAAGAAGUCUCGUGUUCGGGUUCUAGAAGAGAUCCCUAGAGUCAUGGAUCAAAUUCAAAGUUUCAUCAUGAAGAUGGGCUAGCCAACUCAUGACAAACUCUUUGAAAUGAUCUAUUCUAGACAGAGCCCUCGUUAAAAAGCCCAUGAGAUAAGAAUCCGCAGUGGCCAAAAUAGGACAAACCCCUUACAUAAACUUAUGUUUCAUCUCGUCAAACUCGAAUAUAGAGCUUGCUCUCAAACAGAAAUGAAAAAACCGAAGAGUGUUAAGAACAAAGGUAUGAAAUAAUAAAGUAAUAAAAUAAAUAAAUAAAGACAAACAAAGAAAUAAGAUAAAUAAAUAAAUAAAUAAACAAAACAAACAACCCUAGAACUAAAGGGUAGACUUGACUCUCUUUAGGAAAAUUCCCCAGUAGAGUCGUCAGCCGUCGCAUCUCAAAAAAUAUGAUCUCGUGAAGCGCAUUGAAUGCUCGCGGAUGGACUGACAGAGUCGCCACCGUUCUGUAUUUAUUCCUAAGAAAAGGGAAAACGAUGAUAAAAUAGUAAGGAAAAAAAAAGGAUAAGAUGGUCAUCCCUCACAUCUAUUGUACUCAACGAGAACAUCAUAAAGUUCUAAGGUUGAUUAUUUGUUAAGGGUCUAUUUAUUUUAUUUUAUUUUUAUUCGAGUGUUUACAAAAAGAAAUUAUUUACAAUGGAACAAGUGUUUUUAAUUAUUCUACUUGCCAAGGUUUCAAAACUUCGUGCCUAUGUAUUCUAAUUAUGCAAUAAGAAAAUCAGAGCAUUGUAGUUCGUAAAAAAAGUUUGUGUGUUGGUUGCUUUUAUAUGAUAGAAUUUAAGUCAUUCUUGCAUUCAAACGUCGUCUUGAAUGCUAGCCCUAUGGAGGCUUAAGCGCUUGUUUUGUUUUGCGUUGAAAAUUACUCGGAUUAUCCUUUUAUGAAAAAGAUUGUUGGAAUGGUGCACAAGGGCACAUAAGAGGUUUGAUGAAUGGUGUUUGAUUUUAUGUGUUUUGGUUCUAAGUAAUUGAUCAAUGCAGAGAGCGCUAACCAAUCAAUUACUCAGGGACAUGGUGGAUGUGUAUCCACCUCCCAUUUGUAAAAAAUAUUGAUUUAAUUUAACUUAUAAAAGUAGUUUGAUGAUAUUACCAAUAUGAAUUAUUUACAAGUUGAGAAAAAAAAUCUUAUUUUGUAUUUAUUUUAUUAAUUUGAAUAUAAGAAGGAAUAUUAUAUAUAUAUUUUUAAAAUUGAUUUUAAAUAAGAAGAAGGAUUAUGAUUGGUUGUUUGAACUUAUAAAAUAAAGGGAAAUAUUAUUCAUCAUUCUUUAUCAUUAACCAACUAAUUAAAAUUAGAAUUAAAAUGAAAAAAAAAUUGUUUUAAAUUAAAUAAAAAAGGACAGUUUUUGUAACUAGCUAACAAUUAGUUAAACUAAUUAACACUUAAGCACAAUUUUAAAAAAAACACUAAAUGACUAACUUAAAAAUACAAAUAAAUAAUAAAAAUAAUAAGAAAUAAGAAAAUAAAAUAGAAUUAGGAGGGGGUGCAAAUUCAGUGGGGAUAUUGGACUUUAAGCAACAUUGGAGGGUGUGAGAAGCAAUGGGCAUUAGGCCCAACUUUCAAAAUCCCAGACAGAAAGGAGAAAAUAAAAAAAAUGGAAAAAAAACUUGGCAAACAUGGGCCACUAAAUCUGAUUACAAAGAGAAGUCAAGAUUCCUCCUGGGAGUCAACUGAUCAUAUUGAUGUGAUUGAAGGUUUUUGAUAACAAGGGUGGUUGGCAGCGCAUGGGACUAGUCAAUGGUCAUCUUAUCUGAGUGGCCAGGAGAAGCCAUAUGUUGCUCAUCUGCAACGAGAUGAUGAGAGUAUAUAAACGAAACUCUCUUGAGAAACUCUCAUUUCCUUCUCUUCUUUCUCUCUCUAAUCCCCCAUAUCUCUUAUUUCUACUCCCUUUUCCCUCUUUCUAAGACCACCACCCCAGGGCUCUCCCAUAUCUCUAAAACACCUCGAGCUGAAAAUCGCCUCUGCCGGUGGUUCCACCCUGGCAACCUUUAAUAGACCAUCCCUUUCAACCGGUGUUCAUCAAGAUGAUGAACAUUAACCCAGAUAUUCAACCAAACAUGAACCUUAGGCUUUUGAAACCCAGAACCCUAAGAACCAUACACCUAAAACAUGAACCCUAACGAACCCUAACCCUGACCUUCAAUCUAAACCCAUAUUCCUAAGAACCCUAACAAUAUUAACAUGAACCAUAAACCUAACUCCAAGAACCCUAACUACCCAGAACCUUCAUCUUCUUCUUCAACCAUUAACCUCUAAACCUAAAUCAACCCAGAACCAUACGUAACCCAUUCCAAAUCCACCCUACCCUUUUCCAAACCUUAUAUAAGAGCUUCUUAAAUAUUAAUCCACCCUCAAAACAACAACAUCAAGCCAAAAAAUCUCAAACCAUAACACCUCAAAAUCAUCUUCUGUUUGAACACAAGUCGAACCUUUCCUAAACCUAAAUCAUACUAGAGCAACAUGUAAACAUAAAACAAUCCCCAUAACUACAACAAAAACCCUAACUUUUAUGAAACUCAACCAUUCGUGCGAAGAGAUUCAACAAGAAAGCCUACCUACAAGGAUGAGACUUUCCCUGGUGAAAAGGUAAUAUAUUUCCUUUGAUCUUUAUUUCUUUUUAAUGCUGCUAUCUUCUACUUUCUAGUCUUCCUUCUGGCUCUCCUUCCUUUUCCUUUUGAUGCAAGGUCUGGCUUAUGGAAUCCUGAUGGAGUGAUUGGAGAAAAAUUUAGGACUUUAGUUGUUAUUGUUCUUCAGGGUGAAAAACAAUAACUUAAGGUUAGAAUUUGUGAAUGAAGAACUGUAAAAAAGCUUUGUUAUUUAUAGUGAAAAUUAGGUUUAGGUUUUUAUGUCAGAUUGAUUAGAUUAGAAAGUUUUGGAUGUAAUUUGUUAGUCUUCCCAUAUUGAAAUGUAAUAGAAAUUCCAUAUUAAUGAAAAGAUUAUAUAUUUGCUUUUUUCUUCUAUUUGAUCCUCUCUGAUUCCACUGUUCAUGCUACUGUAGGUUUUGUUCUAAUUUUAAACUUUUAGACUUUUGUUUAACUUCGUUGACUCAGUAUAAUAACAAAAUAAUAAUAGAGAAAAAAAAUGACAAUAACGUUGUUGAGAAAAUAAUAAGUUUAAAAAGAGAAAAAUAAAAAGACACUCUACUUAAUAUUAAAUAAUGAUAAUUAAAAAUACUAAUACUAAUGUUAUUAAUUAGAAAUAAUAAUAGUAAUAAUAAUAUCCUAAUAAUACUAAAUAAACAAUAAUCUAAUAAUAAUAAAUAAUAAUACUAAUAGAUAGUAGUUUAAUGAUAAUAAUUAAUAAUAAUCUAAAUAAUACUUAAUACUUAAUUAUAAAAUUACUAAUUUUGCUAAAUAAUCACAAUGUCAAAAAGUAGUAACAUUAGCAACAAAAAUAAAAACGCUUUAUGUGCCAGUGAACAUAAAAAAGAGAUAAUCACAAUGACCAAAAAUAGUAAUAUUAGCAACAAAAAUAAAAAACACUUUAUGUGCUAGUGAACUUAAAAAAGUAGAUAAAAGUCAAAAUGGUCCUCCUUUGACUUUUAGGUUAUUCGAGUUGACCAGAUAACUUAAUCAUGAAUGACUUAGAUGGAACAUGGCCUUAGAUGAUAACUCAAGUGAACUGAGACUGACGCAAGGCACUCAUGCAUUGGACCUACCCUAAUGUAAACUAUAGUUUUAAGACACUGAGAUGGAUAAAGUAAAUGGGGUCAAAAUUUGGACUAUGAUAAUGAACAACACCUUUCAAAUGUCAAGUCCCACCAUGAAAACAAGUCUUAGGUAGCAAAUCUAAAACAUGUAUUAAGAACAAAGAUCCAUCAAUAUUAAAUCUUGAAUAAACUUACAUAGAACUCCAUGAACUAUUUAGUACUGGAAUAUAAUGACUACAUCUACAUCCAACAAAAAUAUUUUUAGCUACGCUUACUCAUCGUAGUUGUUUCGAUAAUCCUGGGAAGAUAAUCUUGGAAUUUUAUCUGCCAUAAAUCUCCCACUCUUGUUCUCUUAUUGGAGACCAAUGUGAACCUACUUCAAUUCUAUACUACCCCAAUCCACCGAAACUCCACUAAAAUUGAAUUGGGAACCCCUAUUUAUUGUUGAUAAAAUAGGAGUUUCGUUGGGCGCGCUUUCCUCUCGACCAUCGAGCCUGCUUUUCUUUAGGGUAAGAAACUUCUAGUUAAUACUACAGUUAGCCAUAAUUCCCCCUUGGCACUGGGUGCACCGCUCUCUCGAUCAACGAAGCAACCCUUCCUUCACCAUGAAGUAACUUAGCCUUAAAGUCUUAUAGCUUUCUGAGUUUGUUGGGCGUGCCCAGAGUCACGACUCAAUGAGCCUGUCUUGACUGAAACUUUGUUGGGACUUUGUUUUAGCUACGCCUUUGUGCCAUGAUUUAUGAUUUUCCAGUUCUUUUUACAUGUUUUUGAUUAAUACAUACUAGAAAACUCCAAAAAGUUAUUCCAAUUUUUUUUGUCAUGAUUGCUUGUAAAAUAAGUUAAUAAGUUCUUACGUAUUUAAUGUAUUUCUCAACCUUAUAAAUGAUUAACAUCAUCUAUCCUUAAAGAAUUAUUCGAAUUCUCAUAAUUCAAAUUUCAUCUUUACUGCAGAUUAAUAUAUAUAAGUUUUGCAAGAUCUUACGUAUUUAACUUAUUUCUCAACCUUAUAAGUGAUUAACAUCAUCUAUCCUUAAAGAAUUAUUUGAAUUCUCAUAAUUCAAAUCUCAUAAUUUAAAUAAAUAUUACCUACAUUUCAGAGAUUAAUAUAAAUAAAUUUUGCAAGAUCGAAACCUAAAAUGACAUAUGAUUUAAAUGAUUAAAACUAAACAAAAAGUAUAAGACUAAAAUAAAUAUUGAUAAAUAUCAUAUACUUAUUUAGUUUAAACAAAAAAUAUUUUUAUAAGAUUUCAUAAAAUAAACACAUUAAUAUAUUCUACUUUUUCAUAUGUAUACAAAAUGACAAAUAAAAACAUCUAAUAUAAUAAUAUUAGCAUUAUCAAUUGACUAGUCCUCACAUAAUGUUUUUUUUAAAGAGAGAAUGAAAAAUAAAAAUUAACCAAGGUUGUAACUAAUUUUUCUUAGCCAGACAAUAAGAUAGAAUUAAAAAAAAACAUUGCCACCGCCCUACUCAACUUUGUAAUCUCAUUUUAUUUUUCUUCCCAAACAAGUUACAAUUUUCAUGGAUUCUUAAACUUUCAUUUUGUCAUCAACCUUAACUUAGAUGCCUUUUUACAUGUCCUUUUUCAUAUCUUCUUCAACAAAAUUGGAUGAAUCUUAAAUUUAAUAUGGUGACAAAAAAUAGUGUUAAAGAUAAGGCCCCAUAUUACUAAUAGCAUUUAAUUUGAUGAUACUUUUGAGGCUCUAUAAAUAAGAGUGUUGUAAGAACAUUUUCUUCCAUCCUUUUUUCAAGUAUCAUUUUGUUUUCUAAUUAUUUAUUUAGAAUGAUUAAUUUCAAAUCUUUUGAAAAAGAGUAUGAAGACCGACCACACUAAGAGUAGAGACGUCACCACCCCGAUGAACCAGAUCCUGAUCCACCAAGUAUGAACCUUGAAAUCAACAUCAAUUUAUUUGUUUAUCAACUUUGUUUAAGAUUUGGGUGAAUUAAAUUUGUGCAUGAAACUGAUAAAAGAUUUUAGGAAAAAACAUCCAUAUGAUGAAUUUUUAUAACCACUCUUCGUAUAAAUGCAUUUGGUGUAUGAUUAAAUUUUGUUGUUAUAGUAACUUAAUUAUGUAUGUUUUUGAUGAAGGUCCAAAGAUAAGCGUCUAUGAAGAGCUCAAGAGGUGUUACAACAUUGAAAAAGGUAAAAAAUUUAUAUGUUUUAUUUUAAUGGGAUUGAUAAGUAAUGUAAAUCUUGGUUAAUUAAGUCAAUUUUGUAAAAUUUUGCAACUUUAGGUGGAAGAAAAAUGAUUUUGGAGCCACUUCAUGAUGGAACCUGCAAGGAACAAGGAGGUGAAAAGUAUGGUGAUAGCGAAUUUGGUGGUAUUAGUGGCGGUGUCAGUCAAGGAGGAAGUAGUAGAGGUGGCAUAUGGAGAGGUAGGGAAAAAGGAGGUGGAAGUGGUAGUGAUGGAGAAGAUUAUGGUGGUGGAGGAAGUGGAAGUCGAAAAGGAAGAGAAUGUGGUGAUAAAGGCAGUAGAAUUGGAGGAGAUUAUAGUGGUGGAGCAAGUGGUGCUGGUAAAGGCAAUGAAGGUGGAGGAGAUUAUGGUGGUGGCAAAGGCGGUGGUAGUAAAGGAGUUUAUGGUGGUGGAAGUGAAUGUGGAAGUGGUAGCAAAGGAGAUUAUGGUUGUGGAGCUAGUGGUGAAAGUGGAGAAGGUUGUGGUAAAUGGGGAGAUUAUGGAGGUGGAGCAGGUGGUGGUAAAGGAACUGGUAGCGGAAGAGAUUAUGGUGGUGGAAGUGGUAGAGGUAACAUAGGAGAUUAUGGUGGUGGAGGUAGUGGCCAUGGAUCCGGUGGUGGAAGUAGACGUGACGACAAUGAAAGUGGAGAAGGUGGUGGAAGCAAAUGAGAAGAAGGAGGUUAUUAAUGCAAUGGUACAUGAGACUUCUAUGAUUUAUGGCAAAUAUAAAAAUAGAAUAUAAAUAUUGAGAUGUUGAUAGUAAUAAUAAUAAUAAUAAUAAUAAUAAUAAUAAUAAUAAUAAUAAUAAUAAUAAUAAUAAUAAUAAUAAUAAUCACCAUCAUGGAAAGUUCCCAUAAUUCAUUAUAUGUUUUGUUCAUAAAUACCUAUUGAUAAAUACAAACAAUACUUAAAUACUCUAAUUAAAAAGUGUUCAAAUAAUAUACCUUUAAUAUUAUUAGUAUCUUUGCAAUUCACUCAAUAUUAUUUUAAAAAAAAAAUCAAUCAAUUCUAAUGGGUCAUGAAAUCCCUAAAAAUUUGUUUAUUAUAUUAUAUAUUCCCUUCACCCUUCUUAAUUAAGUAAUGUAUAUAAAUAUUCCGAAGUAUCAAAUCAUCAUGAUUCAUAAAUAAAAAUAUAAAAACUAACAUUGAAUGACAUAAAUAAAAAUAUAAGAUAAUGAUGGGUGCAUAAUAGACUCAAAUUUCUAAUUUGUUGUUUGAAAAUUUUAACAGUAAAGUAUAUAUACUAAGCAAGGCGAAACUAAUAUUCGCACAAAAUCAUUGCCUCGAGGAUCCUGAACGGGAGUUAAAGAUCCAGUUGUUUUGGGGGGAAAAUUAUUUACAUUUUUUAGUUACCAAUAUGAUCUUAUACUUUAAUUUCACUUACAUUUUAUGGUAAGAAAAAAGGAGUGUCAUGAAAGUAAUAAAACAAAAAAAUAAUAUAUAAUUAAUUAAAUGGAUGUGCAAGCAGACUAAGUGAAUGUAGCUUUUGCUUGAAUAGCACAAUUUGUUUUCACCAAAAUAUCAUUUCAAAUGCACGUUUAACGUAACUAACGCCAUACCAAACAUAUGCUCUUCAAGGAAUUUGAAUUUGAAACUUUUAUCAUCUGAAAUCAUAGAUUUAGUAUAUAAAAAGAAUUCUAAUUCUAAUUUUUAUUCAUCUAAAUUAGUAGUUGAAACUAGAACUUGAAUCAAAAUUCUCAAAUACUAAAAAAUCCAUACAAAUAUCUAAACUUAACUAAAAUCGAUAUUGUUCGUUGAUGUGGAGCAUAACACAAGUAUCAUUUCUUAUCGAUCUAUCGAUCUAAAUCAUUCUUUGAUCGGUAAAACUUGUAACUCGAGAUUAUUUUGUAUAAAUUUAUCAAAACCCAUUUGUGUUCUUAUUAUUUGAUUUCAUGAAUUUCAUUAAAAACCAAACAUUGGAAUUAUAUGUUGUGCACUUUAAUUUUUGUUAAGUGGAGUUCGACAUUUGAUAUACAAUAAUUUAAAAUUAGUGAGUCUAGAUAAAUAAGAAGUUCAAUAUGUUGUCUAGAAGCUAUGGGUUUUUUCCUUUUCUAUAUUAUAAAUUAAAACACAUGAAUUUCAUCGGAAAUUAAUUAUUCUAAUUUUGAAGACAAAAAUUUAUUAUCGUCAUUUUAUUUAAUUACGGUAAAAUUUUACCCGCGUAAAUAUUUUAUAAAUUGAUUAAUUGAUAUUGUUAUUCUAUUAUUAUUAUUAUUAUUAUUAUUAUUAUUAUUAUUAUUAUUUGUAACACCCAUAUUCUUUUCCUAAUUGUGCUUAGUGUCUAAUUGGUUAAUUGAUGAAGAAUUAGUUGUCCUAACCUAACUCUAAGCACUUGAUUAGAGGUGAGUGUCGAUCAUUAGUAAUAAGGGGCCAUGUGCAAGGGCAAAUCAAUAUGUUCUAAUGGUAUUAUAAAACUUAAACUAAAGAGAAACCUCAUUUCUCUACAUAUUUUCUCUUGGUUAGUAACUUGAAUAUCAAAUGUGACAUGAGAGGAAGAAUAAGCCAAUGACACUUAAUGGAUGUCGAGUUGCAAGUUAGAGCUAACCAUCCAGGCUUCACCCAACCAAGUGAUGAAGUCCUUUUGUUAAAUCAGAGAUUAUAUGUGCCAAUUGAUUCAGAGUUGAGAAAUGUGAUAUUGGAAGAAGCUCACAAUUUCCCUGUCAUACCCCAAUUUUGUCCUUCCUUCAAUAAGUCGACAUCUUUAUCAUGACAUUCGCAUCAUCUAUAUACCGAUUGAAUUGAUUCUCAAAUGAACGUGAAAUUAGCGAGCAUAAAUUUUAAAAUCGAGCUUGUAGAUGUCAAUUUUAUUAAUCUAUAAUUCGUGUAGUUUAACAUGGCGUGUUCGUUUUAUUUUUUCGAUUACUUUUUCAAUCACAUUUUGAUUAGUCUAAGCCUUUUAACCAAUAUUUUUUUAUUUUAAAAUUUGAUCAAAAUCUGUAUGUUUAUGAGAAGUUUAUUUCACACUGAUCAUUUUUGUGCAUUUAGUUUAAUUUUUCGAGCAUUUUUGCGCUCAACUUUUAUUCAAUUUAAGUCAUUUAUUAUUUUUUUGUCAAAAUGUUUGAAAUAAGUAAAUUGAAUUUUCAAUGUUUUUGUUUCGAGUUGAUUUUGAUUAUUUAGAUUAAUGUAAUUUAAUUUGAUUUAAUUUAUUUGCAACUAUUUUUACAUAAUUUUCACUCAAUAAGAGCAUGUUGGAUAUUUAAUAAAAAUAGAAAACCCUAGCAUAUAUAAGUUAAUAAGUGCUGAAAAAAGAGGACCUCAAUUUUGCAAUCCACGUCACCUCUUUUUUGGGACAAACAGAAAUUGAAUAAAUUAAAGAAUUGAACCAAUAACAGCUACAGUGCACCGUUCACUUUCCAAAAUCUCCCUCUCAUUUGACAUACCAUCUCUUAACCCCUAACAUAUACUUGCUAUUGUAAAAAAAAAAGGCUUAAAUGCACUUUUGAUCCCCUUAGUUUGAGCGUUUUAAACAAUUGUUCCCCCUAUUACAAAACCAGUGAUUCUGGUCCCUUAAUUUUGAUGGUCUUUGGAUUUUUAUGGUCCCCCUCCACUUUUACAUACAUGAAAUUGAUGAUUCAGAUAAAAAAUAGUUUUGAAUGAUAUAUCAUUGAUGACUAGGAUAAUUUAUUAAUUAAUAUUUUUUAUAGAAUAAAUUAAUAAUUAAUUAUUUCAAUUAAUAUUUUUAGAAAUUAAUUAAUUAAAAUUUUGAAAAGAAUUAUUGGGCCUAAGCCCAAUUCAUGACAAAAUCCUUUUCAAACUCGUGCCCAAGAAGACAUUGAAUAAUACAUUGUUGACUUUUAUAAACACUAAAAUUGUUUAUGAAAAAAACAAUGUGGGACAUAAUUCCCCUUUUUCCUUAUGACUUCUACUCAGAUCUCUAUCAUAAACUGAAUAUGCACUGAUGCUUUUCAAGAUAUAACCACCCAAAUAAACAUAAUCUAGUAGCCAUCAUAUUUGAUUAGGUUUUGAUGUCUAAAGAUCAUAAGGAGUUCAAUUUCGUUGUGCAUGAUAUUUAACCGCUUUUACUUGUUCCGUCCAAAUUCAAACUUCUUUACAACACAAAUUUUUUGAUGAAUCAUAGUUUCUACAUAAUACCAUGUGUUCCUCUACCAAUAAUUUACUGAUCACUUAGAUUCUUCGUAGCUUGCAACACUCGUUUCUUAAGGGAGAAUGACUUACCUGAGAUGUUGAAUUUCCUGAACAUAUUCAAGUCCAAUCCAUUUAGCUCCUCCAUUAAUAUAAUACCAUUGAUUUAGAUCAGACUCCAUAUCUGAUUCCUUUCCAAGAAGACACCUUUGAACUAUUAUUACCAGUAUAACAGAAAUCAAUAUUGAGGAUCUAAUUGAUAUCAUCACAAUUUGAACAUUACUAAUACUGAUACAUUUAUGUUCAGUUGAGUGGUGUGAUUUGGAGACACAUGGAUUUAGAUUUAGGGGAGAACAAAGGUAUGAAAUAAUAAGGAAAUAAAAUAAAUAAAAAUAUCAAAACAAAUAAAUAAGAUAAAAAUAAAACAAAUAAACAAACAAAACAAACAACCCUAGAACUAAAUGGUAGGCUUAACUUUCUUUAGGGAUAUUCCCAACCAGAGUCGCCAGCUGUCGCAUAUCAAAAAAUAUGAUCUCGCGAAGCACAUCAAAUACUCGUGUAAGGACUAACAGAGUCGACACUGUUCUCUAUUUAUUCUUAAGAAAAGAGAAAAUGACGAUAAAAAUGUAAGGGAAAGAAAAUGAUAAGAUGAUCAUCGUAACCAAAUUAGGGUUCGGGAAUCGGUUAUGCAGGGGGAAGGUAUUAACAGCCCUCACAUUCGUUGUACUCAACGGGAACCUCCUAAAGUUAUAAGGUUUAGUAUUUGUUAAGGGUCUAUUUAUCUUAUUUUAUUUUUAUUCGAGUGUUUACAAAAAGAAAUUACUUACAAUGGAAAAAAUUUUAUUUAAUUAUUAUGCUCGCCAAGGUUUCAAAACUUCGUGCCUACGUAUUCUCAUUGUGUAAUGAGAAAAUAAGAGCAUCAUAGUUUAAAAAAAAGUUUGUGUGUUGGUUGCUUUUACAUAAUACAAUUUAAGUCAUUCUUACGUUCAAACGUCGACUUGUAUGGUCGCACGAUGGAGGCUUAAGCGCUUUUUUUUGUUUUGCGUUGAAAAUAACUUGAACUAUCCUUUUAUGAAAAAUAUUUUUGGAAUGGUGUACAAGGGCACAUAAAAGGUUUGAUGAGUGGUGUUUGAUUUUAAGUGUUUUGGUUCUAAGUAAUCGAUCGAUGUAGAGAGCGCUAACUAAUCAAUUACUCAGGGACAUGGUGUAUAUGUAUCCACCAACCAUGGGAAAUAUUAUUCAUCAUUCUUCAUCAUUAACCAACUAAUAUAAAAUUAAAAUUAAAAUGAAAAACUUUUGUUUUAAAUUAAAUAAAAAAGGAUCGUUUUUGUAACUAGCAAACAAUUAAUUAAAUUAAUUAACACCUAAGCACAAUUUUAAGAAAACACUAAAUGACUAACUUAAAAAUAAAAAUAAAUAAUAAAAAUAAUAAUAAAUAAGAAAAUAAAAUAGAAUUAGGAGGCGGGCAAAUUUAGUGGGGAUAUUGGACUUUAAGCAACACUAGAGGGUGUGAGAAUCAAUGGGUGCAAUCCUAGACAGAAAGAAGAAAAUAGAUAAAAAUGGAAAAUAAAAUAAAUAAAUACUAAAAAAACCUGGACAACGUAGGCCAAUGGAUCUGAUUACAAGGACGUGAUUGAAGGUUUUUGAUAACAAGGGUGGUUGGAAGUGCAUGGGAAGGUCAAUGGUCAACUAAUUUGAGUGGCCAGGAGAAGCCACGUGUUGUUCAUCUGCAACAAGGUGAUGAGAGUAUAUAAAUGAAACUCUCUUCACAAACUCUCAUUUCCUUAUCUUUUUUUCUCUAUAUAAUCCCCUUUCCCUCUUCUUUCUACGCCCUUUUCCCUCUCUCUAAGACCACCACCCCAAGGCUCUUCCCCCUCUCUUAAAAACCUCCAGCUAGAAAUCGCCUCCGCUGGUGCUUCCACCCUAACAACCUUUACUCGACCAUUCCUUUCAACCGAUGUUCAUCAAGAUGAUGUACACUAACCCAAAUCUUCAACCAAACAUGAGCCUUAGGCUUUAGAAACCCAAAACCCCAAGAACCCAAAACCUAAAACAUGAACCCUAACCCUAACCUUCAAUCUAAACCCAGAUUCCUAUGAACCCUAAGAAUAUUAACAUGAACCAUAAAGCUAAGUCCAGGAAACCUAACUACCCAAAACCUUCAUCUUCUUCUUCAACCUUACCCCUCUAAACCUAAAUCAACCCAGAACCAUACCUAACCCAUUCCAAAUCUACCCUCCCUUUUCCAAACCUUAGAUCAGAGCUUCUUAAAUCUUAAUCUACCCUCAAAACAACAACAUCAAGCCAAAAAAUCUCAAACCCUAAAACCCUAAAAUCACCUUCUGUUUUAACCCAAACCAAACCUUUCCUAUACCUAAAUCAUACUAGAGAAACAUGUAAACAUAAAACAAUCUACAUAACUACAAUAAAAACCACAACUUUUAUGAAACUCAAGGAUAAUACUUUCCCCAGUGAAAAGGUAAUAUCUUUCCUUUGAUUUUUCUUUAUUUUUAAUGCUCCUCUCUUCGACUUUCAAUUCUUCCUUCUGGAUGUCUUUCUUUUUCCUUUUGAUGCAAGGUCUGGCUUAUGGAAUCCUGAUGGAGCGGUUGGAGCAAAAGUUUAGGGAAUUAGUUGUAGUUGUUCUUUAGGGUGAAGAACAACAACUUAGGGUUAGAAUUUGUGAAUGAAGAAUUGUAAAAAAAGCUUUGUUAUUUAUAGUGAAAAUUAGGUUUAGGUUUUCAUGUCUGAUUGAUUAGAUUAGUAAGUUUUGGAAGUAAUUUUUAGUCUUCACAUAUUGAAACGUAAUAGAAGUUCCACAUCAAUGAAAAGAUUAUAUUUUUACUUUUUGAUUUGAUUUGAGCCUUUUUGAUUCCAUUGUUCAUGCUACUUUAGGUUUUUUAUGAUUUUAGACUUUUGGGCUUUUGUUUAACUUUGUUGACUCAUUAUAAUAACAAAAAUAAUAUUAGAGAAAAAAUGAUAGAAACGUUGUUGAGAAAAUAAUAAGUCUAAAAAGAGAAAAAUAAAAAGGCACUCUACUUAAUAUUAAAAAAUGAUAAUUAAAAAUACUAAUAAUAAUGUUAUUAAUUAUAAAUAAUAAUAAUAAUAAUAAUAAUAAUAGUAAUAAUAAUAUCCAAAUAAUACUAAAUAAACAAUAAUCCUAUACUAAUAAAUAAUAAUACUAAUAGAUAAUAAUUUAAUGAUAAUACUUAAUAAUAAUCUAAAUAAUAAAUAAUAAUUAAUAAUAAAAUUACUAAUUUUGCUAAAUAAUCACAAUGACCAAAAAUAGUAAUAUUAGCAACAAAAAAUAAAAAACUCUUUAUGUGCUAGUGAACUUAAAAAAGAGGAUAAAAGUCAAAAUGAUCCUCCUUUGACUUUUAGGUCAUUCGAUUUGAUCAUAUGACUUACUCAUGAAUGACUUAGAGGGAACAUGGCCUCAGAUGAUAGCUUAGGUGAAUUGAGAGUGAUACAAGGCACUUAUGCACUGGACCUACCAUAAUGGAAACUAUGGUUUUAAAAGACUAAGAUGGAUAAAGUAAAUCGGGUCAAAAUUUUGGGUAUGACAAUGACCAACACCUUUCAAAUGUCAAGUCACACCAUGAAAACAAGUUUUAGGUAGCAAAUCUGAAACAUGUAUUAAGAACAAAGUUCCAUCAAUAUUAAAUCUUGAAUAAACUUACAUAGAACUCCGUGAACUAUUCAGUACUGGAAUAUAAUGACUACAUCUAGAUCCAACAAAGAUAUUUUUAGCUACGCUUACUCAUCAUAGUUGUUUUGAUAAUCCCGCAAAGAUAAUCUUUGAAGUUUAUCUGCCAUAUCACCUGAGCAGCAUUCCCGACUUAAACCUCCCACUCUUAUACUCAUGUUAGACACCAAUGUGAACCUACUCCAAUUCUAUACUACCUCAAUCCACCAAAACUCCCCUAAAAUUUUAUUGGGAACCCCUAUUUAUUAUUGAUGAAACAAGAGUUUCGUUGGGCGCGUUGUCCUCUUGACCAGCGAGCCUGCUUUUAUUUUAGGGUAAGAAACUCCCAGUUAGGGCUACAGUUGGCCAUAUUCCCCCUUUGGCACUGGGAGCACCGCUCUCUCGAUCAACGAAGCGACCCUUCCUUCACCAUGAAGUAACUUAGCCUUAAAGUCUUAUAACUUCCUGAUUUUGCUGGGCGUGACCAUAGUCACGACUCAACGAGCCCGUCUUGGCUGAAACUUUGUUUUGGCUAUACCUUUGUGCCAUGCUUUAUGAUUUCUAAUUUCUUUUUACAUGUUUUUUAUUAAUACAUACUAGAAAAGUCCAAAAAGUUGUUCUAAUGCUUUUUAUAGGUAAAUUAGUUUUUUUUGUCAUGAUUGCAUGUAAAAUAAGUUAAAAAGUUCUUACGUAUUUAACGUAUUUCUGAACCUUAUAAGUGAUUAACAUCAUCUAUUCUUAAAGAAUUACUCGAAUUCUCAUAAUUCAAAUUUCAUCUUUAUUGCAGAACUGGUGAUUCUAAUUGACGAAAUACCUUUAUGAGGGAUAAGUUAGGUCUUCCCUAUUACCGUUUUUUCGUAGAUUACUUUUUACUAUUCAUUUUCUUCGGGGUUUUGGUACAAUGGCCUCAUGUACAUAAUGUUCAUUUUAUUUUUAUUUUAUUUGAGCUAUGGACAAAAGACAAGGGUAGCUAGUAGUACCAACAUAAUCGAGACAUUUAGCUAUUCCCUUGAUGUCAGAAUGCUCUUAAUUCAACAAAAAAAUGAAGAUAAUGAGUGAGAUGCAUCUAUCUAUAAAAAAUAAAAAAUAAAUAAAUAUUUAAAUAUAUAUUUAGUCUCUACAAAUAUAUAUUUUCUUUUAUUUAGUUUUAGAUCAUUGUUAUUUUGUUCUACAUCUUUUGUAGGUAGCAUAUUUAAUUUUAGUUCUAUAAUUUUAUUAUCAUAAAGACUUAAAUAAAUAUUACCACAUUUCAGAGAUUAAUAUAAAUAAAUUUUGCAAGAUCAAAAACCAAAAUGACAUAUAAUUUAAGUGAUUAAAACUAAACAAAAAGUAUAGGACUAACAAAAAUAUUGAUAAAUAUCAUAUACUUAUUUAAAUUAAACAAAAAAUAUUUUUAUAACAUUUCUUAAAAUAAACACAUUAAUAUAUUCUUCUUUUUAAAAUGUAUACAAAAUGACAAAUAAAAACAUCUAAUAUAAUAAUAUUAGCAUUAUCAAUUGACUAGUCCUCACAUAAUGUUUCUUUUAAAAAAAGAGAGAAUGAAAAAUAAAAAUUAACCAAGGUUGUAACUAAUUUUUCUUAGCCAAACAAUAAGAUAGAAUUAAAAAAAACAUUGCCACCGCCCUACUCAACUUUGUAAUCUCAUUUUAUUUUUCUUCCCAAGCAAGUUACAAUUUUCAUGGAUUCUUAAACUUUCAUUUUGUCAUCAACCUUAACUUAGAUGCCUUUUUACAUGUCCUUUUUCAUAUCUUCUUCAACAAAAUUGGAUGAAUCUUAAAUUUAAUAUGGUGACAAAAAAUAGUGUUAAAGAUAAGGCCCCAUAUUAUUAAUAGCAUUUAAUUUGAUGAUACUUUUGAGGCUCUCUAAAUAAGAGUGUCGUAAGAACAUUUUCUUCCAUCCUUUUUUCAAGUAUCAUUUUGUUUUCUAAUUAUUUAUUUAGAAUGAUUAAUUUCAAAUCUUUUAAUUUUCUCAUACUUCUGGCUGGUGUGAUUCUCAUCUCUGCAGUGGUGGUCGAUGAACCAAAUCCUAAUCCACCAAGUAUGAACCUUGAAAUCAACAUCAAUUUAUUUGUUUAUCAACUUUGUUUAAGAAUUGGGUGAAUUAAAUUUGUGCAUGAAACUGAUAAAAGAUUUUAGGAAAAACAUCCAUAUGAUGAAUUUUUAUAACCACUCUUCGUAUGAAUGCAUUUGGUGUAUGAUUAAAUUUUGUUGUUACAGUAACUUAAUUAUGUAUGUUGUUGAUGAAGGUCCAAAGAUAAGCGUCUAUGAAGAGCUUAAGGGGUGUUACAAGCAUGAAAAAGGUAAAAAAUUUAUUUGUUUUAUUUUAAUGGGAUUGAUAAGUAAUGUAAAUCUUGGUUAAUUAAGUCAAUUUUGUAAAAUUUUGCAACUUUAGGUGGAAGAAAAAUGAUUUUGUAGCCACUUCAUGAUGGAAACUGCAAGGAACAAGGAGGCGAAAAGUAUGGUGAUAGCGAAUUUGGUGGUAUUGGUGGCAGGGUCAAUCAAGGAGGAGGUAGUAGAGGUUGCAUAUGGAGAGGUAGGAAAAAUGGAGGUGGAAGUGGUAGUGAUGGAGAAGAUUAUAGUGGUGGAGGAAGUGGAAGUCGAAAAGGAAGAGAAUGUAGGGAUAAAGGCAGUAGAAUUGGAGGAGAUUAUAAUGGUGGAGCAAGUGGUGCUGGUAAAGGCAACGAAAGUGGAGGAGAUUAUGGUGGUGGUAAAGGCGGUGGUAGUAGAGGAGAUUACAGUGGUGGAAGUGAAGGUGGAAGUGGUAGAAAAGGAGAUUAUGGUGGUGGAGCUAGUGGUGAAAGUGGAGAAGGUGGUGGUAAAUGGGGAGAUUAUGGAGGUGGAGCAGAUGGUGGUAAAGGAACUGGUAGCAGAGGAGAUUAUGGUGGUGGAAUUGGUAGAGGUAACAUAGGAGAUUAUGGUGGUGGAGGUAGUGGCCAUGGAUCCGAUGGUGGAAGUAGACGUGACGACAAUGAAAGUGGAGAAGGUGGUGGAAGCAAAUGAGAAGAAGGAGGUUAUUAAUGCAAUGGUACAUGAGACUUCUAUGAUUUAUGGCAAAUAUAAAAAUAGAAUAUAUACUCUAUUCAAAUUUCUUUUAUCCUUAAACAUAUGUCAUGAUUACAGUAUUGUCUCUCUUUAUGUGUAGUUCAUGAAUUAUGAAUAAAAAAUAUUGAGAUAUUGAUAGUAUUAAUAAUAAAAAUAAAAUAAUAAUCCCCAUCAUGGAAAGUUUCCAUAAUACAUUAUAUGUUUUGUUCAUAAAUACCUAUUGAUAAAUACAAAUAAUACUUAAAUACUCUAAUUAAAAAGUGUUCAAAUAAUAUAUUAAUAGUAUUAGUAUCUUUACAAUUCACUCAAUAUUAUUUUUAAAAAAUCAAUCAAUUCUAAUGGGUCAUGAAAUCCCUACAAAAAAAAUUAUUAGAUUAUAUAUUCCCUUCACCCUUCUUAAUUAAGUAAUGUAUAUAAAUAUUCUGAAGUAUCAAAUCAUCAUGAUUCAUAAAUAAAAAUAUAAAAACUAAUAUUGAAUGACAUAAAAAAAAAAUUAUUAGAUUAUAUAUUCCCUUCACCCUUCUUAAUUAAGUAAUGUAUAUAAAUAUUCUGAAGUAUCAAAUCAUCAUGAUUCAUAAAUAAAAAUAUAAAAACUAAUAUUGAAUGACAUAAAGAAAAAUAUAAGGUAAUGAUAGGUGCAUAAUGCACUCAAGUUUCUAAUUUGUUGCAUGAAAAUUUUAAUAGUAAAGUAUAUAUACUAAGCAAGGCGUAACUAAUAUUCCCACAAAAUCAAUGCCUCGAGGAUCCUGAGCGGGAGUUAAAGAUCAAUUGUUUUGGGGGGGAAAUUAUUUAUAUUUUUUAGUAACCAAUAUGAUGUUAUACUUUAAUUUCACUUACAUUUUAUGGUAAGACUAAGUGAAUGUAACUUUUUCUUGAAUAGCACAAUUUGUUUUCACCAAAAUAUCAUUUCAGAUGCAUGUUUAACAUAACUAACGUGUUUUAACCAAAGUAUUACUUUAGAUGCACGUUUAACGUAACUAACGCCAUACCAAACAUAUGCUCUUCAAGGAAUUUGAAUUUGAAACGUUUAUCUUCUGAAAAUGGAUAUUUAGUCUAUAAAAUGAAUUCUAAUUCUAAUUUUUGUUCAUCUAAAUUAGUAGUUGAAACUAGAACUUGAAUCAAAAUUCUCAAAUACUAAAAAAUCCAUACAAAUAUCUAAACUUAACUAAAAUCGAUAUUGUUCGUUGAUGUGGAGCAUAACACAAGUAUUAUAUCUUAUUGAUCUAUCGAUCUAAAUCAUUCUUUGAUCGGUAAAACUUGUAACUCAAGAUUAUUUUGUAUAAAUUUAUCAAAACCCAUUUGUGUUCUUAUUCUUUGAUUUCAUGAAUUUCGUUAAAAACCAAACAUUGGAAUUAUAUAUUGUGCAUUUUAAUUUUUGUUAAGUGGAGUUAGGCAUUUGAUAUACAAUAAUUUAAAAUUAGUGAGACUAGAUAAAUAAGAAGUUCGAUAUGUCGUCUAGAAGCUAUGGAUUUUUUCCUUUUCUAUAUUAUAAAUGAAAACACAUGAACUUCAUCGGAAAUUAAUUAUUCUAAUUUUGAAGACAAAAAUUUAUUAUCGUCAUUUUAUUUAAUUACCGUAAAAAUAUACCCGCAUAAAUAUUUUAUAAAUUGGUUAAAUGAUCUUAUUAUUAUUAUUAUUGUUAUUAUUAUUAUUAUUAUUAUUAUUAUUAUUAUUAUUAUUUGUAACACCCAUAUUCCUUUCCUAAUUGUGCUUAUUGUCUAACUGGUUAGUUGAUGAAGAAUUAGUUAUCCUAACGUAACUCUAAGCACUUGAUUAGAGGUGAGUGUCAAUCAUUAGUAAUAAGGGUCCAUGUGCAAGGGCAAAUCAAUAUGUUCUAAUGGUACUAUAAAACUUAAACUAAAGAGAAACCUAAUUUCUCUACAUAUUUUCUCUUGGUUAGUAACUUGAAUAUCAAAUGUGACAUGAUAGGGAGAAUAAUCCAAUGACAAUUAAUGGAUGUCGAGUUGCAAGUUAGAGCUAACCAUCCAGGCUUCACCCAACCCAUGGAUGGAGUCAUUUUGUUAAAUCAGUGGUUAUAUGUGCUGAUUGAUUCUGAGUUGAGAAGGGUGAUAUUGGAAGAAUCUCACAAUUCACCUGUGAUACCCCAAUUUUGCCCGUCCUUCAAUAAAUCGACACCUUUAUCAUGACAUUCACAUCAUCUAUAUAGCAUAACAUGCAUUUCAUUCCACAUAAUGCCUAAAAUAUCAACUAGAAUAAACUUUCGAAUUUACAAGCAGACCGAUCAAUCUGAUUCUCAAAUGAACAUGAAAUAAGCGGGCGGAGAUUUUAAAAUCGAGCUUGCAAAUGUCAGUUUUACUAAUCUACAAUUCGUGUAGUUUAACAUGGCAUGUUCGUUUCAUUUUUUCAACUACUUUUUCAGUCGCAUUUUGACCAGUCUGAGCCUUUUAACCAAUCAUUUUUAAUUUUAAAAUUUGACCAAAAUCUGUAUGUUUUAGAGAAAUUUAUUUCACGCUCAUCAUUUUGGUGCAUUUAGUUAAAUUUUUCGAUCAUUUUUGCACCCAACUUUUUUUCAAUUUGAGUUCGUUUAUCAUUUUUUUGUCAAAAUGUUUGAAAUAUGUAAAUAGAAUUUCCAAUGUUUUUGUUUCGAGUUAAUUUUGAUUAUUUAGAUUGAUGUAAUUUUUUUUAUUUAAUUUAUUUGUAAAUAUUUUUACAUAAUUUUCACUCAAUAAGGGCAUUUUCGAUAAUUAAUAGAAAUAGAAAACCCUAGCAUAUAUAAGUUAAUAAGUGCUGAAAGAAGAGGACCUCAAUUUUACAAUCCAUGUCGCCUCUUUUUUGGGUAAAACAUAAAUUGAAAAGAAUAAAGAAUUGAACCAAUAGCAGCUACAGUGUGACAUUCACUUUCCAAAAUCUCCCUCUCAUUUGAGCAUUUUAAACAAUUGUUCCCCGUACUACAAAACUAGUGAUUCUGGUCCCUUAAUUUUGAUGGUCUUUGGAUUUUUGUGUUCCCUCUCCACUAUUACAUACGUGACAUUGAUUAUUCGGAUAAAAAUAUAAUUUUGAAUGAUAUAUCAUUGAUGACUAGGAUAAUUUAUUAAUUAAUAUUUUUUAUAGAAUAAAUUAAUAAUUAAUUAUUUUAAUUAAUAUUUUUAGAAAUUAAUUAAUUAAAAUUUUGAAAAGAAUUACUGGGCCUAAGCCCAAUUCAAAACAACAUCCUUUUCAAACUUGCCCAAGAAGACAUUGAGUAAUGCAUUGUUGACUUUUAUAAACUCUAAAAUUGUUUAUGAUAAAAACAAUGUGGGACAUAAUUCGCCUUUUUCCUUAUGACUUCUACUCAUAUCUCUAUCAUAAACUGAAUGUGCAUUGAUGCUUUUCAAGAGAUAACCACCAAAAUAAACACAAUUCGGUAGCCAUUAGAUUAGAUUAGUUUUCGAUGUCUAAAGAUCUCAAGGAGUUCAAUUUCGGUAGCCCUUGUUCCGUAUAAAUUCAAACUUCUUAACAACACAAUUUUUUUGACGAAUCAUAACUUUGUACAUAAUACCAUGUGUUCCUCUACCAAUAAUGUACUGAUCACUUAGAUUCUCUGUAGCUUGCAACACUUGUUUCUUAAGGGAGAAUGACUUGCCUGAGAUGUUGAAUUCCUGAACAUAUUCAAGUCCAAUCCAUCAAGCUCCUCCAUCAAUAUAAUACCAUUGAUUUAGAUCAGACUCCAUAUCUGAUUCCUUUCCAAGAAGACACCUUUGAACUAUAAUUACAAGGACAACAUAAUUAAAUAUUGAAGAUCCAAUAGAUAUCAUCACAAUUUGAACAUUACUAAUACUGAUACCUUUAUGAUCAGUUGAGUAGUGUGAUUUGGAGACACAUGGAUUUAGAUUUAGGGGAGAACAAAGGUAUGAAAUAAUAAAUAAAUAAAAUAAAUAAAUAAAGCAAAACAAAUAAAUAAGAUAAAAAGAAAACAAAUAAACAAACAAAACAAACAACCCUAGAACUAAAUGGUAGGCUUAACUCUCUUUAGGGAUAUUCCCCAGCAGAGUCGCCAGUUGUCGCAUAUCAAAAAAUAUGAUCUCGUGAAGCCCAUCGGACACUCGCGGAUGGACUGGCAGAGCCGGCACUGUUCUUUAUUUAUUCCUAAGAAAAGGGAAAAUGACAAUAAAACUGUAACGGAAAGAAAAUGAUAAGAUGUUCAUCACAACCAAAUUAGGGUUCGGGAGUCGGUUUUGCAAUCGGAAGGUAUUAACACCCCUCACAUCCAUUGUACUCAACGGGAACCUCCAAAACUUAUAAGGUUGAUUAUUUGUUAAGGGUCUAUUUAUUUUAUUUUAUUUUUAUUCGAGUGUUUACAAAAAUAAAUUAUUUAAAAUGGAAAAUGUUUUUUUUAAUUAUUAUGCUCGCCAGGGUUUCAAAACUUCGUGUCUACGUAUUCUCAUUGUGCAAUGAGAAAAUUAUAGCAUCGUAGUUCAAAAAAAGUUUAUGUGUUGGUUGCUUUUAUAUAAUAUAAUUUAAGUCAUUCUUGCGUUUAAACCCCGACUUGUAUGCUCGCACGAUGGAGGCUUAAGCGCUUGUUUUUGUUUCGCGUUGAAAAUAACUUGAACUAUCCUUUUAUGAAAAAUAUUUUUGCAAUGGUGUACAAGGGCACAUAAAAGGUUUGUUGAGUGAUGUUUGAUUUUAAGUGUUUUGGUUCUAAGUAAUCGAUCGAUGCAGAGAGCGCUAACCAAUCAAUUACUCAAGGACAUGGUGGAUGUGAUUCCACCUUCGAUUUGCAAAAAAUAUUGAUUUAAUUUAACUUAUAAAAGUAGUUGGAUGAUAUGUACAAAUAUGAAUUAUUAACAAGUUGAGAAAAAAAAUCUUAUCUUCUAUUUACUUUAUUAAUUCGAAUAUAAAGGAAUAUUUUAUAUAUUUUUUUAAAAUAGAAUUUGAAUAAGAAGAAGAAUUAUGAUUGGUUGUUUGAACUUAUAAAAUAAAGGGAAAUAUUAUUCAUCAUUCUUCAUCAUUAACCAACUAAUAUAAAAUUUAAAUUUAAAUGAAAAAACUUUUGUUUUAAAUUAAAUAAAAAAGGAUAGUUUUUGUAACUAGCUAACAAUUAAUUAACACCAAAGCACAAUUAAAAAAAAACUCUAAAUGACUAACUUAAAAAUACAAAUAAAUAAUAAAAAGAAUAAGAAAUAAGAAAAUAAAAUAGAAUUAGGAGGAGGUGCAAAUUUAGUGGGGAUAUUGGACUUUAAGCAACACUGAAGGGUGUGAGAAUCAAUGGGUGCUAGGCCCAACUUUUAGUAUCCCAAAGACAAAGAAGAAAAUAGAAAAAAAUGGAAAAUAAAUAAAAUAAAUAAUAAAAAAAACUGGGCAACCAUAGGCUGUUGGAUCUGAUUACAAGGACGUGAUUGGAGGUUUUUUAUAACAAGGGUGGUUGGCAGUGCAUGGGACUGGUCAAUGGUCAUCUGAUCUGAGUGGCCAGGAGAAGCCACAUGUUGUUCAUCUACAACAUGGUGAUGAGAGUAUAUAAAUGAAACUCUCUUCAGAAACUCUCAUUUCCUUAUCUUUUUUCUCUUUCUAAUCCCCCUUCCAUUUUCUUUCUACGCCCUUUUCCCUCUCUCUAAGACCACCACCCUAAGGCUCUCCCCUCUCUCUAAAUAACUCCAGCUAGAAAUCGCCUCCUCCAAUGCUUCCACCCUAACAACCUUUAUUGGACCAUCCCUUUCAACCGGUGUUCAUCAAGAUGAUGAACACUAACCCAAAUCUUCAACCAAACACGAACCUUAUGCUUUAGAAACCCAAAACCCUAAGAACCCUAAACCUAAAACAUGAAUCUUAACGAACCCUAACCCUAACCUUCAAUCUAAACCCAUAUUCCUAUGAACCAUAAGAAUAUUAACAUGAACCAUAAAGCUAAAUCCAAGAACCCUAACCUUCAUAUUCUUCUUCAACUUUCAACCUCUAAACGUAAAUCAACCCAGAAUCAUACCUAACCCAUUCCAAAUCUACCCUACCAUUUUCCAAACAUUAGAUCAGAGCUUCUUAAAUCUUAAUCCACCCUCAAAACAACAACAUCAAGCCAAAAAAUCUCAAACCCCAAAAUCACCUUCUAUUUGAACCCAUACCGAACCUUUCCCAUACCUAAAUCAUACUAGAGAAACAUGUAAACAUAAAAUAAUCCAUAGAACUACAAUAAAAACCAUAACUUUUAUGAAACUCAACGAAUCAUGCGAAGAGGUUCAACAAGCAAUCCUACCUACAAGGAUAAGACUUUCCCAAGUGAAAAGGUAAUAUAUUUCCUUUGAUAUUUCUUUCUUUUUACUGCUCAUCUCUUCGACUUUCGAUUCUUCCUUCUGGAUGUCUUUCUUUUUUCCUUUUGAUGCAAGGCCUUGUUAUGGAAUCCUGAUGGAGCAGUUGGAGCAAAAGUUUAGGGCAUUAGUUGUUGUUGUUCCUUAGGGUGAAGAACAACAACUUAAGGUUAGAAUUUGUGAAUGAAGAAUUGUAAAAACGCUUUGUUAUUUAUAGUGAAAGUUAGGCUUAGGUUUUCAUGUCAUAUUGAUUAGAUUAGGAGGUUUUGGAUGUAGUUUGUUAGUCUUCACAUAUACUGAUCACUUAGAUUCUCCGUAGCUUGCAACACUCGUUUCUUAAGGGAGAAUAACUUACUUGAGAUGUUGAAUUCCUGGACAUAUUCAAAUCUGAUCCAUCCAGCUCCUCCAUCAAUAUAAUACCAUUGAUUUAGAUCAGACUCCAUAUCUGAUUCCUUUCCAAGAAGACACAUUUGAAUUAUAAUUACCAGUACAACAGAAUUAAAUAUUGAGGAUCCAAUUGAUAUCAUCACAAUUUGAACAUUACUAAUACCGAUACCUUUAUGAUUACUUGAGUAGUGUAAUUUGGAGACACAUGGAUUUAGAUUUAGGGGAGAACAAAGGUAUGAAAUAUUAAAGAAAUAAAACAAAUAAAAAAAUAAAGCAAAACAAAUAAAUAAACAAAACAAACAACCCUAGAACUAAAUUGUAGGUUUAACUCUCUUUAAGCGCAUCGAACACUCGCAGAUGGACUGGCAGAGUCGACAAUGUUCUCUAUUUAUUCCUAAGAAAAGGAAAAAUGACAACAAAACUGUAAGGGAAAGAAAAGGAUAAGAUGUUCAUCGCAACCAAAUUAGGGUUCGGGAGUCGGUUAUGCAAGGGGAAGGUAUUAACACCCCUCACAUCCGUUGUACUCAACGGGAACCUCCUUAUGUUUUAAGGUUGAUUAUUUGUUUAGGGUCUAUUUAUUUUAUAUUAUUUUCAUUCGAGUGUUUACAAAAAUAAAUUAUUUACAAUGGAAAAAGAUUUUUUAAUUAUUAUGCUCGCCAAGGUUUCAAAACUUCGUGUCUACGUAUUCUCAUUGUGCAAUGAGAUAAUCCGAGCAUCGUAGUUCAAAAAAAAGUUUGUGUGUUGGUUGCUUUUAUAUAAUAUAAUUUAAGUCAUUCUUGCGUUCAAACCUCGACUUGUAUGCUCGCAAGAUAGAGGCUUAAGCGCUUGUUUUUGUUUUUUACGUUGAAAAUAACUUAAACUAUCCUUUUAUGACAAAUGUUUUUGGAAUGGUGUACAAGGGCACAUAAAAGGUUUAAAUAGUGAUGUUUGAUUUUAGGUGUUUUGGUUCUAAAUAAUCGAUCGACGCAGAGAGCGCUAACCAAUCAAUUACUCAAGGACAUGGUGGAUGUCUAUCCACCUUCGAUUUGCAAAAAAUAUUGAUUUAAUUUAACUUAUAAAACUAGUUUGAUGAUAUGUAUAAAUAUGAAUUAUUUACAAGUUGAGAAAAAAAAUCUUAUUUUCUAUUUAUUUUAUUAAUUUGAAUAUAAGAAGGAAUAUUUUAUAUAUUUUUUUAAAAUAGAAUUUGAAUAAGAAGAAGGAUUAUGAUUGGUUGUUUGAACUUAUAAAAUAAAAGGAAAUAUUAUUCAUCAUUAAAUUAAAAUAAAAAACUUUUGUUUUAAAUUAAAUAAAAAAGGAUAGUUUUUGUAACUUUUGUUGUAUUGCUUUUGUAGGUAGCAUAUUUAAUUUUAUUUAUGUAAUAUUAUUAUCAGAAAGACUUAAAUAAAAUUACCUACACAUUUCAGAGAUUACUAUAAAUUAAUUUUGCAAGAUCAAAAACAAAAAUGACAUAUAAUUGUAAUGAUUGAAAACAAACAAAAAAUAUAAGACUAAAAAAAUAUUGAUAAAUAUCAUAUACAUAUUUAAUUUAAAUAAAAAAUAUUUUAAUAAAAUUUAUUAAAAUAAACACAUUAAAUAUAUUCUUCUUUUUAAUAUGUAUAUGAAAUGACAAAUAAAAACAUCUAAUCUAAUAAUAUUAGCAUUAUCAAUGGACUAGUCCUCACAUAAUGUUUAAAAAAAAAGUGAGAAUGAAAAAUAAAAGUUAACAAAGGUUGUAACUAAUUUUUCUUAAUAAGAUAGUAAUAUAGAAUUAAAAAAAAAAACAUUGCCACCCCACUACUCAACCUUGUAAUCUCAUUUUAUUUUUCUUCCCAAGCAAGUUACAAUUUUCAUGGAUACUUUAACUUUCAUUUUGUCAUCAAUCCUAACUUAGAUGCCUUUUUAUGUGACAUUUUUCAUAUCUUCUUCAACAAAGUUUGAUGAAACUUAAAUUUAAUAUGGUAACAAAAAAUAGUGUUAAUGAUAAGGCCCCAUAUUAUUAAUAGCAUUUAAUUUGAUAAUACUUUUGAGGCACUAUAACUAAAAGUGUUGUAAGAACAUUUUCUUCCAUCCUUUUUUCAAGUAUCUUAUAAGACUAAAAAAAAUAUUGAUAAAUAUCAUAUACUUAUUUAAUUUAAACAAAAAAUAUUUUUAUAAAGUUUCUUAAAAUAAACACAUUAAUAUAUUCUUCUUUUUAAAAUGUAUACAAAAUGACAAAUAAAAACAUCUAAUAUAGUAAUAUUAGCAUUAUUAAUUUACUAGUCCUCACAUAAUAUAUUUUUUUUAAAAGAGAGAAUGAAAAAUAAAAAUUAACCAAGGUUGUAACUAAUUUUUCUUAGCCAGACAAUAAGAUAGAAUUAAAAAAAAAAUAUUGCCACCGCCCUACUCAACUUUGUAAUCUCAUUUUAUUUUUCUUCCCAAGCAAGUUACAAUUUUCAUGGAUUCUUAAACUUUCAUUUUGUCAUCAACCUUAACUUAGAUGCCUUUUUACAUGUCCUUUUUUCAUAUCUUCUUCAAAAAAAUUGGAUGAAACUUAAAUUUAAUAUGGUGACAAAAAAUAGUGUUAAAGAUAAGACCCCAUAUUAUUAAUAGCAUUUCAUUUGAUGAUACUUUUGAGGCUAUAUAAAUAAGAGUGUUGUAAGAACAUUUUCUUCCAUCCUUUUUUCAAGUAUCAUUGUGUUUUCUGUUUAUUCAUUUACAAUGAUGAAUUUCAAAUGUUUUGUUUUUCUCAUACUUUUGGCUGGUGUGAUUCUCAUCUCUGUAGUGGUGGCCGAUGAACCAGAUCCUGAUCCACCAAGUAUGAACCUUGAAAUCAACAUCAAUUUAUUUGUUUAUCAACUUUGUUUAAGAUUUAGGUGAAUUAAAUUUAUGCAUGAAACUGAUAAAAGAUUUUAGGAAAAAACAUCCAUAUGAUGAAUUUAUAUAACCACUCUUCGUAUGAAUGCAUUUGGUGUAUGAUUAAAUUUUGUUGUUAUAGUAACUUAAUUAUGUAUGUUGUUGAUGAAGGUCCAAAGAUAAGCGUCUAUGAAGAGCUUAAGGGGUGUUACAAGCAUGAAAAAGGUAAAAAAAAUUAUAUUUUUUAAUUUAAUGGCAUUGAUAAGUCAAUUUUGUAAAACUUUGCAACUUUAGGUGGAAGAAAAAUGAUUUUGGAGUCAAUUCAUGAUGGAAACUGCAAGGAACUAGGAGGCGAAAAGUAUGGUGAUAGUGAAUUUGGUGGCAAUGGUGGCGGUGUCAAUCAAGGAGGAGGUAUUAGAGGUGGCAUAUGGAGAGGUAGGGAAAAAGGAGGUGGAAGUGGUAGUGAGGGAGAAGAUUAUGGUGGUGGAGGAAGUGGAAGUGGAAAAGGAAGAGAAUGUGGUGAUAAAGGCAGUAGAAUUGGAGGAGAUUAUAGUGGUGGAGCAAGUGGUAUUGGUAAAGGCAACGAAAGUGGAGGAGAUUAUGGUGGUGGCAAAGGCGGCGGUAGAAGAGGAGAUUAUGGUGGUGGAAGUGGUAGCAGAGGAGAUUAUGAUGGUGGAGCUAGUGGUGAAAGUGGAGAAGGUGGUGGUAAUUAAUGUGGAGAUUAUGGAGGUAGAGCAGGUGGUGGUAAAGGAACUGGUAACAGAGGAGAUUAUGGUGGUGGAAGUGGUAGAGGUAACAUAGAAGAUUAUGGUGGUGGAGGUAGUGGCCAUGGAUUCGGUGGUGGAAGUAGACGAGACGACAAUGAAAGUGGAGAAGGUGGUGGAAGCAAAUGAGAAGAAUGAGGUUAUUAAUGCAAUGGUACAUGAGACUUCUAUGAUUUAUGGAAAAUAUAAAAAUAGAAUAUAUACUCUAUUCAAAUUUCUUUUAUCCUUAAACAUAAGUAAUAAUUACAGUAUUGUCUCUCUUUAUGUGUAGUUCAUGAAUUAUGAAUAAAAAAUAUUGUGAUAUUCAUAAUAUUAAUAAUAAUAAUAAUAAUAAUAAUAAUAAUCACCAUCAUGGAAAGUUUCCAUAAUUCAUUAUAUGUUUUGUUCAGAAAUACCUAUUGAUAAAUACAAACAAUACUUAAAUACUCUAAUUAAGAUGUGUUCAAAUAAUAUACCGUUAAUAGUAUUAGUAUCUUUGCAAUUCACUCAAUAUUAUUUUAAAAAAUCAAUCAAUUCUAAUGGGUCAUGAAAUCCCUACAAAAAAAUUAUUAGAUUAUAUAUUCCCUUCACUCUUCUUAAUUAAGUAUUGUAUAUAAAUUUUCUGAAGUAUCAAAUCAUCAUGAUUCAUAAAUCAAAAUAUAAAAACUAAUAUUGAAUGAUAUAAAUAAAAAUAUAAGGUAACGACGGUGCAUAAUAUUGUGAUGAAGCUAUUUCAACAUUGAAGAAAGGAUAAUAAAAUGGAAAUGAGAAAGAAACUUCAAGAAGAGAGAAUCAUAGCUUCAUUGAUUAUUCAAGUGUGAUAGUACAACUCUUAUAUAGUACACUCCUAUCACAUAAUAGCCAAUCAAAUGAAACUAACUAACCAAAUAACCACNUGGUGGUGGAAGUGGUAGCAGAGGAGAUUAUGAUGGUGGAGCUAGUGGUGAAAGUGGAGAAGGUGGUGGUAAUUAAUGUGGAGAUUAUGGAGGUAGAGCAGGUGGUGGUAAAGGAACUGGUAACAGAGGAGAUUAUGGUGGUGGAAGUGGUAGAGGUAACAUAGAAGAUUAUGGUGGUGGAGGUAGUGGCCAUGGAUUCGGUGGUGGAAGUAGACGAGACGACAAUGAAAGUGGAGAAGGUGGUGGAAGCAAAUGAGAAGAAUGAGGUUAUUAAUGCAAUGGUACAUGAGACUUCUAUGAUUUAUGGAAAAUAUAAAAAUAGAAUAUAUACUCUAUUCAAAUUUCUUUUAUCCUUAAACAUAAGUAAUAAUUACAGUAUUGUCUCUCUUUAUGUGUAGUUCAUGAAUUAUGAAUAAAAAAUAUUGUGAUAUUCAUAAUAUUAAUAAUAAUAAUAAUAAUAAUAAUAAUAAUCACCAUCAUGGAAAGUUUCCAUAAUUCAUUAUAUGUUUUGUUCAGAAAUACCUAUUGAUAAAUACAAACAAUACUUAAAUACUCUAAUUAAGAUGUGUUCAAAUAAUAUACCGUUAAUAGUAUUAGUAUCUUUGCAAUUCACUCAAUAUUAUUUUAAAAAAUCAAUCAAUUCUAAUGGGUCAUGAAAUCCCUACAAAAAAAUUAUUAGAUUAUAUAUUCCCUUCACUCUUCUUAAUUAAGUAUUGUAUAUAAAUUUUCUGAAGUAUCAAAUCAUCAUGAUUCAUAAAUCAAAAUAUAAAAACUAAUAUUGAAUGAUAUAAAUAAAAAUAUAAGGUAACGACGGUGCAUAAUAUUGUGAUGAAGCUAUUUCAACAUUGAAGAAAGGAUAAUAAAAUGGAAAUGAGAAAGAAACUUCAAGAAGAGAGAAUCAUAGCUUCAUUGAUUAUUCAAGUGUGAUAGUACAACUCUUAUAUAGUACACUCCUAUCACAUAAUAGCCAAUCAAAUGAAACUAACUAACCAAAUAACCACCUAACUAACAAUAGCCUUACCAACUAUAUUAAUCAACUAAUCUAAUCCAAUGAUUAAAGUAGCUAAUCUUAACAGCCCCUCUCAAGCUAAGCAUGGUGAAUGUUGAUCAUGCCAAGCUUGGAAAUAAACUUGUUGAAAGUUGAAGUUGGUAAUGCUUUAGUUAGAAAAUCAGCAAGUUGCUCAUGAGUGGAAAUUGGUAGGAGCCGAAGUAAGUCUUACUGUAGUUUUUCACGGACCAAAUGGCAAUCGAUCUCAAGAUGUUUGGUUCGUUCAUGAAACACCGGAUUGGACGCAAUAUGCAUUGCACUUUGGCUGUCACAAUAAAGGACAGGAAGUUUGGUACAUGUGAUGUGCAACUCCUUCAUAAGGACUAUCAUCCAAAGCAAUUCACAUGUGGCAAAUGACAGCGCCCGAUACUCAGCCUCCGAUGAUGAUCUGGAAAUAGUAUAUUAUUUCUUUGCAUGCCACGAUAUGAGAGAAGUACCAAGGAAUAAGCAAUAUCCUUAAAUGGACCUCCUUGAAUCAAUGCACCCUGCCCAAUCAGAAUCUGAGAAGCCAAGAAGUUGUAAUUCAGCAUUCCUGCGAAACAGAAUUCCUCUACCAGGGCUAUUCUUCAAGUAGCGUAUGACUCUAAGGGCAGCAUGGUAGUGUGCCAUUGUUGGAUUAUGAAGAAACUGUUUGAGUUGCUGCAUGGCAUAGGUAAUGUCUGGGCGUGUGGUGUUAAGGUACAUCAAACAACCUAUUAAUCGUCUAUAAGCUCCAAUGUCUUCAAAAGCUUUGCCACUAUCAGCAUGUAGCUUAACUGAUGGAUCAAUAGGUGUGGGAGUUGGUUUGGAUCCAAGCAUUCCAGAUUCCUGCAAGAGAUCAAGAAAAUAUUUUCGUUGUGAUAGUGAAAUCCCUGCCUUUGAAUGAGCAACCUCGAGGCCAAGAAAAUACUUGAGUAUGCCCAGGUUUUUGAUGCUAAAAUUUUCAUCCAGAAUGAGUUUAAUACGAUCAAAUUCAGACAUAGAGGUUCCAGCUAGGAUUAUGUCAUCAACAUAGACUAAAAUAGCUCUAAAUUAAGCAUCAGUUUUCAAAGUGAAAAGGGAAUAAUCAGAAGUAGAUUGAGUGUACCCUUGUUGAAGUAAAAGAGCUAUUAGCUUUUCAUACCAUUUGCGACUGGCUUGUUUCAGACCAUAUAAACUCUUUUGGAGUUUGUAUACUUGAUUGGGCCUGUGACAUGUAACACCUUCAGGUAUGGUCAUAUACGCAUCUUCCUGCAAUUCCCCAUGUAAAAAAUGCAUUGUUAACAUCAAGUUGAUGUAAGAACCAAUUGUUGAUGGUUGCAGUUGCAAGAAGAGUUCUGACAGUUGUAAGCUUUGCUACAGGUAAAAAAGUAUCAAAGAAAUCAAGCCCUUCAAUUUGGUUGUAGCCCUUGGCAAUAAGUAUAGCUUUAUACCUCUCUAUUGUGCCAUAUGCUCUAUGCUUUACUUUGAACACCCAUCUGUUACCAAUUGGUUUAACAUGUGGUGGCAAAUCAACUAUGUUCCAAGUUCUAUUCUUGUAUAAUGCAUCUAAUUCAGACUACAUGGCCUUGAUCCAAUGUUCAGACAAACAUGCUUCUUUGUAGUUCUUUGGCUCAUAUAUAAGAGUGAUAUUGGAUGCAAAGGCACGAUGAGAUGUAGACAGAAAAUGCAGUGAAUCAUAAUUUGAAAUAGGAUAAGUAAUUUUGGUUGUACCUGAUGAUGACUUGACUGCUGAAGCAUCAAAUGUAUUGCCUACAUAAUCUGAGAGAUAAUGAGGUGUAUGUUUGGCUCUAACAGGCCUAGAUUGAAUGUUGUCAUUUUCAAUAUCUGAUGUAUCAGGGAUAAAUUGAAUGUCAUGGUUCUCAUCAGCAUUUUCUAAAGAUUCAGGGUCAAUGUUAGAAUGGUGCAGUGUGUCAAUGGUUGUGUUAGGAUGGUGGUCAUGUUCCUCAACAGUGGAUUCAAUACUUUGUGAUGGAACAAGUAUGAUAGGAUCAUGUUGUGGUGAGUCAAUGGGAUCUUUGUAAGGGUGAUAGUUCCAAUUAGUAGAAUUUGCAUUUGAAUAGGGAAAAAUGUGCUCAUGAUGUAUGACGUUUCUAGAAUCAAGAAUUGUAUGACUGUUAAUAUCAUAGAGCACCACACCCUUCAUACCAUUCUUGUAUCCUAAGAAUACACAUUUUCGACCUCUUGGCUCAAGUUUUGUUCUAUGCAUAUGUAAUGUGGAUGCAAAGGCUAGAGAUCCAAACACUUUGAGACUAUGCAUAUCUGGAUGUGCAUUNNNNNNNNNNNNNNNNNNNNNNNNNNNNNNNNNNNNNNNNNNNNNNNNNNNNNNNNNNNNNNNNNNNNNNNNNNNNNNNNNNNNNNNNNNNNNNNNNNNNNNNNNNNNNNNNNNNNNNNNNNNNNNNNNNNNNNNNNNNNNNNNNNNNNNNNNNNNNNNNNNNNNNNNNNNNNNNNNNNNNNNNNNNNNNNNNNNNNNNNNNNNNNNNNNNNNNNNNNNNNNNNNNNNNNNNNNNNNNNNNNNNNNNNNNNNNNNNNNNNNNNNNNNNNNNNNNNNNNNNNNNNNNNNNNNNNNNNNNNNNNNNNNNNNNNNNNNNNNNNNNNNNNNNNNNNNNNNNNNNNNNNNNNNNNNNNNNNNNNNNNNNNAGCAUUUUCUAAAGAUUCAGGGUCAAUGUUAGAAUGGUGCAGUGUGUCAAUGGUUGUGUUAGGAUGGUGGUCAUGUUCCUCAACAGUGGAUUCAAUACUUUGUGAUGGAACAAGUAUGAUAGGAUCAUGUUGUGGUGAGUCAAUGGGAUCUUUGUAAGGGUGAUAGUUCCAAUUAGUAGAAUUUGCAUUUGAAUAGGGAAAAAUGUGCUCAUGAUGUAUGACGUUUCUAGAAACAAGAAUUGUAUGACUGUUAAUAUCAUAGAGCACCACACCCUUCAUACCAUUCUUGUAUCCUAAGAAUACACAUUUUCGACCUCUUGGCUCAAGUUUUGUUCUAUGCAUAUGUAAUGUGGAUGCAAAGGCUAGAGAUCCAAACACUUUGAGACUAUGCAUAUCUGGAUGUGCAUUAUGCAGUAUGAAAUGAGGAUAAAGAUUGUUUAAAACUUGUGUAGGAAGUUUAUUUAUAAUGAAUGUUGCAUGCAAAAUGGCAUAUAACCAGAAUUCCUUUGGAAGUUUUGACUGAAAAAGAAGGGCUCUUCCAACAUUUAGUAAAUGUUGAUGUUUCCUCUCCACUCUACCAUUUUGUUGUGGAGAUUCAACACAACUUGUUUGAUGAAUGAUUCCCUUAGAUGCAUAAAAUUCAGGGAGGCUAAAUUCAGGACCAUUAUCAAUUCUGAUAAUUUUGACAUGAAGCUUAUGUUGAUUUUCUAUGAGACUAACAAAGUUUAUAACAUGCUGUCUAGCUUCAGAUUUGGCUUUCAUUAAUGUUAUCCAUGUGUAUCUGCUACAGUCAUCAACAUCAGUUAAAAAACAUGAAUGACCAUGUAAAGAUUGAACUGCAAGAGGUCCGCAAAUGUCAAAAUGGAUCAAGUCAUAAGGGUGAGCAACUCUAUUAUUACUAACAGUAUAAGAAAGCUUUCUUUGUCUAGCAUAGCAACAAACAUCACAAACAUCUUUAUGAUUAACUUUGAUAAAGGGAAAUUGAGAAUGUAAGUACAAUAGUCUAUUUUGAGAUAAGUGUCCUAAUCUAAAAUGCCAUAAGGCUCUAUCUGGUAAAGUGACAUUGGCUGCUACGGCAAAGGUUAAAGCAGGUGUGUGUGUGUGUAGUAGGUGGAUCAUUAUCUCUUAGUGUUAGGUAGUACAAUCCAUCUUUCUGCUCAGCAGAACCAGUCAUCUUCAUGGUGAUUUUGUCCUGUAUAACACAUUGUGAAUUGAGGAAACUGACAUUGCAAUUAGAGGAUUCACACAAUUUUGAAACAUAUAAUAGAUUUAAAGAAAAUUCAGGAAUCAAAAGAACAUUAUGCACAAUGAAGUCAGGAGAAAAAUAAAUUGUGCCAGAAUGUUUAGCAACAAGGCAUUGUCCAUUUGGCAAUCUAACAUUGAUGGGAAUAAUUUUCUUAUAUGAAUGAAACUAUUGGACAGAACUACAUAUAUGAUCAGUAGCUCCUGAAUCAAUGAUCCAAGAACCACUACUACUAUUAUGCAUGCAAUGAUAUGUGUUACCUGUUGAUGGAUUGCCAACAACAACUUGGUUGGAAGAAGCAUGUCCUGAAGAUUGGCCAAUGCUUGAUUUCUGAAUUAGAUCCAUUAAAGCACUGAAUUGACCUUGAGUCAUAGGUGAAUUGUCACUUUUAAUGUCAACACCACUAGAGGAAGAUCCAUCAUCAUUUCCAUCUGAUGCCACAUUGUUAGCUGAAUUCUGAAACUGCUUCUACAUAUGAGGUGGUACACCAUGUUUCUUGAAGCAGUUUUCCACAGUGUGAUUAGUCUUGCCACAGAAUGUGCAAACACGAGCACCAUGCUUGAAUGUAUUGUUUCUUGCUCCAAACCUCUUGGAAUCCACAACAUUAAUCGGUGUUUGAGACUCAUCAUUGGGAAUAGGGAGCUGAAUUUGUCUCUCAUGUUGGAUAACCAUGGAGAAUAUCUUAUUCAUAUUUGGCAAAGGAUCCUUAACAAUAUUUGAGACUUAACUACAACAAAUUGGUCAUUCAAACCAGUCAAGAAUUUGAUAAUUUGUAGCAGCGGAUGAUUAGAUCUUGCAUUGCGCAUAGCUUCACAAGAACAUUUUAUGUGACAUGUACAAGUUGGAAAGGCAAAUACAAAUCUAAUUCUUUCCAAAGAAAUUUAAGAUCAGAAAAAAAAUCAGUUACCGAUUUGGUUUCUUGCUUGAGAUUAUAUAUUUCUUGCUGCAGCUCAGAAAUACGAAUGAGGUUACCCUGAGAAAACCUUUCUUUCAAAUUGUUCGAUACAUCAAGUGCAUUCUCCAUGAAGACGAUAGACUGAGAAAUUGAAUCUGAAACAAAAUUCAUGAUCCAAGAAUGUACUAGCAUGUUGCAGCGAUUCCAAGCACGCAGAGAUGGAUCGAAAGAAUCAGCAGGAACAGGAAGAGAUCCAUCAAUGAACUCAAUCUUCAUUUUGCCACCAAGAGCCUUCUUCAUGCUUCGAGCCCAUGAAUGAUAGUUGGAACCAUUGAGUUUCGGAAGAAUUGUAACAGAACCAUGACCAUUGCUGGGGUGAACAAAAUAAGGUGAAGUUUGAUCCAAAGUAGGAUCAAGUGGUGAAGAUCGAGGAGGAGCCAUGGAUGCAGAAAGAAGUGAAUGCAGAAAGAAAAAUAGAUGGAGUAGAAGGAUUCAAUUGGAUAGUAGCGGAAGGAGAAUCGAAUUGGCGAUGAUACCAUAUUAUGAUGAAGCUAUUUCAACACUGAAGAAAGGAUAAUAAAAUGGAAAUGCGAAAGAAACUUCAAGAAGAGAGAAUCAUAGCUUCAUUGAUUAUUCAAGUGUGAUAGUACAACUCUUAUAUAGUACACUCCUAUCAAACAAUAGCCAAUCAAAUGAAACUAACCAACCAAAUAACCACCUAACUAACAAUAGCCUUACCAACUAUAUUAAUCAACUAAUCUAAUCCAAUGAUUAAAGUAGCUAAUCUUAACACAUAAUGCACUCAAAUUUCUAAUUUGUUGCAUGAAAAUUUUAAUAGUAAAGUAUAUAUACUAAGCAAGGCAAAACUAAAAUUCCCAUAAAAUCAAUGCCUCGAGGAUCCUGAACGGGAGUUAAAGUUCCAAUUAUUUUUGUGGGAAAAUUAUUUACAUUUUGUAGUUACAAAUAUGAUGUUAUACUUUAAUUUCACUUACAUUUUAUGGUAAGAAAAAAGGAGUGUCAUGAGAGUAAUCAAACAAAACAAUAAUAUAUAAUCAAUUAAAUGGAUGUGCAAGCAGACUAGGUGAAUGUAGCUUUUCUUGAAUAACACAAUUUGUUUUCACCAAAAUAUCAUUUCAUAUGCACGUUUAACAUAACUAUAGUGUUUUAACCAAAAUAUUACUUUAGAUGCACCAAAAUAUUAGUUUAGAUGCACGUUUAACGUAACUAACACCAGUGUUUUAACCAAAAUAUUACUUUAGAUGCACCAAAAUAUUAGUUUAGAUGCACGUUUAACGUAACUAACACCAUACCAAACAUAUGCUCUUCAAGAAAUUUGAACUUGAAACUUUUAUCUUCUGAAAACAUAGAUUUAGUCUAUAAAAAGAAUUCUAAUUCUAAUUUUUGUUCAUCUAAAUUAGUAGUUGAAACUAGAACCUGAAUCAAAAUUCUCAAAUACUAAAAAAUCCAUUCAAAUAUCUAAACUUAACUAAAAUCGAUAUUGUUCGUUGAUGUGGAGCAUAACACAAGUAUUAUUUCUUAUUGAUCUAUCAAUCUAAAUCAUUCUUUGAUCGGUAAAACUUGUAACUCGAGAUUUUUUGUAUAAAUUAAUCAAAACCCAUUUGUGUUCUUAUUCUUUGAUUUCAUGAACUUCAUUAAAAUCCAAAUAUUGGAAUUAUAUAUUGAGCAUUUUAUAUUUUGUUAAGUGGAUGGAGUUAGGCAUUUGAUAUACAAUAAUUUAAAAUUAGUGAGAUUAGAUAAAUAAGAAGUUCGAUAUGUCGUCUAGAAGCUAUGGGUUUUUUCCUUUUCUAUAUUAUAAAUUAAAACACAUGAGUUUCAUCCGAAAUUAAUUAUUCUAAUUUUGAAGACAAAAAUUUAUUAUCGUCAUUUUAUUUAAUUACGGCAAAAGUUUACGAGCGUAAAUAUUUUAUAAAUUGGUUAAUUGAUAUUAUUAUUAUUAUUAUUAUUAUUAUUAUUAUUAUUAUUAUUAUUUGUAACACCAAUAUUCUUUUUCUAAUUGUGCAUAGUGUCUAAUUGGUUAAUUGAUGAAGAAUUAAUUGUCCUAACCUAACUCUAAGCACUUGAUUAGAGGUGAGUGUCGAUCAUUAGUAAUAAGGGUCCAUGUGCAAGGGCAAAUCAAUAUGUUCUAAUGGUAUUAUAAAACUUAAACUAUAGAGAAACCUCAUUUCUCUACAUAUUUUCUCUUGGUUAGUAGCUUGAAUAUCAAAUGUGACAUGAGAGGAAGAAUGAGCCAAUGACAGUUAAUGGAUGUCGAGUUGCAAGUUAGAGCUAACCAUCCAGGCUUCACCCAAUCUAUGGAUGGAGUCAUUUUGUUAAAUCAGUGGUUAUAUGUGCUGAUUGAUUCAGAGUUGAGAAGGGUGAUAUUGGAAUAAUCUCACAAUUCACCUGUGAUACCCCAAUUUUGCCCUUCCUUCAAUAAAUCGACACCUUUAUCAUGACAUUCGCAUCAUCUAUAUAGCAUAACAUGCAUUUCAUUCCACAUAAUGCCUAAAAUAUCGACCAGAAUAAACUUUUGAAUUUACAGGCAGACCGAUUAAACUGAUUCUCAAAUGAACAUGAAAUUAGCGGGCGGAAAUUUAAAAAUCGAGCUUGCAAAUGUCAAUUUUAUUAAUCUACAAUUCGUGUAGUUUAACAUGGCGUGUUCGUUUUAUUUUUUUCAACUACUUUUUCAGUCGCAUUUUGACCAGUCUGAGCCUUUUACCCAAUCAUAAAAAUAAAUUUUUAACUGGUUUUAGACAUACAAAAGCUCUUCAAAUUUUCACGUUCAUCAUUUUGGUGCAUUUAGUUUAAUUUUUCGACCAUUUUUGCACCCAACUUUUUUUCAAUUUGAGUUUGUUUAUCAUUUUUUUUGUCAAAAUGUUUGAAAUAAGUAAAUAGAAUUUUCAUUGUUUUUGUUUUGAGUUAAUUUUUAUUAUUUAGAUUAAUGUAAUUUUAUUUGAUUUAAUUUAUUUGUAACUAUUUUUUACAUAAUUUUCACUCAAUAAGGGCAUGUUCGAUAUUUAAUAAAAAUAGAAAACCCUAGCAUAUAUAAGUUAAUAAGUGCUGAAAGAAGAGGACCUCAAUUUUACAAUCCACGUCGCCUCUUUUUUGGGUCAAACAGAAAUUGAAAAAAAUAAAGAAUUGAACCACUUGCAGCUACAGUGUGUUGUUCACUUUCCAAAGUCUCCCUCUCAUUUGACAUACCAUCUCUUAACCCCUAGCAUAUACUUCUUAAUUUAAAAAAAAAGAAGGCUUAAACGCACUUUUGAUCCCCUUAGUUUGAACAUUUUAAACAAUUGUUCCCCCUAUUGCAAAACUAGUGAUUCUGGUCCCUUAAUUUUGAUGGUCUUUGGAUUUGUAUGUUCCCCUUCCACUUUUACAUAUGUGACAUUGAUUAUUCGGAUAAAAAUAUAAUUUUGAAUGAUAUAUCAUUGAUGACUAGGGUAAUUUAUUAAUUAAUAUUUUUUAUAGAAUAAAUUAAUAAUUAAUUGUUUUAAUUAAUAUUUUUAGAAAUUAAUUAAUUAAAAUUUUAAAAAGAAUUACUGGGCCUAAGCCCAAUUCUUAACAACAUCCUUUUCAAACUUGCCCAAGAAGACAUUGAGUAAUGCAUUGUUGACUUUUAUAAACACUAAAAUUGUUUAUGAAAAAAAUAAUGUGGGACAUAAUUCCCUUUUUUCCUUAUGACUCUACUCAUGAUCUCUAUCAUAAACUGAAUGUGCAUUGAUGCUCUUCAAGAUAUAACCACCCAAAUAACACAAAUCGGUAGCCAUCAGAUUAUUAGUUUUCGAUGUUUAAAGAUCUCAAGGAGUUCAAUUUCGUUGUGCAUGAUAUUUAUUGCCUUUUUACUGUCCGUCCAAAUUCAAACUUCUUUACAAACAUAAUUUUUUUUGACCGAAUCAAUAAAUUUGUACAUAAUAUCAUGUGUUCCUCUACCAAUAAUAUACUGAUCACUUAGAUUCUCUGUAGCUUGCACAACACUAUUUCCUUAAGGGAAAUGACUUUACUUGAGGUGUUGAAUCUUGAACAAUAUUCAAGUCCGAUCCAUCCAGCUCCUCAUCAAAUAUAAUACCAUGAUUUAGAUCAGACUCCAUAUCUAAUUCCUUUCCAAGAAGACACCUUUGAACUAUAAUUACCAGUACAACAGAAUUAAAUAUUGAGGAUCCAAUUGAUAUCAUCACAAUUUGAAUAUUACUAAUAUCGAUACCUUUAUGAUCACUUGAGUAGUGUGAUUUGGAGACACAUGGAUUUAGAUUUAGGGGAGAACAAAGGUAUGAAAUAAUAAAGAAAUAAAAUAAAUAAAUAAAUAAAGCAAAACAAAUCAAUAAGAGAAAAAGAAAACGAAUAAAUAAACAAAACAAACAACCCUAGAACUAAAUUGUAGGUUUAACUCUCUUUAGGGAUAUUCCCCAGCAGAGUCACCAAUUGUCGUAUAUAAAAAAAUAUGAUCUCGUGAAGCGCAUCGAACACUCGCGGAUGGACUGGCAGAGUCGGCACUGUUCUCUAUUUAUUCCUAAGAAAAGGAAAAAUGACAACAAAACUGUAAGGAAAAGAAAAGGAUAAGAUGUGCAUCGCAACCAAAUUAGGGUUCAGGAGUCGGUUAUGCAAUGGGAAGGUAUUAACACCCCCCACAUCCGUUGUACUAAACGGAAACCUCCUAAUGUUAUAAGGUUGAUUAUUUGUUAAGGGUUUAUUUAUUUUAUUUUAUUUUUAUUCGAGUGUUUACAAAAAUAAAUUAUUUACAAUGGAAAAAGCUUUUUUAAUUAUUAUGCUCGCCAAGGUUUCAAAACUUCGUGUCUACGUAUUCUAUUGUGCAAUGAGAAAAUCAGAGCAUCGUAGUUCAAAAAAAAGUUUGUGUGUUGGUUGCUUUUAUAUAAUAUAAUUUAAGUCAUUCUUGCGUUCAAACCUCGACUUAUAUGCUCGCACGAUGGAGGCUUAAGCGCUUGUUUUUGUUUCGCGUUGAAAAUAACUUGAACUAUCCUUUUAUGAAAAAUAUUUUUGGAAUGGGGUACCGGGGCACAUAAAAGGUUUAAAUAGUGAUGUUUAAUUUUAAGUGUUUUGGUUCUAAAUAAUCGAUCGACACAGAGAGCGCUAACCAAUCAAUUACUCAAGGACAUGGUGGAUGUCUAUCCACCUUCGAUUUGCAAAAAAAUAUUGAUUUAAUUUAACUUAUAAAAGUAGUUUGAUGAUAUGUACAAAUAUGAAUUAUUUACAAGUUGAGAAAGAAAUCUUAUUUUCUAUUUAUUUUAUUAAUUUGAAUAUAAGAAGGAAUAUUUUAUAUAUUUUUUUAAAAUAGAAUUUGAAUAAGAAGAAGGAUUAUGAUUGGUUGUUUGAACUUAUAAAAUAAAGGGAAAUAUUAUUCAUCAUUAAAGUAAAAUAAAAAACUUUUGUUUUAAAUUAAAUAAAAAAGGAUAGUUUUUGUAACUUUUGUUGUAUAGCUUUUGUAGGUAGCAUAUUUAAUUUAAUUUAUAUAAUAUGAUUAUCAGAAAGACUUAAAUAAAAUUACCUACACAUUUCAGAGAUUACUAUAAAUUAAUUUUGCAAGAUCAAAAACAAAAAUGACAUAUAAUUGUAAUGAUUAAAAACAAACAAAAAAUAUAAGACUAAAAAAAUAUUGAUAAAUAUCAUAUACUUAUUUAAUUUAAAUAAAAAAUAUUUUAAUAAAAUUUCUUAAAAUAGACACAUUAAAUAUAUUCUUGUUUUUAAUAUGUAUAUGAAAUGACAAAUAAAAACAUCUAAUCUAAUAAUAUUAGCAUUAUCAAUUGACUAGUCCUCACAUAAUGUUUAAAAAAAAAGUGAGAAUGAAAAAUAAAAGUUAACAAAGGUUGUAACUAAUUUUUCUUAACAAGAUAGUAAUAUAGAAUAUAAAAAAAAAACAUUGCCACCCCACUACUCAACUUUGUAAUCUCAUUUUAUUUUUCUUCCCAAGCAAGUUACAAUUUUCAUGGAUACUUUAACUUUCAUUUUGUCAUCAAUCCUAACUUAGAUGCCUUUUUAUGUGACAUUUUUCAUAUCUUCUUCAACAAAGUUGGAUGAAACUUAAAUUUAAUAUGGUAACAAAAAAUAGUGUUAAUGAUAAGGCUCCAUAUUAUUAAUAGCAUUUAAUUUGAUAAUACUUUUGAGGCACUAUAGCUAAGAGUGUUGUAAGAACAUUUUCUUCCAUCCUUUUUUCAAGUAUCUUAUAAGACUAAAAAAAAUAUUGAUAAAUAUCAUAUACUUAUUUAUUUUAAACAAAAAAUAUUUUUAUAAAGUUUCUUAAAAUAAACACAUUAAUAUAUUCUUCUUUUUAAAAUGUAUACAAAAUGACAAAUAAAAAUAUCUAAUAUAGUAAUAUUAGCAUUAUCAAUUUACUAGUCCUCACAUAAUAUUUUUUUUUUAAAAAGAGAGAAUGAAAAAUAAAAUUUAACCAAGGUUGUAACUAAUUUUUCUUAGCCAGACAAUAAGAUAGAAUUAAAAAAAAAUAUUGCCACCGCCAUACUCAACUUUGUAAUCUCAUUUUAUUUUUCUUCCCAAGCAAGUUACAAUUUUCAUGGAUUCUUAAACUUUCAUUUUGUCAUCAACCUUAACUUAGAUGCCUUUUUACAUGUCCUUUUUCAUAUCUUCUUCAAAAAAAUUGGAUGAAACUUAAAUUUAAUAUGGUGACAAAAAAUAGUGUUAAAGAUAAGGCCCCAUAUUAUUAAUAGCAUUUAAUUUGAUGAUACUUUUGAGGCUCUCUAAAUAAGAGUGUCGUAAGAACAUUUUCUUCCAUCCUUUUUUCAAGUAUCAUUGUGUUUUCUGUUUAUUCAUUUACAAUGAUGAAUUUCAAAUGUUUUGUUUUUCUCAUACUUCUGGCUGGUGUGAUUCUCAUCUCUGCAGUGGAGGCCGAUGAACCAGAUCCUGAUCCACCAAGUAUGAACUUUGAAAUCAACAUCAAUUUAUUUGUUUAUCAACUUUGUUUAAGAUUUAGGUGAAUUAAAUUUAUGCAUGAAACUGAUAAAAGAUUUUAGGAAAAAACAUCCAUAUGAUGAAUUUUUAUAACCACUCUUCGUAUGAAUGCAUUUGGUGUAUGAUUAAAUUUUGUUGUUAUAGUAACUUAAUUAUGUAUGUUGUUGAUGAAGGUCCAAAGAUAAGCGUCUAUGAAGAGCUUAAGGGGUGUUACAAAGCAUGAAAAAGUAAAAAAAUUAUAUGUUUUAAUUUAAUGGGAUUGAUAAGUCAAUUUUGUAAAAUUUUGCAACUUUAGGUGGAAGAAAAAUGAUUUUGGAGUCAAUUCAUGAUGGAAACUGCAAGGAACAAGGAGGCGAAAAGUAUGGUGAUAGUGAAUUUGGUGGCAUUGGUGGAGGUGUCAUCAAGGAGGAGGUAUUAGAGGUGGCAUAUGGAGAGGUAGGGAAAAAGGAGGUGGAAGUGGUAGUGAGGGAGAAGAUUAUGGUGGUGGAGGAAGUGGAAGUGGAAAAGGAAGAGAAUGUGGUGAUAAAGGCUGUAGAAUUGGAGGAGAUUAUGGUGGUGGAGCAAGUGGUACUGGUAAAGGCAACGAAAGUGGAGGAGAUUAUGGUGGUGGCAAAGGCGGUGGUAGAAGAGGAGAUUAUGGUGGUGGAAGUGAAGGUGGAAGUGGUAGCAGAGGAGAUUAUAAUGGUGGAGCUAGUGGUGAAAGUGGAGAAGGUGGUGGUAAAUGUGGAGAUUAUGGAGGUAGAGCAGGUGGUGGUAAAGAAACUGGUAACGGAGGAGAUUAUGGUGGUGGAAGUGGUAGAGGUAACAUAGAAGAUUAUGGUGGUGGAGGUAGUGGCCAUGGAUUCGGUGGUGGAAGUAGACGAGACGACGAUGAAAGUGGAGAAGGUGGUGGAAGCAAAUGAGAAGAAUGAGGUUAUUAAUGCAAUGGUACAUGAGACUUCUAUGAUUUAUGGAAAAUAUUAAAAAUGAAUAUAUACUCUAUUCAAAUUUCUUUUAUCCUUAAACAUAAGUAAUAAUUACAGUAUUGUCUCUCUUUAUGUGUAGUUCAUGAAUUAUGAAUAAAAAAUAUUGUGAUAUUCAUAAUAUUAUUAUUAAUAAUAAUAAUAAUAAUAAUAAUAAUCACCAUCAUGGAAAGUUUCCAUAAUUCAUUAUAUGUGUUGUUCAGAAAUACCUAUUGAUAAAUACAAACAAUACUUAAAUACUCUAAUUAAGAAGUGUUCAAAUAAUAUACCGUUAAUAGUAUUAGUAUCUUUGCAAUUCACUCAAUAUUAUUUUAAAAAAUCAAUCAAUUCUAAUGGGUCAUGAAAUCCCUACAAAAAAAUUAUUAGAUUAUAUAUUCCCUUCACUCUUCUUAAUUAAGUAUUGUAUAUAAAUAUUCUGAAGUAUCAAAUCAUCAUGAUUCAUAAAUCAAAAUAUAAAAACUAAUAUUGAAUGAUAUAAAUAAAAAUAUAAGGUAAUGACGGUGCAUAAUAUUGUGAUGAAGCUAUUUCAACAUUGAAGAAAGGAUAAUAAAAUGGAAAUGAGAAAGAAACUUCAAGAAGAGAGAAUCAUAGCUUCAUUGAUUAUUCAAGUGUGAUAGUACAACAUCGAUCUCAAGAUGUUUGGUUCGUUCAUGAAACACCGGAUUGGACGCAAUAUGCAUUGCACUUUGGCUGUCACAAUAAAGGACAGGAAGUUUGGUACAUGUGAUGUGCAACUCCUUCAUAAGGACUACCAUCCAAAGCAAUUCACAUGUGGCAAAUGACAGCGCCCGAUACUCAGCCUCCGAUGAUGAUAUGGAAAUAGUAUCUUAUUUCUUUGCACGCCACGAUAUGAGAGAAGUACCAAGGAAUAAGCAAUAUCCUGAAAUGGACCUCCUUGAAUCAAUGCACCCUGCCCAAUCAGAAUCUGAGAAGCCAAGAAAUUGUAAUUCAGCAUUCCUGCGAAACAGAAUUCCUCUACCAGGGCUAUUCUUCAAGUAGCGUAUGACUCUACAAGCAGCAUGGUAGUGUGCCAUUGUUGGAUUAUGAAGAAACUGGUUGAGUUGCUGCAUGGCAUAGGUAAUGUUUGGGCGUGUGGUGUUAAGGUACAGCAGAUAACCUAUUAAUCAUCUAUAAGCUCCAAUGUCUUCAAAAGCUUUGCCACUAUCCGCAUGUAGCUUAACUGAUGGAUCAAUAAGUGUGGGAGUUGGUUUGGAUCCAAGCAUACAAGAUUCCUGCAAGAGAUCAAGACAAUAUUUUCGUUGUGAUAGUGAAAUCCCUGCCUUUGAAUGAGCAACCUCGAGGCCAAGAAAAUACUUGAGUAUGCCCAGGUUUUUGAUGCUAAAAUUUUCAUCCAGACUGAGUUUAAUACGAUCAAAUUCAAACAUAGAGGUUCCAGCUAGGAUUAUGUCAUCAACAUAGACUAAAAUAGCUCUAAAUUAAGCAUCAGUUUUCAAAGUGAAAAGGGAAUAAUCAGAAGUAGAUUGAGUGUACCCUUGUUGAAGUAAAAGAGUUGUUAGCUUUUCAUACCAUUUGCGACUGGCUUGUUUCAGACCAUAUAAACUCUUUAAAUAAUCAGAAGUAGAUUGAGUGUACCCUUGUUGAAGUAAAAGAGUUGUUAGCUUUUCAUACCAUUUGCGACUGGCUUGUUUCAGACCAUAUAAACUCUUUUGGAGUUUGCAUACUUGAUUGGGCCUAUGACAUGUAACACCUUCAGGUAUGGUCGUAUACACAUCUUCCUGCAAUUCCCCAUGUAAAAAUGCAUUGUUAACAUCAAGUUGAUGUAAGAACCAAUUUUUGAUGGCUGCAGUCGCAAGAAGAGUUCUGACAGUUGUAAGCUUUGCUACAGGUAAAAAAGUAUCAAAGAAAUCAAGCCAUUCAAUUUGGUUGUAGCCCUUGGCAAUAAGUCUAGCUUUAUACCUCUCUAUUGUGCCAUAUGCUUUAUGCUUUACUUUGAACACCCAUCUGUUACCAAUUGGUUUGACAUGUGGUGGCAAAUCAACUAUGUUCCAAGUUCUAUUCUUGUAUAAUGCAUCUAAUUCAGACUUCAUGGCCUUGAUCCAAUGUUCAGACAAACAUUCUUCUUUGUAGUUCUUUGGCUCAUAUGUAAGAGUGAUAUUGGAUGCAAAGGCACGAUGAGAUGUAGACAGAAAAUGCAGUGAAUCAUAAUUUGAAAUAGGAUAAGUAAUUUUGGUUGUACCUGAUGAUGACUUGACUGUUGAAGCAUCAAAUGUAUUGCACAUAUAAUCUGAGAGAUAAUGAGGUGUAUGUUUGGCUCUAACAGGCCUAGAUUGAAUGUUGUCAUUUUCAAUAUCUGAUGUAUCAGGGAUAAAUUGAAUGUUAUGGUUCUCAUCAGCAUUUUCUAAAGAUUCAGGGUCAAUGUUAGAAUGGUGCAGUGUGUCAAUGGUUGUGUUAGGAUGGUGGUCAAGUUCCUCAACAGUGGAUUCAAUACUUUGUGAUGGAACAGGUAUGAUAGGAACAUGUUGUGGUGAGUCAAUGGGAUCUUUGUAAGGGUGAUAGUUCCAAUUAGUAGAAUUUGCAUUUGAAUAGGGAAAAAUGUGCUCAUGAUGUAUGACGUUUCUAGAAACAAGAAUUGUAUGACUGUUAAUAUCAUAGAGCACCACACCCUUCAUACCACUCUUGUAUCCUAAGAAUACACAUUUUCGACCUCUUGGCUCAAGUUUUGUUCUAUGCAUAUGUAAUGUGGAUGGAAAGGCUAGAGAUCCAAACACUUUGAGACUAUGCAUAUCUGGAUGUGCAUUAUGCAGUAUGAAAUGAGGAUAAAGAUUGUUUAAAACUUGUGUAGGAAGUUUAUUUAUAAUGAAUGUUGCAUGCAAAAUGGCAUAUGACCAGAAUUCCUUUGGAAGUUUUGACUGAAAAAGAAGGGCUCUUCCAACAUUUAGUAAAUGUUGAUGUUUCUUCUCCACUCUACCAUUUUGUUGUGGAGAUUCAACACAACUUGUUUGAUGAAUGAUUCCCUUAGAUGCAUAAAAUUCAGGGAGGCUAAAUUCAGGACCAUUAUCAAUUCUGAUAAUUUUGACAUGAAGCUUAUGUUGAUUUUCUAUGAGACUAACAAAGUUUAUAACAUGCUGUCUAGCUUCAGAUUUGGCUUUCAUUAAUGUUAUCCAUGUGUAUCUGCUACAGUCAUCAACAUCAGUUAAAAAAUAUGAAUGGUCAUGUAAAGAUUGAACUGCAAGAGGUCCACAAAUGUCAAAAUGGAUCAAGUCAUAAGGGUGAGCAGCUCUAUUAUUACUAACAGUAUAAGAAAGCUUUCUUUGUCUAGCAUAGCAACAAACAUCACAAACAUCUUUAUGAUUAACUUUGAUAAAGGGAAAUUGAGAAUGUAAGUACAAUAGUCUGUUUUGAGAUAAGUGUCCUAAUCUAAAAUGCCAUAAGGCUCUAUCUGGUAAAGUGACAUUGGCUUCUAUGGCAAAGGUUAAAGCAGGUGUGUGUGUAGUAGGUGGAUCAUUAUCUCUUAGUGUUAGGUAGCACAAUCCAUCUUUCUGCUCAGCAGAACCAGUCAUCUUCAUGGUGAUUUUGUCCUGUAUAACACAUUGUGAAUUGAGGAAAUUGACAUUGCAAUUAGAGGAUUCACACAAUUUUGAAACAUAUAAUAGAUUUAAAGAAAAUUUAGGAAUCAAAAGAACAUUAUGCACAAUGAAGUCAGGAAAAAAAUAAAUUGUGCCAGAAUGUUUAGCAACAAGGCAUUGUCCAUUUGGCAAUCUAACAUUGAUGGGAAUAAUUUUCUUAUAUGAAUGAAACCAUUGGACAAAACUACAUAUGUGAUCAGUAGCUCCUGAAUCAAUGAUCCAAGAACCACUACUACUAUUAUGCAUGCAAUGAUAUGUGUUACCUGUUGAUGGAUGACCAACAACAACUUGGUUGGAAGAAGCAUGUCAUGAAGAUUGGUCAAUGCUUGAUUUCUGAAUUAGGUCCAUUAAAGCACUGAAUUGACCUUGAGUCAUAGGUGAAUUAUCACUUUUAAUGUCAACACCACUAGAGGAAUAUCCAUCAUCAUUUCCAUCUGAUGCCACAUUGUUAGCUGAAUUCUGAAACUGCUUCUGCAUAUGAGGUGGUACACCAUGUUUCUUGAAGCAGUUUUCCACAGUGUGAUUAGUCUUGCCACAGAAUGUAUGUUAGCUGAAUUCUGAAACUGCUUCUGCAUAUGAGGUGGUACACCAUGUUUCUUGAAGCAGUUUUCCACAGUGUGAUUAGUCUUGCCACAGAAUGUGCAAACACGAGCACCAUGCUUGAAUGUAUUAUUUCUUGCUCCAAACCUCUUGGAAUCAGCAGCAUUGAUCAGUGUUUGAGACUCAUCAUUGGGAAUAGGGAGCUGAAUUUGUCGCUCAUGUUGGAUAACCAUGGAGAAUAUCUUAUUCAUAUUUGGCAAAGGAUCCUUAACAAUAUUUGAGACUUAACUACAACAAAUUGGUCAUUCAAACCAGUCAAGAAUCUGAUAAUUUGUAGCAGCGGAUGAUUAGAUCUUGCAUUGCACAUAGCUUCACAAGAACAUUUUAUGCGACAUGUACAAGUUGGUAAAGGCAAAUAUAAAUCUAAUUCUUUCCAAAGAAUUUUAAGAUCAGAAAAAAAUCAGUUACCGAUUUGGUUUCUUGCUGCAGCUCAGAAAUACGAAUUAGGUCACCCUGAGAAAACCUUUCUUUCAAAUUGUUCCAUACAUCAAGCACAUUCUCCAUGAAGACGAUAGACUGAGAAAUUGAAUCUGAAACAAAAUUCAUGAUCCAAGAAUGUACUAGCAUGUUGCAGCGAUUCCAAGCAUGCAGAGAUGGAUCGAAAGAAUCAGCAGGAACAAGAAGAGAUCCAUCAAUGAACUCAAUCUUCAUUUUGCCACCAAGAGCCUUCUUCAUACUUCGAGCCCAUGAAUGAUAGUUGGAACCAGUGAGUUUCGGAAGAAUUGUAACAGAACCAUGACCAUUGCUGGGGUGAACAAAAUAAGGUGAAGUUUGAUCCAAAGUAGGAUCAAGUGGUGAAGCUCGAGGAGGAGCCAUGGAUGCAGAAAGAAGUGAAUGCAGAAAGAAAAAUAGAUGGAGUAGAAGGAUUCAAUUGGAUAUAAGUGGAAGGAGAAUCGAAUUGGCGAAUGAUACCAUGUUGCGAUGAAGCUAUUUCAACAUUGAAGAAAGGAUAAUAAAAUGGAAAUGCGAAAGAAACUUCAAGAAGAGAGAAUCAUAGCUUCAUUGAUUAUUCAAGUGUGAUAGUACAACUCUUAUAUAGUACACUCCUAUCACACAAUAGCCAAUCAAAUGAAACUAACCAACCAAAUAACCACCUAACUAACAAUAGCCUUACCAACUAUAUUAAUCAACUAAUCUAAUCCAAUGAUUAAAGUAGCUAAUCUUAACACAUAAUGCACUCAAAUUUCUAAUUUGUUGCAUGAAAUUUUUAAUAGUAAAGUAUAUAUACUAAGCAAGGCAAAACUAAUAUUCCCAUAAAAUCAAUGCCUCGAGGAUCCUGAACGGGAGUUAAAGUUCCAAUUAUUUUUGGGGGAAAUUUAUUUACAUUUUGUAGUUACAAAUAUGAUGUUAUACUUUAAUUUCACUUACAUUUUAUGGUAAGAAAAAAGGAGUGUCAUGAAAGUAAUCAAACAAAAGAAUAAUAUAUAAUCAAUUAAAUGGAUGUGCAAGUAGACUAGGUGAAUGUAGCUUUUCUUGAAUCGCACAAUUUGUUUUCACCAAAAUAUCAUUUCAUAUGCACGUUUAACAUAACUAUAGUGUUUUAACCAAAAUAUUACUUUAGAUGCACCAAAAUAUUAGUUUAGAUGCACGUUUAACGUAACUAACACCAGUGUUUUAACCAAAAUAUUACUUUAGAUGCACCAAAAUAUUAGUUUAGAUGCACGUUUAACGUAACUAACACCAUACCAAACAUAUGCUCUUCAAGAAAUUUGAACUUGAAACUUUUAUCUUCUGAACACAUAGAUUUAGUCUAUAAAAAGACUUCUAAUUCUAAUUUUUGUUCAUCUAAAUUAGUAGUUGAAACUAGAACUUGAAUCAAAAUUCUCAAAUACUAAAAAUCCAUUCAAAUAUCUAAACUUAACUAAAAUCAAUAUUGUUCGUUGAUGUGGAGCAUAACACAACUAUUAUUUCUUAUUGAUCUAUCAAUCUAAAUCAUUCUUUGAUCGGUAAAACUUGUAACUCGAGAUUAUUUUGUAUAAAUUUAUCAAAACCCAUUUGUGUUCUUAUUCUUUGAUUUCAUGAACUUCAUUAAAAUCCAAAUAUUGGAAUUAUAUAUUGAGCAUUUUAUUUUUUGUUAAGUGGAUGGAGUUAGGCAUUUGAUAUACAAUAAUUUAAAAUUAGUGAGAUUAGAUAAAUAAAAAGUUCGAUAUGACGUCUAGAAGCUAUGGGUUUUUUCCUUUUCUAUAUAAUAAAUUAAAACACAUGAGUUUCAUCCGAAAUUAAUUAUUCUAAUUUUGAAGACAAAAAUUUAUUAUCGUCAUUUUAUUUAAUUACGGCAAAAGUUUACUAGCGUAAAUAUUUUAUAAAUUGGUUAAUUGAUAUUAUUAUUAUUAUUAUUAUUAUUAUUAUUUCUAUUAUUAUUAUUAUUAUUAUUAUUAUUAUUAUUAUUAUUAUUAUUAUUUGUAACACCAAUAUUCUUUUUCUAAUUGUUGGCAUAGUGUCUAAUUGGUUAAUUGAUGAAGAAUUAGUUGUCCUAACCUAACUCUAAGCACUUGAUUAAAGGUGAGUGUCGAUCAAGGGCAAAUCAAUAUGUUCUAAUGGUAUUAUAAAACUUAAACUAAAGAGAAACCUCAUUUCUCUACAUAUUUUCUCUUGGUUAGUAACUUGAAUAUCAAAUGUGACAUGGGAGGAAGAAUGAGCCAAUGACAGUUAAUGGAUGUCGAGUUGCAAGUUAGAGCUAACCAUCCAGGCUUCACCCAAUCUAUGGAUGGAGUCAUUUUGUUAAAUCAGUGGUUAUAUGUGCUGAUUGAUUCAGAGUUGAGAAGGGUGAUAUUGGAAUAAUCUCACAAUUCACCCGUGAUACCCCAAUUUUUCCCUUCCUUCAAUAAAUCGACACCUUUAUCAUGACAUUCGCAUCAUCUAUAUAGCAUAACAUGUAUUUCAUUCCACAUAAUGCCUAAAAUAUCGACCAGAAUAAACUUUUGAAUUUACAGGCAGACCGAUUGAACUGAUUCUCAAAUGAACGUGAAAUUAGCGGGCGGAAAUUUAAAAAUCGAGCUUGCAAAUGUCAAUUUUAUUAAUCUACAAUUCGUGUAGUUUAGCAUGGCGUGUUCGUUUUAUUUUUUUCAACUACUUUUUCAGUCGCAUUUUGACCAGUCUGAGCCUUUUACCCAAUCAUAAAAAUAAAUUUUUAACUGGUUUUAGACAUACAAAAGCUCUUCAAAUUUUCACGUUCAUCAUUUUGGUGCAUUUAGUUUAAUUUUUCGACCAUUUUUGCACCCAACUUUUUUUCAAUUUGAGUUCGUUUAUCAUUUUUUUGGUCAAAAUGUUUGAAAUAUGUAAAUAGAACUUUCAUUGUUUUUGUUUUGAGUUAAUUUUUAUUAUUUAGAUUAAUGUAAUUUUAUUUGAUUUAAUUUAUUUGUAACUAUUUUUACAUAAUUUUCACUCAAUAAGGGCAUGUUCGAUAUUUAAUAAAAAUAGAAAACCCUAACAUAUAUAAGUUAAUAAGUGCUGAAAGAAGAGGACCUCAAUUUUACAAUCCACGUCGCCUCUUUUUUGGGUCAAACAGAAAUUGAAAAAAAUAAAGAAUUGAACCAAUUGCAGCUACAGUGUGUCGUUCACUUUCCAAAGUCUCCCUCUCAUUUGACAUACCAUCUCUUAACCCCUAGCAUAUACUUCUUAUUGUAAAAAAAAGAAGGCUUAAAUGCACUUUUGAUCCCCUUAGUUUGAACAUUUUAAACAAUUGUUCCCCCUAUUACAAAACUAGUGAUUCUGGUCCCUUAAUUUUGAUGAUCUUUGGAUUUGUAUGUUCCCCCUCCACUUUUACAUAUGUGACAUUGAUUAUUCGGAUAAAAAUUUAAUUUUGAAUGAUAUAUCAUUGAUGACUAGGAUAAUUUAUUAAUUAAUAUUUUUAUAGAAUAAAUUAAUAAUUAAUUGUUUUAAUUAAUAUUUUUAGAAAUUAAUUAAUUAAAAUUUUGAAAAGAAUUACUGGGCCUAAGCCCAAUUCUUCACAACAUCCUUUUCAAACUUGCCCAAGAAGACAUUGAGUAAUGCAUUGUUGACUUUUAUAAACACUAAAAUUGUUUAUGAAAAAAAUAAUGUGGGACAUAAUUCCCUUUUUUCCUUAUGACUUCUAUCAGAUCUCUAUCAUAAACUGAAUGUGCAUUGAUGCUUUUCAAGAUAUAACCACCCAAAUAAACACAAUCUGGUAGCCAUCAGAUUAUAUUAGUUUUCGAUGUCUAAAGAUCUCAAGUAGUUCAAUUUUGUUGUGCAUGAUAUUUAUCCGCUUUACUUGUUCCGUCCAAAUUCAAACUUCUUUACAACCAAUUUUUUUGACGAAUCAUAAAUUUGUACAUAAUACCAUGUGUUCCUCUACCAAUAAUAUACUGAUCACUUAGAUUCUCCGUAGCUUGAUACACUCAUUUCUUAAGGGAUAAUGACUUACUUGAGAUGUGAAUUCCUGACAUAUUCAAGUCCGAUCCAUCCAGCUCCUCCAUCAAUAUAAUACCAUUGAUUUAGAUCAGACUCCAAUAUCUAAUUCCUUUCCAAGAAGACACCUUUGAACUAUAAUUACCAGUACAACAGAAUUAAAUAUUGAGGAUCCAAUUGAUAUCAUCACAAUUUGAAUAUUACUAAUAUCGAUACCUUUAUGAUCACUCGAGUAGUGUGAUUUGGAGACACAUGGAUUUAGAUUUAGGGGAGAACAAAGGUAUGAAAUAAUAAAGAAAUAAAAUAAAUAAAUAAAUAAAGCAAAACAAAUCAAUAAGAAAAAAAGAAACAAAUAAAUAAACAAAACAAACAACUCUAGAACUAAACUGUAGGUUUAACUCUCUUUAGGGAUAUUCCCUAGCAGAGUCACCAAUUGUCGCUUAUAGAAAAAUAUGAUCUCGUGAAGCGCAUCGAACACUCGCGGAUGGACUGGCAGAGUCGGCAUUGUUCUGUAUUUAUUCCUUAGAAAAGGAAAAAUGACAACAAAACUGUAAGGGAAAGAAAAGGAUAAGAUGUGCAUCGCAACCAAAUUAGGGUUCAGGAGUCGGUUAUGCAAUGGGAAGAUAUUAACACCCCUCACAUCCGUUGUACUCAACGGAAACCUCCUAAUGUUAUAAGGUUGAUUAUUUGUUAAGGGUUUAUUUAUUUUAUUUUAUUUUUAUUCGAGUGUAAUGUUUUUAUUUAAUAAAUGUUACCUUUUUCGAAAAAAUUAAUUUAUGCUCGCCAAGGUUUCAAAACUUCGUGUCUACGUAUUCUAUUGUGCAAUGAGAAAAUCAGAGCAUCGUAGUUCAGAAAAAAGUUUGUGUGUUGGUUGCUUUUAUAUAAUAUGAUUUAAGUCAUUCUUGUGUUCAAACCUCGACUUAUAUGCUCGCACAAUGGAGGCUUAAGCGCUUGUUUUUGUUUCGCGUUGAAAAUAACUUGAACUAUCCUUUUAUGAAAAAUAUUUUUGGAAUGGGGUACCGGGGCACAUAAAAGGUUUAAAUAGUGAUGUUUGAUUUUAAGUGUUUUGGUUCUAAAUAAUCGAUCGAUGCAGAGAGCGCUAACCAAUCAAUUACUCAAGGACAUGGUGGAUGUCUAUCCACCUUCGAUUUGCAAAAAAUAUUGAUUUAAUUUAACUUAUAAAAGUAGUUUGAUGAUAUGUACAAAUAUGAAUUAUUUACAAGUUGAGAAAAAAAUCUUAAUUUCUAUUUAUUUUAUUAAUUUGAAUAUAAGAAGGAAUAUUUUAUAUAUAUUUUUAAAAUAGAAUUUGAAUAAGAAGAAGGAUUAUGAUUGGUUGUUUGAACUUAUAAAAUAAAGGGAAAUAUUAUUCAUCAUUAACCAACUAAUAUAAAAUNCACCCUGCCCAAUCAGAAUCUGAGAAGCCAAGAAAUUGUAAUUCAGCAUUCCUGCGAAACAGAAUUCCUCUACCAGGGCUAUUCUUCAAGUAGCGUAUGACUCUACAAGCAGCAUGGUAGUGUGCCAUUGUUGGAUUAUGAAGAAACUGGUUUACUGCAUGGCAUAGGUAAUGUUUGGGCGUGUGGUGUUAAGGUACAGCAGAUAACCUAUUAAUCAUCUAUAAGCUCCAAUGUCUUCAAAAGCUUUGCCACUAUCCGCAUGUAGCUUAACUGAUGGAUCAAUAAGUGUGGGAGUUGGUUUGGAUCCAAGCAUACAAGAUUCCUGCAAGAGAUCAAGACAAUAUUUUCGUUGUGAUAGUGAAAUCCCUGCCUUUGAAUGAGGCAACCUCCCAGAAAAUACUUGAGUAUGCCCAGGUUUUGAUGCUAAAAUUUUCAUCCAGACUGAGUUUAAUCGAUCAAAUUCAAACAUAGAGGUUCCAGCUAGGAUUAUGUCAUCAACAUAGACUAAAAUAGCUCUAAAUUAAGCAUCAGUUUUCAAAGUGAAAAGGGAAUAAUCAGAAGUAGAUUGAGUGUACCCUUGUUGAAGUAAAAGAGUUGUUAGCUUUUCAUACCAUUUGCGACUGGCUUGUUUCAGACCAUAUAAACUCUUUUGGAGUUUGCAUACUUGAUUGGGCUAUGACAUGUAACACCUUCAGGUAUGGUCGUAUACACAUCUUCCUGCAAUUCCCAUGUAAAAAUGCAUUGUUAACAUCAAGUUGAUGUAAGAACCAAUUUUUGAUGGCUGCAGUCGCAAGAAGAGUUCUGACAGUUGUAAGCUUUUCUACAGGUAAAAAGUAUCAAAGAAAUCAAGCCAUUCAAUUUGGUUGUAGCCCUUGGCAAUAAGUCUAGCUUUAUACCUCUCUAUUGUGCCAUAUGCUUUAUGCUUUACUUUGAACACCCAUCUGUUACCAAUUGGUUUGACAUGUGGUGGCAAAUCAACUAUGUUCCAAGUUCUAUUCUUGUAUAAUGCAUCUAAUUCAGACUUCAUGGCCUUGAUCCAAUGUUCAGACAAACAUUCUUCUUGUAGUUCUUUGGCUCAUAUGUAAGAGUGAUAUUGGAUGCAAAGGCACGAUGAGAUGUAGACAGAAAAUGCAGUGAAUCAUAAUUUGAAAUAGGAUAAGUAAUUUUGUUACCUGAUGAUGACUUGACUGUUGAAGCAUCAAAUGUAUUGCACAUAUAAUCUGAGAGAUAAUGAGGUGUAUGUUUGGCUCUAACAGGCCUAGAUUGAAUGUUGUCAUUUUCAAUAUCUGAUGUAUCAGGAUAAAUUGAAUGUUAUGGUUCUCAUCAAGCAUUUUCUAAAGAUUCAGGGUCAAUGUUAGAAUGGUGCAGUGUGUCAAUGUUGUGUUAGGAUGGUGGUCAGUUCCUCAACAGUGGAUUCAAUACUUUGUGUGGAACAGGUAUGAUAGGAACAUGUUGUGGUGAGUCAAUGGGAUCUUGUAAGGGUGAUAGUUCCAAUUAGUAGAAUUUGCAUUUGAAUAGGGAAAAAUGUGCUCAUGAUGUAUGACGUUUCUAGAAACAAGAAUUGUAUGACUGUUAAUAUCAUAGAGCACCACACCCUUCAUACCACUCUUGUAUCCUAAGAAUACACAUUUUCGACCUCUUGGCUCAAGUUUUGUUCUAUGCAUAUGUAAUGUGGAUGGAAGGCUAGAGAUCCAAACACUUGAGACUAUGCAUAUCUGGAUGUGCAUUAUGCAGUAUGAAAUGAGGAUAAAGAUUGUUUAAAACUUGUGUAGGAAGUUUAUUUAUAAUGAAUGUUGCAUGCAAAAUGGCAUAUGACCAGAAUUCUUUGGAAGUUUUGACUGAAAAAGAAGGCUCUUCCAACAUUUAGUAAAUGUUGAUGUUUCUUCUCCACUCUACCAUUUUGUUGUGGAGAUUCAACACAACUGUUUGAUGAAUGAUUCCCUUAGAUGCAUAAAAUUCAGGGAGGCUAAAUUCAGGACCAUUAUCAAUUCUGAUAAUUUUGACAUGAAGCUUAUGUUGAUUUUCUAUGAGACUAACAAAGUUUUAUAACAUGCUGUCUAGCUUCAGAUUUGGCUUUCAUUAAUGUAUCCAUGUGUAUCUGCUACAGUCAUCAACAUCAGUUAAAAAAUAUGAAUGGUCAUGUAAAGAUUGAACUGCAAGAGGUCCACAAUGUCAAAAUGGAUCAAGUCAAAGGGUGAGCAGCUCUAUUAUUACUAACAGUAUAAGAAAGCUUUCUUUGUCUAGCCAUAGCAACAAACAUCACAAAACAUCUUUAUGAUUAACUUUGAUAAAGGGAAAUUGAGAAUGUAAGUACAAUAGUCUGUUUUGAGAAUAGUGUCCUAAUCUAAAAUGCCAUAAGGCUCUAUCUGGUAAAGUGACAUUGGCUUCUAUGGCAAAGGUUAAAGCAGGUGUGUGUGUAGUAGGUGGAUCAUUAUCUCUUAGUGUUAGGUAGCACAAUCCAUCUUUCUGCUCAGCAGAACCAGUCAUCUUCAUGGUGAUUUUGUCCUGUAUAACACAUUGUGAAUUGAGGAAAUUGACAUUGCAAUUAGAGGAUUCACAACAAUUUGAAACAUAUAAUAGAUUUAAAGAAAAUUUAGGAAUCAAAAAGAACAUUAUGCACAAUGAAGUCAGGAAAAAAAUAAAUGUGCCAGAAUGUUUAGCAACAAGGCAUUGUCCAUUUGGCAAUCUAACAUUGAUGGAUAAUUUUCUUAUAUGAAUGAAACCAUUGGACAAAACUACAUAUGUGAUCAGUAGCUCCUGAAUCAAUGAUCCAAGAACCACUACUACUAUUAUGCAUGCAAUGAUAUGUGUUACCUGUUGAUGGAUGACCAACAACAACUUGGUUGGAAGAAGCAUGUCAUGAAGAUUGGUCAAUGCUUGAUUUCUGAAUUAGGUCAUUAAAGCACUGAAUUGACUUGAGUCAUAGGUGAAUUAUCAUUUUAAUGUCAACACCACUAGAGGAAUAUCCAUCAUCAUUUCCAUCUGAUGCCACAUUGUUAGCUGAAUUCUGAAACUGCUUCUGCAUAUGAGGUGGUACACCAUGUUUCUUGAAGCAGUUUUCCACAGUGUGAUUAGUCUUGCCACAGAAUGUGCAAACACGAGCACCAUGCUUGAAUGUAUUAUUUCUUGCUCAACCUCUUGGAAUCAGCAGCAUUGAUCAGUGUUUGAGACUCAUCAUUGGGAAUAGGGAGCUGAAUUUGUCGCUCAUGUUGGAUAACCAUGGAGAAUAUCUUAUUCAUAUUGGCAAAGGAUCCUUAACAAUAUUGAGACUUAACUACAACAAAUUGGUCAUUCAAACCAGUCAAGAAUCUGAUAAUUUGUAGCAGCGGAUGAUAGAUCUUGCAUUGCACAUAGCUUCACAAGAACAUUUUAUGCGACAUGUACAAGUGGUAAAGGCAAAUAUAAAUCUAAUUCUUCCAAAGAAUUUUAAGAUCAGAAAAAAUCAGUUACCGAUUUGGUUUCUUGCUGCAGCUCAGAAAUACGAAAUUAGGUCACCCUGAGAAAACCUUUCUUCAAAUUGUUCCAUACAUCAAGCACAUUCUCCAUGAAGACGAUAGACUGAGAAAUUGAAUCUGAAACAAAAUUCAUGAUCCAAGAAUGUACUAGCAUGUUGCAGCGAUUCCAAGCAUGCGAGAUGGAUCGAAAGAAUCAGCAGGAACAAGAAGAGAUCCAUCAAUGAACUCAAUCUUCAUUUUGCCACCAAGAGCCUUCUUCAUACUUCGAGCCCAUGAAUGAUAGUUGGAACCAGUGAGUUUCGGAAGAAUUGUAACAGAACCAUGACCAUUGCUGGGUGAACAAAAUAAGGUGAAGUUUGAUCCAAAGUAGGAUCAAGUGGUGAAGCUCGAGGAGGAGCCAUGGAUGCAGAAAGAAGUGAAUGCAGAAAGAAAAAUAGAUGGAGUAGAAGGAUUCAAUUGGAUAUAAGUGAAGGAGAAUCGAAUUGGCGAAUGAUACCAUGUUGCGAUGAAGCUAUUUUCAACAUUGAAGAAAGGAUAAUAAAUGGAAAUGCGAAAGAAACUUCAAGAAGAGAGAAUCAUAGCUUCAUUGAUUAUUCAAGUGUGAUAGUACAACUCUUAUAUAGUACACUCCUAUCACACAAUAGCCAAUCAAAUGAAACUAACCAACCAAAUAAACCACACACUAACUAACAAUAGCCUUACCAACUAUAUUAAUCAACUAAUCUAAUCCAAUGAUUAAAGUAGCUAAUCUUAACACAUAAUGCACUCAAAUUUCUAAUUUGUUGCAUGAAUUUUUAAUAGUAAAGUAUAUAUACUAAGCAAGGCAAAACUAAUAUUCCAUAAAAUCAAUGCCUGAGGAUCCUGAACGGGAGUUAAAGUUCCAAUUAUUUUUGGGGGAAAUUUAUUUACAUUUUGUAGUUACAAAUAUGAUGUUAUACUUUAAUUUCACUUACAUUUUAUGGUAAGAAAAAAGGAGUGUCAUGAAAGUAAUCAAACAAAGAAAUAAUAUAAUCAAUUAAAUGGAUGUGCAAGUAGACUAGGUGAAUGUAGCUUUUCUUGAAUCGCACAAUUUGUUUUCACCAAAAUAUCAUUUCAUAUGCACGUUUAACAUAACUAUAGUGUUUUAACCAAAAUAUUACUUUAGAUGCACCAAAAUUAUUAGUUUAGAUGCACGUUUAACGUAACUAACACCAUACCAAACAUAUGCUCUUCAAGAAAUUUGAACUUGAAACUUUUAUCUUCUGAACACAUAGAUUUAGUCUAUAAAAAGACUUCUAAUUCUAAUUUUUGUUCAUCUAAAUUAGUAGUUGAAACUAGAACUUGAAUCAAAAUUCUCAAAUACUAAAAUCCAUUCAAAUAUCUAAACUUAACUAAAAUCAAUAUUGUUCGUUGAUGUGGAGCAUAACACAACUAUUAUUUCUUAUUGAUCUAUCAAUCUAAAUCAUUCUUUGAUCGGUAAAACUUGUAACUCGAGAUUAUUUUGUAUAAAUUUAUCAAAACCCAUUUGUGUUCUUAUUCUUUGAUUCAUGAACUUCAUUAAAUCCAAAUAUUGGAAUUAUAUAUUGAGCAUUUUAUUUUUUGUUAAGUGGAUGGAGUUAGGCAUUUGAUAUACAAUAAUUUAUUAGUGAGAUUAGAUAAAUAAAAAGUUCGAUAUGACGUCUAGAAGCUAUGGGUUUUUUCCUUUUCUAUAUAAUAAAUUAAAACACAUGAGUUUCAUCCGAAAUUAAUUAUUCUAAUUUUGAAGACAAAAAUUUAUUAUCGUCAUUUUAUUUAAUUACGGCAAAAGUUUACUAGCGUAAAUAUUUUAUAAAUUGGUUAAUUGAUAUUAUUAUUAUUAUUAUUAUUAUUAUUAUUUCUAUUAUUAUUAUUAUUAUUAUUAUUAUUAUUAUUAUUAUUAUUAUUAUUUGUAACACCAAUAUUCUUUUUCUAAUUGUGGCAUAGUGUCUAAUUGGUUAAUUGAUGAAGAAUUAGUUUGUCCUAACCUAACUCUAAGCACUUGAUUAAAGGUGAGUGUCGAUCAAGGGCAAAUCAAUAUGUUCUAAUGGUAUUAUAAAACUUAAACUAAAGAGAAACCUCAUUUCUCUACAUAUUUUCUCUUGGUUAGUAACUUGAAUAUCAAAUGUGACAUGGGAGGAAGAAUGAGCCAAUGACAGUUAAUGGAUGUCGAGUUGCAAGUUAGAGCUAACCAUCCAGGCUUCACCCAAUCUAUGGAUGGAGUCAUUUUGUUAAAUCAGUGGUUAUAUGUGCUGAUUGAUUCAGAGUUGAGAAGGGUGAUAUUGAAUAAUCUCACAAUUCACCCGUGAUACCCCAAUUUUUCCCUUCCUUCAAUAAAUCGACACCUUUAUCAUGACAUUCGCAUCAUCUAUAUAGCAUAACAUGUAUUUCAUUCCACAUAAUGCCUAAAAUAUCGACCAGAAUAAACUUUUGAAUUUACAGGCAGACCGAUUGAACUGAUUCUCAAAUGAACGUGAAAUUAGCGGGCGGAAAUUUAAAAAUCGAGCUUGCAAAUGUCAAUUUUAUUAAUCUACAAUUCGUGUAGUUUAGCAUGGCGUGUUCGUUUUAUUUUUUUCAACUACUUUUUCAGUCGCGAUUUUGACCAGUCUGAGCCUUUUACCCAAUCAUUUUUUAUUUAAAAAAUUGACCAAAAUCUGUAUGUUUUCGAGAAGUUUAUUUCACGUUCAUCAUUUUGGUGCAUUUAGUUUAAUUUUUCGACCAUUUUUGCACCCAACUUUUUUUCAAUUUGAGUUCGUUUAUCAUUUUUUUGGUCAAAAUGUUUGAAAUUGUAAAUAGAACUUUCAUUGUUUUUGUUUUGAGUUAAUUUUAUUAUUUAGAUUAAUGUAAUUUUAUUUGAUUUAAUUUAUUUGUAACUAUUUUUACAUAUUUUCACUCAAUAAGGGCAUGUUCGAUAUUUAAUAAAAAUAGAAACCCUAACAUAUAUAAGUUAAUAAGUGCUGAAAGAAGAGGACCUCAAUUUACAAUCCACGUCGCCUCUUUUUUGGGUCAAACAGAAAUUGAAAAAAAUAAAGAAUUGAACCAAUUGCAGCUACAGUGUGUCGUUCACUUUCCAAAGUCUCCCUCUCAUUUGACAUACCAUCUCUUAACCCCUAGCAUAUACUUCUUAUUGUAAAAAAAAGAAGCUUAAAUGCACUUUUGAUCCCCUUAGUUUGAACAUUUAAACAAUUGUUCCCCCUAUUACAAAACUAGUGAUUCUGGUCCUUAAUUGAUGAUCUUUGGAUUUGUAUGUUCCCCCUCCACUUUUACAUAUGUGACAUUGAUUAUUCGGAUAAAAAUUUAAUUUUGAAUGAUAUAUCAUUGAUGACUAGGAUAAUUUAUUAAUUAAUAUUUUUAUAGAAUAAAUUAAUAAUUAAUUGUUUUAAUUAAUAUUUUUAGAAAUUAAUUAUUAAAAUUUUGAAAAGAAUUACUGGGCCUAAGCCCAAUUCUUCACAACAUCCUUUUCAAACUUGCCCAAGAAGAAUUGAUUAAUGCAUUUGUUGACUUUUAUAAACACUAAAAUUGUUUAUGAAAAAAUAAUGUGGGACAUAAUUCCCUUUUUUCCUUAUGACUUCUACUCAGAUCUCUAUCAUAAACUGAAUGGCAUUGAUGCUUUUCAAGAUAUAACCACCCAAAUAAACACAAUCUGGUAGCCAUCAGAUUAUAUUAGUUUUCGAUGUCUAAAGAUCUCAAGUAGUUCAAUUUUGUUGUGCAUGAUAUUUAUCCGCUUUACUUGUUCCGUCCAAAUUCAAACUUCUUUACAACCAAUUUUUUUGACGAAUCAUAAAUUUGUACAUAAUACCAUGUGUUCCUCUACCAAUAAUAUACUGAUCACUUAGAUUCUCCGUAGCUUGAUACACUCAUUUCUUAAGGGAUAAUGACUUACUUGAGAUGUGAAUUCCUGACAUAUUCAAGUCCGAUCCAUCCAGCUCCUCCAUCAAUAUAAUACCAUUGAUUUAGAUCAGACUCCAUAUCUAAUUCCUUUCCAAGAAGACACCUUUGAACUAUAAUUACCAGUACAACAGAAUUAAAUAUUGAGGAUCCAAUUGAUAUCAUCACAAUUUGAAUAUUACUAAUAUCGAUACCUUUAUGAUCACUCGAGUAGUGUGAUUUGGAGACACAUGGAUUUAGAUUUAGGGAGAACAAAGGUAUGAAAUAAUAAAGAAAUAAAAUAAAUAAAUAAAUAAAGCAAAACAAAUCAAUAAGAAAAGAAACAAAUAAAUAAACAAAACAAACAACUCUAAGAACUAACUGUAGGUUUAACUCUCUUUAGGGAUAUUCCCUAGCAGAGUCACCAAUUGUCGCUUAUAGAAAAAUAUGAUCUCGUGAAGCGCAUCGAACACUCGCGGAUGGACUGGCAGAGUCGGCAUUGUUCUGUAUUUAUUCCUUAGAAAAGGAAAAUGACAACAAAACUGUAAGGGAAAGAAAAGGAUAAGAUGUGCAUCGCAACCAAAUUAGGGUUCAGGAGUCGGUUAUGCAAUGGGAAGAUAUUAACACCCCUCACAUCCGUUGUACUCAACGGAAACCUCCUAAUGUUAUAAGGUUGAUUAUUUGUUAAGGGUUUAUUUAUUUUAUUUUAUUUUUAUUCGAGUGUUUACAAAAAUAAAUUAUUUACAAUGGAAAAAGCUUUUUAUAUUAUUAUGCUCGCCAAGGUUUCAAAACUUCGUGUCUACGUUUCUAUUGUGCAAUGAGAAAAUCAGAGCAUCGUAGUUCAGAAAAAAGUUUGUGUGUUGGUUGCUUUUAUAUAAUAUGAUUUAAGUCAUUCUUGUGUUCAAACUCGACUUAUAUGCUCGCACAAUGGAGGCUUAAGCGCUUGUUUUUGUUUCGCGUUGAAAAUAACUUGAACUAUCCUUUUAUGAAAAUAUUUUUGGAAUGGGGUACCGGGGCACAUAAAAGGUUUAAAUAGUGAUGUUUGAUUUUAAGUGUUUUGGUUCUAAAUAAUCGAUCGAUGCAGAGAGCGCUAACCAAUCAAUUACUCAAGGACAUGGUGGAUGUCUAUCCACCUUCGAUUUGCAAAAAAUAUUGAUUUAAUUUAACUUAUAAAAAGUAGUUUGAUGAUAUGUACAAAUAUGAAUUAUUUACAAGUUGAGAAAAAAUCUUAAUUUCUAUUUAUUUUAUUAAUUUGAAUAUAAGAAGGAUAUUUUAUAUAUAUUUUUAAAAUAGAAUUUGAAUAAGAAGAAGGAUUAUGAUUGGUUGUUUGAACUUAUAAAAUAAAGGGAAAUAUUAUUCAUCAUUAACCAACUAAUAUAAAAUUUAAAUUAAAAUAAAAAACUUUUAUUUUAAAUUAAAUAAAAGAGGAUAGUUUUUUGUAACUUUUGUUGUAUAGCUUUUGUAGGUAGCAUACUUAAUUUUAUUUAUAUAAUAUUAUUAUCAGAAAGACUUAAAUAAAUAUUACCUACACAUUUCAGAGAUUAAUAUAAAUUAAUUUUGCAAGAUCAAAAACAAAAAUGACAUAUAAUUGUAAUGAUUAAAACCAAACAAAAAAUAUAAGACUAAAAAAAAUAUUGAUAAAUAUCAUAUACUUAUUAAAUUUAAAUAAAAAAUAUUUUAAUAAAAUUUCUUAAAAUACACACAUUAAAUAUAUUCUUCUUUUUAAUAUGUAUAUGAAAUGACAAAUAAAAACAUCUAAUCUAAUAAUAUUAGCAUUAUCAAUUGACUAGUCCUCACAUAAUGUUUAAAAAAAAAAGUGAGAAUGGAAAAUAAAAAUUAACCAAGGUUGUAACUAAUUUUUCUUAGCAAGAUAGUAGUAUAGAAUUUAAAAAAAAAAAAACAUUGCCACCGCCCUACUCAACUUUGUAAUCUCAUUUUAUUUUUCUUCCCAAGCAAGUUACAAUUUUCAUGGAUUCUUAAACUUUCGUUUUGUCAUCAACCUUAACUUAGAUGCCUUUUUUACACGUCCUUUUUCAUAUCUUCUUCAACAAAAUUGGAUGAAACUUAAAUUUAAUAUGGUGACAAAAAUAGUGUUAAAGAUAAGGCCCCAUAUUAUUAAUAGCAUUUAAUUUGAUGAUACUCUUGAGGCUCUAUAAAUAAGAGUGUUAUAAGCAAGGACGAAGCCAAAAAUAUUUUAGACGGGGGGAAACAUAUAAAAUAUUAAAAAUAAAUUUAAUUAAUAUGCACUAUAAUUUUACCAUUCUUUUACAUAUAUCUUUAAUUAUAUUUAAAUAUUAUUUUAUUUAUUAUAUUAUUAAUCAAAUAUUUUUAUAGAAUCUCUAUAUAAUGAGAUGUAUUUCGAUAUAUGUAUGAUAUUUGUACAUCAUACAAUCCAAUUAUACUCUUAUAUAUAUAUAAUUUGUCCCAAUUUUGCCUAAUGUUGUGGUGAAAAUUGCCGAACAUAUAUUGGUUUAAUUUAAGAAAAAACAAUGUCUUAGUUAAAAGUCAUGCAUCAUGAAAUAGAAAAUAGAAAAGUUUACAGCAAAAUACCACUUACAUUAUAUUAGUAAACGUACAGAUUUGAAUUGUUUGUGGCGGCAAUGACCCACAUACUUGCCUAUGUAGUUCCGCCCCUGGUUGUAAGAACAUUUUCUUCCAUCCUUUUUUCAAGUAUCAUUGCGUUUUCUGUUUAUUUAUUUACAAUGAUGAAUUUCAAAUCUUUUGUUUUUCUCAUAUUUCUGGAUGGUGUGAUUCUCAUCUCUGUAGUGGUGGCGGAUGAACCAAAUCCUGAUCCACCAAGUAUGAACCUUGAAAUUAACAUCAAUUUAUUUAUUUAUCAACUUUGUUUAAGAUUUAGGUGAAUUAAAUUUGUGCAUGAAAUUGAUAAAAGAUUUUAAGAAAAAACAUCCAUAUGAUGAAUUUUUAUAACCACUCUUCGUAUGAAUGCAUUUGGUGUAUGAUUAAAUUUUGUUGUUAUACUAACUUAAUUAUGUAUGUUGUUGAUGAAGGUCCAAAGAUAAGCAUCUAUGAAGAGCUUAAGGGGUGUUACAAGCAUGAAAAAGGUAUAAAAAUUAUAUGUUUUAUAUUACUGGGAUUGAUAAGUAAUGUGAAUCUUGGUUAAUUAAGUCAAUUUUGUAAAAUUUUGCAACUUUAGGUGGUAGAAAAAUUAUUUUGGAGCCAAUUCAUGAUGGAAACUGCAAGGAACAAGGAGGCGAAAAGUAUGGUGAUAACGAAUUUGGUGGUAUUGGUGGCGGUGUCAGUCAAGGAGGAGGUAGUAGAGGUGGCAUAUGGAGAGGUAGGGAAAAAGGAGGUGGAAGUGGUAGUGAUGGAAAAGAUUAUGGUAGUGGAGGAAGUGGAAGUGGAAAAGGAAGAGAAUGUGGUGAUAAAGGUAAUAAAAUUGGAGGAGAUUAUGGUGUAGGAGCAAGUGGUGCUGGUAAAGGCAACGAAAGUGAAGGAGAUUAUGGUGGUGGAAGUGAAGGUGGAAGUGGUAGCAUAGGAGAUUACGGUGGUGGAAGUGAAGGUGGAAGUGGUAGCAGAGGAGUUUAUGGUGGUGGAGCUAGUGGAGAAAGUGGAGAAGGUGGUGGUAAAUGGGGAGAUUAUGGAGAUGGAGCAGGUGGUGGUAAAGGAACUGGUAGCGGAGGAGAUUAUGGUGGUGGAAGUGGUAGAGGUAACAUAGGAGAUUAUGGUGGUGGAGGUAGUGGCCAUGGAUCCGGUGGUGGAAGUAGACGAGACGACAAUGAAAGUGGAGAAGGUGGUGGAAGCAAAUGAGAAGAAGGAGGUUAUUAAUGCAAUGGUACAUGAGACUUCUAUGAUUUAUGGCAAAUAUAAAAAUAAAAUAUAUACUCUAUUCAAAUUUCUUUUAUCCUUAAACAUACGUCAUAAUUAUAGUAUUGUCUCUCUUUAUGUGUAGUACAUGAAUUAUGAAUAAAAAAUAUUGAGAUAUUGAUAAUAUUAAUAAUAAUAAUAAUAAUAAUAAUAAUCACCAUCAUGGAAAGUUUCCAUAAUUCAUUAUAUGUUUUGUUGAGAAAUACCUAUUGAUAAAUACAAACAAUACUUAAAUACUCUAAUUAAAAAGUUUUCAAAUAAUAUAACGUUAAUAGUAUUAGUAUCUUUGCAAUUCACUCAAUAUUAUUUUAAAAAAUCAAUCAAUUCUAAUGGGUCAUGAAAUCCCUACAAAAAAAAUUAUUAGAUUAUAUAUUCCCUUCACCCUUCUUAAUUAAGUAUUGUAUAUAAAUAUUCUGAAGUAUCAAAUCAUCAUGAUUCAUAAAUAAAAAUAUAAAAACUAAUAUUGAAUGACAUAAAUAAAAAUAUAAGGUAAUGACGGAUGCAUAAGACACUCAAAUUUUUAAUUUGUUAUAUGAAAAUUUUAAUAGUAAAGUAUAUAUACUAGGCAAGGCGAAACUAAUAUUCCCACAAAAUCAAUGCCUCGAGGAUCCUGAACGGGAGUUAAAGAUCUAAUUGUUUUGGGGGGAAAAUUAUUUACAUUUUUUAGUUACCAAUAUGAUGUUAUACUUUAAUUUCACUUAUAUUUUAUGGUAAGAAAAAAGGAGUGUCAUGAAAGUAAUAAAACAAAAAAAUAAUAUAUAAUUAAUUAAAUGGAUGUGCAAGCAGACUAAGUGAAUGUAGCUUUUGCUUGAAUAACACAAUUUGUUUUCACCAAAAUAUCAUUUCAGAUGCACGUUUAACAUAACUAACGUGUUUUAAUGCUCUUCAAGAAAUUUGAAUUUGAAACUUUUAUCUUCUGAAAACGUAGAUUUAGUCUAUAAAAAGAAUUCUAAUUCUAAUUUUUGUUCAUCUAAAUUAGUAGUUGAAACGAUAACUUGAAUCAAAAUUCUCAAAUACUAAAAAAUCCAUACAAAUAUCUAAACUUAACUAAAAUCGAUAUUGUUCGUUGAUGUGGAGCAUAACACAAGUAUUAUUUCUUAUUGAUCUAUCGAUCUAAAUCAUUCUUUGAUCGGUAAAACUUGUAACUCGAGAUUAUUUUGUAUAAAUUUAUCAAAACCCAUUUGUGUUCUUAUUAUUUGAUUUCAUGAAUUUCAUUAAAAACCAAACAUUGGAAUUAUAUAUUGUGCAUUUUAAUUUUUGUUAACUGGAGUUAGACAUUUGAUAUACAAUAAUUUAAAAUUAGUGAGAUUAGAUAAAUAAGAAGUUCGAUAUGUCGUCUAGAAGCUAUGGGUUUUUUCCUUUUCUGUAUUAUGAAUUAAAACACAUGAACUUCAUCAGAAAUUAAUUAUUCUAAUUUUGAAGACAAAAAUUUAUUAUCGUCAUUUUAUUUAAUUACGAUAAAAACUUAUCCGCGUAAAUAUUUUAUAAAUUGGUUAAUUCAUAUUAUUAUUAUUAUUAUUAUUAUUAUUAUUAUUAUUUAUAACACCCAUAUUCUUUUCCUAAUUGUACUUAGUGUCUAAUUGGUUAAUUGGUGAAGAAUUAGUUGUCCUAACCUAACUCUAAGCACUAUUAUUAUUAUUAUUAUUAUUAUUAUUUAUAACACCCAUAUUCUUUUCCUAAUUGUACUUAGUGUCUAAUUGGUUAAUUGGUGAAGAAUUAGUUGUCCUAACCUAACUCUAAGCACUUGAUUAGAGGUAAGUGUCGAUCAUUAGUAAUAAGGGUCCAUGUGCAAGGGCAAAUCAAUAUGCCCUAAUGGUAUUAUAAAACUUAAACUACAGAGAAACCUCAUUUCUCUACAUAUUUUCUCUUGGUUAGUAACUUGAAUAUCAAAUGUGACAUGAGAGGAAGAAUAAGCCAAUGACAGUUAAUGGAUAUCGAGUUGCAAGUUAGAGUUAACCAUCUAGGAUUCACCCAACCUAUGGAUGGAGUCAUUUUGUUAAAUCAGUGGUUAUAUGUUCUGAUUGAUUCAGAGUUGAGAAGGGUGAUAUUUGAAUAAUCUCACAAUUCACCUGUCAUACCCCAAUUUUGCCCUUCCUUCAAUAAAUCGACACCUUUAUACAUUCACAUCAUCUAUAUAGCAUAAAAUGCAUUUCAUUCCACAUAAUGCCUAAGAUAUCGACCAGAAUAAACUUUUUAAUUUACAGGCAGAGCGAUUGAACUGAUUCUCAAAUGAACGUGAAAUUAGCGACCAGAAUAAUGCCUAAGAUAUCGACCAGAAUAAACUUUUUAAUUUACAGGCAGAGCAUUUCAUUUUAUUUUUUCAACUACUUUUUCAGUCGCAUUUUGACCAGUCUGAGCCUUUUAGAGAAAUUUAUUUCACGCUCAUCAUUUUGGUGCAUUUAGUUUAAUUUUUCGAGCAUUUUUGCACCCAACUUUUUUCAAUUUGAGUUCGUUUAUCAUUUUUUGGGGUCAAACAGAAAUUGAAAAAAAUAAAGAAUUGAACCAAAGCAGCUAAAGUGUGUCGUUCACUUUCCAAAAUCUCCCUCUCAUUUCACAUACCAUCUCUUAACCCCUAGCAUAUACUUCUUAUUGUAAAAAAAGAAGGCUUAAAUGCACUUUUGAUCCCCUUAGUUUGAGCAUUUUAAACAAUUGUUUAUAAAACUAGUGAUUCUGCUCCCUUAAUUUUGAUGGUCUUUAUAUUUUUGUGUUCCCCCUCCACUUUAAUGGGCCUAAACCCAAUUCAUAACAACAUCCUUUUAAACUUGCCUAAGAAGACAUUGGGUAAUGCAUUGUUGACUUUUAUAAACACUAAAGUUGUUUAUGAAAAAAACAAUGUGGGACAUAAUUCCCCCUUUUCCUUAUGAAUUCUACUCAGAUCUCAAUCAUAAACUGAAUGUGCAUUGAUGCUUUUCAAGAUAUAACCACCCAAAUAAACACAAUCUGGUAGCCAUCGGAUUAGAUUAGUUUUCGAUGUCUAAAGAUAUCAAGGAGUUUAAUUUCAUUGUGCAUGAUAUUUAACCGCUCUUACUUGUUCCGUCCAAAUUCAAACUUCUUUACAACACAAAUUUUUUGACGAAUCAUAACUUUGUACAUAAUACCAUGUGUUCCUCUACCAAUAAUAUAUUGAUCACUUAGAUUUUCCGUAGCUUGCAUCACUCGUUUCUUAAGGGAGAAUGACUUACCUGAGAUGUUGAAUUCCUGAACAUAUUCAAGUCCAAUACAUCCAGCUCCUCCAUCAAUAUAAUACCAUUGAUUUAGAUUAGACUCCAUAUCUGAUUCCUUUCCAAGAAGACACCUUUGAACUAUAAUUACCAUUACUAAUAUUGAGGAUCCAAUUGAUAUCAUCACAAUUGAUAUUGAGGAUCCAAUUGAUAUCAUCACAAUUUGAACAUUACUAAUAUGGAUACCUUUAUGAUCAGUUGAGUAGUGUGAUUUGGAGACACAUGGAUUUAGAUUUAGGGGAGAAGAAAGGUAUGAAAUAAUAAAGAAAUAAAAUCAAUAAAUAAAGCAAAACAAAUAAAUAAUAUAAAAAUAAAAAAAAUAAACAAACAAAACAAGCAGCCCUAGAACUAAAUAGUAGGUUUAACUCUCUUUAGGGAUAUUCCCUAGUAGAGUCGUCAGUUGUCGCAUAUAAAAAAAUAUGAUCUCGUGAAGCACAUAGAACACUCGCGGAUGGACUGGCAGAGUCAACACUGUUCUCUAUUUAUUCCUAAGAAAAGGGAAAAUGACAAUAAAAUUGUAAGGGCAAUAAAAGGAUAAGAUGUUCAUCGCAACCAAAAUAGGGUUUGGGAGUCGGUUAUGCAAGGGGAAGGUAUUAACACCCCUCACAUCCGCUGUACUCAACGGGAACCUCCUAAAUUUAUAAGGUUGAUUAUUUGUUAAGGUCCUAUUUAUUUUAUUUUAUUUUUAUUCGAGUAUUUAGAAAAAUAAAUUAUUUACAAUGGAAAAAGGUUUUUUAGUUAUUAUGCUCGCCAAGGUUCCAAAACUUCGUGUCUACGUAUUUUCAUUGUGCAAUGAGAAAAUCAAAGCAUCGUAGUUCAAAAAAAAAGUUUGUGUGUUAGUUGCUUUUAUAUAAUAUAAGUUAAGUCAUUUUUGCGUGCAAACCUCGGCUUGUAUGCUCGCACGAUAGAGGCUUAAGCGCUUGUUUUUGUUUCGUGUUGAAAAUAACUUGAACUAUCCUUUUAUGAAAAAUAUUUUUGGAAUGGUGUACCAGGGCACAUAAAAGGUUUGAUUUUAAUUGUUUUAGUUCUAAGUAAUCAAUCGAUGCAGAGAGCGCUAACCAAUCAAUUGCUUAGGGACAUGAUGGAUGUGUAUCCACCUUCGAUUUGCAAAAAAGAUUGAUUUAAUUUAACUUAUAAAAGUAGUUUGAUGAUAUGUACAAAUAUGAAUUAUUUACAAGUUGAGAAAAAAAUCUUAUUUUCUAUUUAUUUUAUUAAUUUGAAUAUAAGAAGGAAUGUUUUAUAUAUUUUUUAAAAAUAGAAUUUGAAUAAGAAGAAGGAUUAUGAUUGGUUGUUUGAACUUAUAAAAUAAAGGGAAAUAUUAUUCAUCAUUCUUCAUCAUUAACCAACUAAUAUAAACUUUAAAUUAAAAUGAAUUUUUUUUGUUUUAAAUUAAAUAAAAAAGGAUAGUUUUUGUAACUAGCUAACAAUUAAUUAAAUUAAUUAACACCUAAGCACAAUUAAAAACACACUAAAUGACUAACUUAAAAAUACAAAUAAAUAAUAAAUAGAAUAAGAAAUAAGAAAAUAAAAUAGAAUUGGGAGGGGGUUCAAAUUCAGUGGGGUUAUUGGACUUUAAGCAACACUGGAGGGUGUGAGAAUCAAUGGCACUCUACUUAAUAUUAAAAAUAUGAUAAGUUUAUAAAGAGAAAAAUAAAAAGGCACUCUACCCAAUAAUAAUAAAUAAUAAUAAUAAUAGAUAAUGAUUUAAUGAUAAUACUUAAUAAUAAUCUAAAUAAUACUUAAUACUUAAUAAUAAAGUUACUAAUUUUGCUAAAUAAUCACAAUGACCAAAAAUAGUAAUAUUAGCAACAAAAAUUAAAAACUCUUUAUGUGCUAGUAAACUUAAAAAAGAGGAUAAAAGUCAAAAUUGUCCUCCUUUGACUUUUAGGUCAUUCGAGUUGACCGUAUGACUUACUCAUGAAUGACUUAGACGGAACAUGGCAUCAGAUGAUAACUCAGGUGAACUGAGAGUGACACAAGGCACUCAUGCACCAGACCUACCCUAAUGGAAACUAUGAUUUUAAAAGACUGAGAUGGAUAAAGUAAAUGGGGUCAAAGUUUUGGGUAUGACAAUGACCAACACCUUUAGAAUGUCAAGUCACACCAUGAAAACAAGUUUUAGGUAGCAAAUCUAAAUCAUAAAUUAAUAACAAAGAUCCAUCAAUAUUAAAUCUUGAAUAAACUUACAUAGAACUCCAUGAACUAUUCAGUACUGGAACAUAAUGACUACAUCUAUAUCCAACAAAGAUAUUUUUAGCUACGCUUACUCAUCGUAGUUGUUUCGAUAAUCCCGCAAAGAUAAUCUUUGAAUUUUAUCUGCCAUAUCACCUGAGCAACGUUCAUGCCUUAAAUCUCCCACUCUUAUUCUCAUGUUGGAGACCAAUGUGAACCUACUCCAAUUCUAUACUACCUCAAUCCACCGAAACUCCCCUAAAAUUUAAUUGGGAACCCCUAUUUAUUAUUGAUGAAACAAGAGUUUCGAUGGGCGCAUUGUCCUUUCGACCAGCGAGCCUGCUUUUCUUUUAAGGUAAGCAACUCCUAGUUAGGGCUACAGUUGGCCAUAUUCCCCCUCCGGCAUUGGGAGCACCGCUAUCCCUCGAUCAACGAAGAAACCCUUCCUUCACCACGAAGUAACUUAGCAUUGAAGUAUUCUAGCUUCUUAAGUUUGUUAAGCGUGCCAAUAGUCAUGACUCAUCGAGCCCGUCUUGGCUGAAACUUUGUUGGGACUUUGUUUUUGCUAGGCCUUUAUGCUAUGAUUUAUGAUUUUCCAGUUCUUUUUACAUGUUUUUGAUUAAUACAUACUAGAAAAAUCCAAAAAGUUGUUCUAAUGCUUUUUAUAGGUAAAUUGGGUUUUUUUUGUCAUGAUUGCUUGUAAAAUAAGUUAAUAAGUUUUUAUGUAUUUAACGUAUUUCUGGACCUUAUUAGUGAUUAACAUCAUCUAUCCUUGAAGAAUUAUUUGAAUUCUUAUAGUUCUGAUUUCAUCUUUGCUGCAGAACCGGUGAUUCUAAUUAACGAAAUACCUUUAUGAAGGAUAAGUUAUGUCUUCCCUAUUACCAUUUUUCAUAGAGUAAUUUUUACUAUUCCUUUUGUUCGGGGUUUUGGUAUAGUGGUCUCAUGUACAUAAUUUUCAUUUUAUUUUUAUUUGAGCUAUGGACAAAGGACAAGGGUAGCUAGUAGUGCCAACAUAAUUGAGAUGUUUAGUUAUUCCCUUGAUGUCAGAAUGCUCUUAAUUCAAUAGGAAAAAAUAGAAGAUAAAAAGUACGAGGGAGAUGCAUCUAUCUAUAAAAAAAAUAAAAAUAGAUUCAGUCUCUACAAAUAUAUAAUUUCUUUUAUUUAGUUUUAAUUCUUAGAAAUAUAUGUCAUUUAGUUUUAAAUCAUUGUUAUUUUGUUGUAUAGCUUUUGUAGUAUAGCUUUUGUAGGUAGCAUAUUUAAAAAUAUAUAAUUUCUUUUAUUUAGUUUUAAUUCUUAGAAAUAUAUGUCAUUUAGUUUUAAAUCAUUGUUAUUUUGUUGUAUAGCUUUUGUAGUAUAGCUUUUGUAGGUAGCAUAUUUAGUUUUAGUUCUAUAAUGUUAUUAUCAGAAAGACUUAAAUACAUAUUACCUACACAUAUCAGAGAUUAAUCUAAAUUAAUUUUGCAAGAUCAAAAACAAAAAUGACAUAUAAUUGUGAUGAUUAAAACCAAACAAAAAAUAUAAGACUAAAAAAGUAUUGAUAAAUAUCAUAUACUUAUUUAAUUUAAAUAAAAAAUAUUUUAAUAAAAUUUCUUAUAAUAAACACAUUAAAUAUAUUCUUCUUUUUAAUAUGUAUACGAAAUGACAAAUAAAAACGUCUAAUCUAAUAAUAUUAGCAUUAUCAAUUGACUAGUCCUCACAUAAUGUUUUUAAAAAAAGUGAGAAUUAAAAAUAAAAAUUAAUCAAGGUUGUAACUAAUUUUUCUUAGCAAGAUAGUAAUAUAAUUUUUUUUAAAAAAAACAUUGCCACCGCCCUACUCAACUUUGUAAUCUCAUUUUAUUUUUCUUCCUAAGCAAGUUGCAAUUUUCAUUAAUUCUUUAACUUUCUUUUUGUCAUCAAUCCUAACUUAGAUGCCUUUUUAUGUGUCAUUUUUCAUAUCUUCUUCAACAAAAUUGGAUGAAACUUAAUUUUAAUAUGGUGACAAAAAAAUAGUGUUAAUGAUAAGGCCCUAUAUUAUUAAUAGCAUUUAAUUUUUGAUAAUACUUUUGAGGCACUAUAAAUAAGAGUGUUGUAAGAACAUUUUCUUCCAUCCUUUUUUCAAGUAUCUUUUUGUUUUAUGUUUAUUUAUUUACAAUGAUGAAUUUCAAAUCUUUUGUUUGUCUCAUACUUUUGACGGGUGUGAUUCUCAUCUCUGCAGUGGUGGCUGAUGAGCCGAAUCCUGAUCCACCAAGUAUGAACCUUGAAAUCAUCAUAAAUUUAUUUGUUUAUCAACUUUGUUUAAGAUUUUGGUGAAUUAAAUGUGUGCAUGAAACUGAUAAAAGAUUUUAGAAAAAAACAUCCAUAUGAUGAAUUUUUAUAACCACUCCCCCAUGAAUAUAUUUGGCGUAUGAUUAAAUUUUGUUGUUACAAUAACUUAAUUAUUCAUGAUGUUGAUGAAGGUGCAAAGAUAAGUGUCUAUGAAGAGCUUAAGGAAUGUUACAAGCAUGAAAAAGGUAAAUUUUUUAUAUGUUUUAUUUUAAUGGGAUUGAUAAGUAAUAUGAAUCUUGAUUAAUUAAGUCAAUUGUGUAAAACUUUGCAACUUUAGGUGGAACAAAAAUGAUUUUGGAGCCACUUCAUGAUGGAAACUGUAAGGAAAAAGGAGGUGGAGAGUAUGGUGAUAGCGGAUUUGGUGUUAUUGGUGGCGAUGGCAGUCAAGGAGGAGGUAGUAGAGGUGGAAUAGGGAGAGAUGGGGAAAAAGGAGGUGGAAGUGGUAGUGAUGGAGAUGAUUAUGGUGGUGGAGGAAGUGGAAGUUGAAAAGGAAGAGAAUAUGAUGGUAAAUGCAGUGGUAGUGGAGGAGAUUAUGGUGGUGCAACAAAUGGUGCUGGUAAAGGAAGUGAAAGUGGGGGAGAUUGUGGUGGUGGAAGAAGUGGUGAUUGUAAAUACAACGGUAAAGAAGGAGAUUGUGGUGGUGGAAGUGGAGGAGGAUAUGGGGAAGGUGGGGUAAAGGAGGAGAUUAUGGUGGUGGAGUGGAUGGUAGUAAAGGAAGUGGAAGUGGAGGUGAUUAUGAUGGUGGCAAAGGCGGUGAUAGUGGAGGAGAUUAUGGCGGUGGAAGUGGAGGUUGAAGUGGUAACAUAAGAGAUUAUGGUGGUGGAGCUAGUGGUGGAAGUGGAGAAGGUGGUGGUAAAUGGGGAGAUUAUGGUGGUGGAACAAAUGGUGGUAAAUGCACUGGUAGUGGAGGAGAUUAUGGUGGUGGAAGUGGUAGCAGUAACGGAGGAAAUUAUGGUUGUGGAGGUAGUGGCCAUGGGUUUGGUGGUGGAAGUAGACGAGACGAUAAUGAAAAUGGAAGAGGUGGUGAAAGCAAAUGAGGAUAAGGAGGUUAAUAAUACAAUGGUACAUGAGACUUCUAUGAUUUAUGGCAAAUUUAAAAGAGAAUAUUAUACUCUAUUCAAUUUCCUUAAUCCUUAAACAUAUGUCACAAUUAUAGUUUUGUCUCUCUUUAUGUGUAGUUCAUGAAUUAUGAAUAAUAAAAAUUGAGAU
rnacentral:lncRNA from 1 species